GAGCAAAUAGUUGAUCCCCAGUAUGAAGGUCUAGAGCUCGACUUCCCGGGAGGCGACGGGGAAAAGACAUUGGCAGAUGCGCUUCAUGGGAUCAUUCUAUGGAAGAAACGCUACAUCAUUAUUCCCGGCACGGAGCCAUCUCCUCAGACCUCAAGACCGCUCCCCGUAGAUCCCCAGCAGCGACCUUCUCCUCAUACCUCGAGACCGUUAUCUCCUGCUCCAGGACCGUCCCUUCCAUCUAUAUCAAGGUCUCCAUCUCCACCACAUCCUGGUGAUGGGAGCGACGACGACAAUAACAACACCCCUCCCCGAUCACCGUCGCCGGCAUCAAGAGCGGCCCCCUUGAAGGAACCUGCACCACCACUAAAGAAGUCACGAGCACCGCCUCCCAAGCAAAGACAGAGAAAGAAGAAAACAAAGGAGCCUGAAGUGACUCGUAAGGAACGCUUUGAGGCAAUGUCUCAUGCAGAACAAUGGGCAGAAAUCCAACGAGAGGCCAGUGAGUGGUUCAAGAAACAAGCCGAAGAAAAAAAGGCAAGGGAGAUGGAGCCACCGCCAGUAAGUCGGCGAGAUUUAAACUUUUUUAUCAGGAUGGAAGAAGGAGCCAAGAAAAGGAUACCACUCUUGUCAAACUAUGAACGGGCUCUAGUAAAGGCUGAUGAAAAGGAUAAAAGGAAAGGAAAGUCAUCUUCCAGCGGUCCAGUCCCCGACCUCAGCCAUUUAUCAAAAAAAGAUGCUCAACGGGUAAAAGCAAUGCCCUUGGAUCAACAAGCAAAUGUAUUGAAGUUCAUGGAAGAAACAGGUCUGGGACUUGAUGAAUGCAUAGGGCAAGUUGAGACGCCAACUGCACCGCCCCCUGAGCCGAAGUGGCCUUAUGAGCUAGGCAAACCUCUAGUAAAGCCUUCAUUGGUACGGAAGCUAUCAACAAAUAUGUACGCAUUCCAUCAAUGGUACAUGAUGGCAUCCGCCGACUCGAGGGAGAUGAUCGGCAUGAAGGUAAAAUCGAUAGAUUUUCACGGUGAAGGGGAGAAAGUGCUGUGGCUAGACUUCAAGGAUAUAUACGAAGUGUACCAUCAUGAUGCCCUGGACGUCUCUCUGAUCAGCGCUUGGAUUCUGUAAGUGUCCGUUUAUCUCUACUUGUAAAUUUUGGCGUGCGUCACCAUACUAACUUCAUCUUCCAUUUCAUGUAGGAUGCUAAUUCAGACAUGCCGCCGAGAGGCGUACCUACAUAUAGGCUUCAUGGAUCCAUCUGUAGUUAACCAACAACAGAUACAAUUAGCGCCGGAAAAAACCUUUGCGGAAAUAUACAAUUUCCUAGACAAACAAACAUUCAAGGAUUUCAUACUAUUUCCAUACAACUUCAAGUAAGUGUGUGUAUACUGUCUACUUUCGAUAUCUUUUUCCUUAUCUCUACAUGUUAGUUAGCUCUAAUAUGCAUGAACAUUUUACGCACGCAGCUUCCACUGGAUCCUUAUUAUAAUUGAGCCUGAAAGAAGCCACGUCACUGUCUUCGAUUCGUUAAGGAAAGAUCCGGUGGACUACCAAGAAUUGCAAGACAUGCUAGGCUUGUAAUAAUUCUGGACCUUUAUCUCUAUGCAAAAAUUUAUUUCCUAAAUUUUAUCCCUGUUACACUAUAUCAUUCAUUAUUCUAAUCCGCAGCGCAUGGAAACAAUUCAUAAGGACACACAAAGGUCCAUUCAAAGAAAAACUUACAUGGAACACAGACUUCCCGGUACGUAUGCAGUCUGCACAUUUAUUACAUUGUAUAACACGAAUAUUUCAUAACUUAUUUUUAUCCGCACUGAAGUGCUUAAGACAGGAACCCGGGAAUAAUCUAUGUGGCUACUACAUCUGUGAGCACAUGCACAGUUUUAUGGGACCCAAGGGACCGAAGAUGACGCCGCACAACUUUAAAGUACGUAAAAUAAAACUAUUACUAGUUAAUUAUUUUCUAGCUCCUUAUAUGUAUUUGUUCAUGUAACAUUCACAAAUUUCCAAAUUAUAGAUGUUAAAUAUUCAACAAGGACUCUUGAAGGAAGAAAGAGUAGCGGGAAUAUGUGAAGGUCUCAUUGGAUUCAUAAUGGACGAGGUGGUAAAUCCAAAAGGAGAAUUUUAUUACGAUGGACGAUAAUUAGACACUCCGAUCAGCAACACCACGACGGGAAGAUUGUAGGAAGAUACUUUGAUUUAUUUGUAUAUAUAAUACGCGCUAAUUAUGAUCAAUUUGUACUAAGCUAGUUGAAUUGUGUAUAUGAAUUGUGUAUAAGGAUUGUGUAUAUAUAUAGUAAUUGUAUAAUUACAAAUCCCAUUCGUUUAAAUACUAGUUGAUUUCGUUCUAAAAAAAUCUCAACUACUAAAGGUUAACAAAUUAAAAGGGCCGCGGUACUACGUAUACGUGAUGCAUGCAUGAAAAAUUCAGGCGUCACGGCAGUGUCAUGCAAGCGCCAUUUAGUCCCGGUUGGAAUCCAGCUGGGACUAAAGGGUAACCCUUUAGUCCCGGUUGGGAAAUCCAACCGGGACUAAAGGGCCUGUCCCGCGCCUAGCGUGGCAGGCCCUUUAGUCCCGGUUGGUGACACCAACCGGGACUAAAGGGGGACCUUUACUCCCGGUUAAAAGACCCGAGACUAAAGAUCCCCCCUUUUGUCCCGGUUGGUUUAUCCCGGAUGGAUUUUCGAGAGAUAUGCACCCUACCAACCGGGACUAAAGGCCAAUUCUCUACCAGUGAUACGUGCCGGGGCGGAAGUGUACCGGUGCAUUAUGUCCUUUUCGCAAUGAUGCGGAAUACGACCGAUACAAAUAGUGAAGCAAUCAAAACGGUUCUAUUGUACAUUAACUUAAAUGUACCAGUGUCAUUCCACACCACCGCAUAAAUGACAUAUGCUAGCCCAGGAGGGUUGGUUCCCUGGCAACUACAACGGGAAGGGUUGGUUCGUCACAGCACAGGACUACCACAGGAAAACAUACUUCCACAAAACCAACAGGUUAGAUCAUUUUCCGAUGAAAUCAUCUGAAACUAGUACUUCCUCAGGUCAGAAAUAUAAGACGCUCUGACGAGUGGGACUAGCACGCAGUUAGUUGAAACUUCUUGUCGGGAACAUCAUAUAUGUAUAUUCCCAGCCCAAGGGAGUAUACACAGUGUUUUAUUAUUGGUGACCUCCAAUUUUUUUGGUGAUCAUGUGCGCAAGGUUUCAUCCUGCGAUAUAAGAUUCAAGCUAAUUGACGUGAGCAUAUUCCAUUCUACGUUGUUGCCUUAAGUAUGGAAACAAGCUGUUUCUUUCUUGUGACUACUGCUGAGUGGGGAAACAAACAUCAGGUGAUCAUGUUACACUAUGUGAAACACGGUCACAGGUGACCAGCAAUCAUGCCCGCUGUCAAAGAUGUGUCACAAAUAACUUAUGAAAGGUGACGGGCAAAAACCCAUCACCAAUGAUGGAUUAGAGUUGACAGGCAACACUUAACACCGGUCACCAUUCACUAGUGAUCUUUGAAUUUAAACUUUAGCUAGCCUUACCUUGGACAUGUUCCAUCCUGGUUGAGUUGUUAUUAAUGAUAUAGUAACAUAAGGAUCUUCAUUUGCAGGAAUUUAAUUAGCCCAGCUCAUGAUCGUUGUCACAGGUGGUAAGCUGUGGGAGAAAGGAAAAAAAGCCUUGCUCGAAAAGGAAACGCAACAAACAUUUGGGUGAUUCGGACAGGCUCUCAGCAGGAUAGUCUCGAUUCCUUAAGGCAAAACUUGACUCAAUCUUAGAUAUCGUGAGCAAAUUGUUGACACAUUCUUGUAUUCCAUUAUGUCAAGUACGUUCCAGCAUUUAUAUAAAGGUUGAGCUGAUGACUUACGAGUCCUAUGUAGGGGUGAUAAAAGGGCCCUCUAAUUUAGCCUAGAAAACUUAAGGACCGGGCUCAAUAAGGGCCGGGUCAUAAUAUUAUAUGAUUUUGAACUAAAAAUAGAUAAAGCUGAGUUGGAUUGUAAAGGAGGCAUGAGGGUCAUGAUCCAUUACCACCCCUAGUUAUAUGUACAAGAGAUUGGUUUAUGGUUACCAAGCAGGUAUUAACUACUCCCGCCGUCCCGGAAAAAAUAAGUCGUUUAAGGAUUGUCCUAAGUCAAAUUUUUCCGAGUUUUGCCAAGAUAAUAGAAAAAACUACAAAUAUUUAUGGUAUGAAAUAAGUACCAUUAGAUUUAUCAUGAGAUAUAUUUUUAUAAUGUACGUAUUUAAUGCCGUAAACAUUGAUAUUUUUCUCUAUAAAUUUGAUCAAAGUUGGAAAGUUUGACUUAAGACAAACCGAGAAUGACUUGUAUUUUUGGGACAGAGGGAAUAUGCUCUAUUAAAUACAUAUAGAUCCAUACAUUUCAAUUGCAUACAAUAAACUUCAUUACUAGCGGAACCUACUAACCACAGCCACACGAGCAACUGUCUCCGGAAUCGCCAACACUGCCGCAUGAUCAGCCACUGCAAUCCCAGAGUUAUGAUGCCUCGCCAAAUAUUAAAGCAAGCCAUCAAGCCUCGAUCAUAUAUAAACAAUACUAUACGCAGCCACGCCCACUUCCAUUUAAUGGAACCCGUGAUCCCACCCUGGUUUUCAUGAGGCGACCAUCCCCAUGUGACAUAUACGAUUGCUAGACAAUGCCAUGCGCGGAAUAUGCACACGCCUGGUGCGUUUGAUUCGAUUCUCAGGUCAAGAUUUCUUACAAUUUCACCUACCACAUCGAUGCGAUUUUGGUAAGGGAUAUUUUUCCUUUUAAAUUCACCUGUGGAGGACCCCUUAGUAUCAGCUCGUAACAGCAACCAGUACCAAGUGGCCUGGACCGUCUAUCCACCACAAAUAUACCAGCUUAAUAAGCUAGUGCUAUUACUAAUAUUAGUAUCGAGUCUUAUUUUAGCUGGUAUAUUUGUUGGGGAUUUAUAGUGGUUUCUAUAGUAGUGAGUCCUCGCCGGUGAGUAUAUAUAUUCCCUCUCUUUCUUCCUCUCUGUUGCUUCGCUCAAGGUACAUCCUGUAGUAGUUCCUCUCUGUUGCCUCUAACUGGUAAAUCUAAACAGAGACCUAGUGUAAACGAAUUUUGGCACCUGUUAAAAUCCGAUUAGUACACAUUUUUUACUCUACAUACAUACAUAUAUAUAAAUAUAUAUAUACAAAUAAAUAUAUAUUGACCAGCUUUAACGCCUUGUGGAAUUGGAUCUAGCUAUCAGCUUCACUGUAAUCCUGCCCUUGGCUGCUAGCCUGCUACUCCUGCACCACGUGGAAAGGAAUUUAUGCGUAGAAAACAUAAUCCUGUUCAUAGCUGCUAGCCUGCUACGCGUGCGCCACGCGCAAAGGAAUAGACCUAAACAAAGAGAAGGAUGCCCAGAGGGUGCUUUGUCAUUGCAUUGCUCAGUUCUUCAGCUACUAGUGCCUAAAAUAUGAUAGUGGCAUUGCAUGAGCAUCAAGCUAGUAGGGUGACUGAGCUGAUGAGUGAGCACAGGUACCUUGGUGCCAACGGUGAACAGUAAUGCCAAGGCCAUGCACACUUCAGGUGUCGCGGUAAUAAACAACAACUAUUUGAUCGAAAAGGAACCAAUCGGGAAUCUUGGACAUUUUGUAGUAGUGUUCAAUGUCUUCUAGCGGCUUAUCUCCUAAGCUGAACAUUCCAUCAUCUAAGCAAGUAGAAGCUGAGAGGGAUUUACACCUACCGCUACACAGAGUGUCUUCCAGGAUUCUCGAGUAUAUUUUUUUUAUUGCCAAUGACCAUAUAGCUUGCCUCCUCUAGGAAUUUCUUUAAUAGGCAAGGGUUUUACCUCUAUGAGAUGUCCCUAUCUGAGUACAAAAACCUCGACCACUUAGAAAAUGAUGAACAAAGACAGCAGUCGUUGGUGUCCGAAGAAAAAUAAAUUAAAGAUGCAUUUUUAGAAAUUUUAAACUUCUUGUACCUUUGGACUGACUCGAUGGUCAUAUUUUCUAAGUACAAGUUAUGUGACAACUUAUGAAUUCGUUCAAAAAUACAUGUUCGAAUUUGUCAACCAUAGCACCCACUAUCAGCUUGAUGAGAACCGGUUAUGAUCUUCAGAUAACUUGCUGCAGAUAGCAAUAAUUACUGCAACCUGGCAAAUAAAACUUAAAGCAAACCACAAUCUUUAAUCUGCAACUUGAGAAUCAAGGGUUCAUCUAAUCACACUCCCACAUAACCAACCAACACAACCUUGAAUAAAACGGACCUGGAUCACCAAUUGGAGCUGAUGAAGAGGCCACUUUUGUAAUCGCUCAAGAAAAUUAGAACUGCAAAGGUUGUAAUGGACGAUAAAAAUCUUGUUAACUAGCUUUGAUUAAAGGAUUAUUUAUACUAGUAACAACCUUCCUAGUUGAGUGUAAAUGGACCUUGGAGUUUUUUAGUAAUAGUAGCUCAAAAGUCACAGCAAAAACUACUACACAAUCCUAUAGCACCGCCGGCCCCCGACUCCCCAUCACUGCCGGUUUCGGAUCCAUCAAUUGAAAUUCGGCAGUGACGGGGCGUCGGUGUUUAGACCCAGCAACUUACCGAGGGGUACCCGAUGUUGUGUUUUAUGUGUGGGCCUUGGAGAUAUCAGGAACUCGAAGCUCAACUCAAACACACGAUUUAGAUAGGUUUGUGCUGCUUAUAUCGCGUAAUACCCUACGUCCUGUGUAUUGGUUAGAUGUAUUGAUUGAAGUUGUUUUAAGGGGGUCCCUGCCUCGCCUUACAUUGCUGGGGGUAGGGUUACAAGUCGGUUGUUUACAAGAAUACUAGUCGGAUUUGACUAGAGAGUCCUACUCUAAUUGCUAUGAGUAGUUUUCUAAUCCUUUACUAGUUCUUGUCCUCCACGAAGACCACAUCGUCCUGCACCGUAGUCUCCAUGUCUGACACAUCUUUGUGUACAGCUCCGUAUUGUAGGACUUGUCCAAACCUCCCGGUGGGCCCAUAGAUGUAUGGCCGAGAAGCCCCCGAGUACUUUUUAGUCAAAUGUAGUAGUACCGAGUAGUUCUGUAGACGUCUCAGACUAGUUUGUGGUGCUCCUUUGAGUACUCCGUCAAAUUGAGUCUUCGAAUGUGCUUGAGUACUGGUAUACGUCUAGAAUGUGUGCAAGCCUUAUUUAACUCAGUCUUGAAUCUUAUAUGAAUGUGCGAUGAAAAUCGCACUCCAUAUGGAGUAGCCCUCGAGCCUUAGGUUGAAUCGAAGAAUUAGGCUAAGGGUCAAUCUUAAAAUUUCACAUCCCUUUCACAUAAAAAUAUAUAGAAAAAAGAUUUUAGCUGACGGGCACGUGGCACAUAGCCCCCGGGCCAUUACACGACUAGUUUAGGUAUAAGGCUCAACCAUUGGUCAACACGACCGUUCGCCAACAGUAACCUUAUCUCUUCGAAAAAAUUGAAAAUUGUUCUAGUGAUAGGGAGCUUUUCAAAAUAGAAUAUUUCCCAUAAUUCUUGCCUCUUGGUUAAAUGUGCUACGGUUAUAAAUAACGAGGAUUUCGUCCCAUCCGUUUCACCUGAGCCAUUCUACCUAUUCAUCUUCCGCACUGUAGCCCUACCACUGCUGCUUACCAUUCUCGAGUUUGAGUGCCAUCCUUCCCCACUGCCUAGCCCCCGUGCUUAUGCGCAAGAAGGCCCUUGUGACAAUGGGAAACAAAGCAUCCUCUAGCAAGGUAGCGGAGACCAAGAAGAGGAAGGCUGCAAAAAAGAAGAAAAUCCAGCUACCCGCGCUCGAGCCGCCACAUGAGCGCACCCGCAAGCUCGAGCCGCCGCAUGUGCCCACCUGCACCAACUGCUCCUACUCCCUGACACCGCCAGCCAUUUCUGGCACUGCCACCCGUGCCUCCCGCGCCACAUCAAAGGCUCCCGUGCACCGCAGCACCUAUGCCCCUGCCGCUGCUUGCGCGCCGCCACCGCCGAGCCCCAUCCGCCGCCGCCAACGUCCUUGGCCCGGUCGCCUCUGCCGCCUGGCCUAGCCGCCGCCGGACGGAUUCCAUCCACCGGCCACGGGAUUGACCAGAUGGAAGGAGGUUGGAGAUGAUAAAGUUAUUUGCAGUUUAGCCCUCGGAGAAAGUUGUAAUCUCGCGAUCCAAUCCUGUUCUAUGUUUUACCACAUUGAAGCCCUCGGUUUUCGCAGAUAGGCUCCUAAAAUCUUAGUUUUCUCUCAGUUAAGGCCUUGCAUCUUGUUCAGAUCAUAUCUUUCACGUUUUAGCUCCGUUUUUAGUGAUGCUUUCGCUCACGUGUUUUUAUUAACAUUUAGAUGUUCUUUGUACUGCUUUUCAGUACUGUUAGUGAUGUUUGGUGUACUAUUUUUAAUUUAAUUCCUUUAUUUGCUUGUAUGUGCUUGCUCUGGAUGUUUGCUUUGGAUGAUUGUCAUGAGAAGAACGAGCACACUGUGAGGACAUUCAAGAGUAAGGAGAUGGAGACAUUCUAAGCAGCAGCGGUACUGUGGAUAAAGGCAAGUUGUGUCCAUGAUCACAUUAUAUCCUAUACAACAUUUAUAUAUGAAACAUAUGCUAUACACGCUUGAGUCUUAAUUUGAUGAGUCCUGAUUAAGAAUUUACCUAGUUUCUAUAUUAUACCUUGUCAACCUGGGUUUUACUUUAUUGUUGGGUAGCUACGCUAGAUGCUAUACCUUGGUGGGAAGCAAUGAACAGUGAUAAACCUGAUUUAUUUUUUAUCUAGCUAUAGCUUGGUGGGAAGUAAUGAACAGUGAUAAACCUGAUUUAUUUUAUGUUAUGCAGCUUCGUUAAUUGCAACCACUCACAUGCCUUAAUUGGAACAUAGAGUGAUGACCCAAGAAAACAGUACAACCAUAAGACCAAUAGGCUCUGUUCUUGGCUAAUUAAUUAGAGAGUCUAGUUUGUGGUAGUCUAACAAAAAAGCAAGAGGAGCUCAUAGGUUGUGCGAUGGCUUAUCCAGUCAAGGGAUGUACGAACCACUUGCGGGAGGGUUCAUCCCCUUAUGCGGAUAACUAUAGCGGGUUAUCACUCGUUAGGAACUCUUUUUAAAGGCCUUGUAGCGUCGCUAUGCAGUCACACCUCGGUAGCGUGAUAAGUGCAUACUCUUGCAUAGCAUGGUUGGGUCUAAUGUUCUCUUCAACUUUUAUGCGACUUAUGGUGAAAGUGCAUAAACUCUGCAGAGUGUAAAACUGGUAUAUCGGCCGAGAGCCUGGACCCUCUCAUGAUAAUUGAACUUCAAGAACAAUUAUUAUUUGUUCUAUUUAUGUUCGUGAUACAUUCUUGCUCUUAUGUUUAGUGUGAUGGUAUAAACUUACAUUCUAGUAAAUAGCUUUAAUAAUAAAACUUGACCAACUUUAAAAGUGCUUAAAUGCAUGCAGUAAACCAGUAAGCUAUUCCUUGACUUGGCCUUACACUGCACAUUUCCCCACACUUGUUGUGUACCAACUAUAAGAUUACUCACACUUGCUAUAUAGACAUCCUCAUCCAUGCCGAACAGGUUGCUCCAAAUGCAAGUACAUAUGGUGACACAUGGGAAUGCCGGCAUUAAGUGACGUUUGGGGUUGCACAAGCCAUUGAUCAGAUCUUCUAUAAUUUAUUUGUAGGACCGAUUACAUAUCAUUCUGGCCUUGGACAAACCUUGUGGAACGGAUCGGAGCUAGAACAUAAAACAAUCCGGUAACAAUAAUUAUUCAACAGCAGAAAUAACAUUUUAUUAAGCAGUAUAUAAUCACCCCAGGGAGUUACAAUCAUAAACAUGAAGUCGGCAAUGCCAGUAUCACCAAGAAGAUUCAUGUUUGCAAUCUGUUGUACAACCAUACCCGUGAAAACAUAAAAAAUAGCCUGCCUGCUUACCCAGGGUGCAAGCUGUUAUUCAACCGAACAACCGUUAAUUAGCAUUUCUACUUGGUAAACUCUAGAGCGUAAAUGUUGCAGAAGAUGUAGGUUUUCUGGAAGCCAGAAAAGCCUGCAGCCGCGGCAAGCUUGGCGUACUCCUGCUCCGUCCUGUCCUUUCCUCCCUUGAAGUUGACAUAUAUUAUGAUAUCCAUCAUGUACGAAUCUCGCGCAGCCGGAGUCGACUCUGGGGUCUCGGGCAGGAUACUCUGAAUGACGAUCACUUUUCCGUUAUCUGGGAGAGCACGGUGGCAAUUCUUUAGGAUCAAGAUGGACUCCUCGUCACUCUGCAAAUGGAUCAUCCACUACAGACACUUGCACUAGUCAGGUGUAAUCUUGUAUUUUCUUUGUUUAUUCGCAUGGUAGGAUGGGGUGAAAUUUUUAUGAAAUUUAAUAGCAUUCAAUUUACCUUCAUUAAAAUUGCAUCUCCAGAGGGUACGCUUUCAAACAUAUCUCCAGCUACGUGUUCCACGCCUGUGAUUUGUUUUUUUAAAAAAAAACAUAAGCACCACUAUCCCAUGCAUUCACUCUUAGCCACAAUUUCUGAACUUUAAUUCUUGCUUAAAUAAACUCUUAGUCACUACUAAUUGGCAAUUGCUUUAGCCAUCAAAUGCAACUAAGUAUGAGGGGCUAUACCUUCAAGAGACGGAGCCUCAGAGACAACAUGAGGUAGAUCCAUGUUUAUGCACCUGAUGUGCUUGUACCGGUCUCUGAUCAACGCUAGCGUUUCACCGGUGCCCCCGCCAACGUCGACGAGCACCCUGACGCCGUCGAACACUUUGGGGUGCUCGACCAGCUUCUUGAUCACCAGCAAUGACUGCUGGGCCAUGGCCCGGUCGAACAGCAAGCUCACACGCCGGUUCUUCCCAAAGUACUCGAACGCCGGCGUCCCCCCAUGGGCAAGCUCGAACGGCGUCUGCUUGCCACCACCGGCCACUGCGUCCGCUAUGUGUUGCCUUCAAGGAUAGAACAACAUAAAGAUCGGGAGAGGCAUAUUUUGUUAUUAUCUGAAGAUAGAACGUACCAGGACGAGAAGAUGUCCUCAUCUACGGCGAACACGGCCAUGGGGCCAAGGGACCCCUCACCAUUGUUGGUGGUGAGCCACCGGCACGCCGGUGCAGGCGAGUACCGCCACAGCACCGUGCCGUCAGGAGCUUUGUCGGCCGAGCACCUCACGACGUCGAAGGACGCUAGGAACCUGAGGAUCCGGCCGAUCAGAGAAGCUGACUCGGCCUUGUCCUCCGCCUGGACUAGUUUCGUGGCAAGCUCCUCGGCGGUCAGACCGUUUUCGUCGGCGGCGCUAAGGGCGUCGAUGAGGCCGAGCUUGACAGCCGCCUUCACGGCCAUGGUGACAUUGUAGGCGUAGACCAGUGUUUGUGCGUGCAAGCAAGUCGAGUCCUCGUCGACGCCGGCACCAUUGACAAACCCAAUUUUGUCCAUGGCUAACAACUAAGUGUGUUCUAGGUGAUAACGUGCUUUUGCUUAUGCGUGGAUUCCAUUGCUACCCACUGUGUGUGCAUAUAUAGAGAAAAGUACUGUUCGAUGGAAUCUGUACGUAGUAGUAGUUAGUAAGAUGGGCGGAUGGAUAUCGGUCGCUGGUAAAUUCACAGUAGGUACGGUAUGCGGCCAGACCUCGCCAUACUGGUAGAUCCAACCCCUGCAUGCAUUAUUAGCGAGGUCUCGCUGGAAAAUUUACUUCCACAAAACCAACAGGUUAUGACUGACAUAUGCUGGCCCAGGAGGGUUGGUUCCCUGCCAACUACAACAGGAAGGGUUGGUUCGUCACAGCACAGGACUACCACAGGAAAACAUACUUCCACAAAACCAACAGGUUAGAUCAUUUUCCGAUGAAAUCAUCUGAAACUAGUACUUCCUCAGGUCAGAAAUAUAAGACGCUCUGACGAGUGGGACUAGCACGCAGUUAGUUGAAACUUCUUGUCGGGAACAUCAUAUAUGUAUAUUCCUAGCCCAAGGGAUUAUACACAGUGUUUUAUCAUAUACGCAAGGUUUUAUCAUGUUGUGCCAUGCAUCAUCUUGUCAGUACGAUUAUCGGCGAAUUUAUAGGCAAUUAUUUUGUUGAUGAAUUAUUCUAUAACUGCCACAAAAAUGUUAUUAUAAUUUAAAAAAUGUAUCAGUGCCAUAUAUAGCUGUUGGUAGGGAAAUCGAAUGUAGCUGAUAAUUGUUUCAAAGACUAGCUAGAGUAAAAAUAACUUGUUGCUGAACCUAUGUGGGGGGAGGUUGAGCCGGCGAAAAUAAGUGCUUCGGUAUAUAGUACAAAGAGAAUGGGUGCACCUAUGUCUUGCCUUUGUCAAUGCAAGACUUGUGUGGUUGCGGUUUAAGCGCGAUGUUGUGGAUGACAAUCUUGAUCAAGACUCCCUGAGAGUUACGCAGAUGCAAUGUCACAGUCGUAAUGAAUCUCUUGUCCUCUGGAGCUGGAAUAGGAAAGUUUGUUGGCAAGAAGGAACACCCAAGGAAGACUUUGAUGCCUCCCGUCCCCAAAUAUGGCAAGUGAUCUUCACAAGACGUUCAUGCAACCCUAUCGAACCUCUUGUCAUGUGUAAGACCUAUGGACCACGGCUCCUGUCCAGUCAAGACCUUGGAUUUGACAAAUCAGAAGCAUUAAGCUGCUAGAUUGAUACCUAGCCUAUAUAUCCUACAGCUGCCAUUUUCUUGACAAAAUUUUUCUACAACUGUAGUGUGCUACAUUCCUUUGAUGUUAGAAAUUAUCAUGUACUUUAAUGUGAUGAGUGGUGCACUUGUUGUUAGAUCAUCGAUCUGUUCUUCUGCUCCAAGACGGCAUCGAUAUUCACCGCAAACUAGUCAUAUAUCCUACACGAUUGCGUUGGUAACUUUGUAUAUUGCAGACACGCACACGCACACGAAGGUUGUUAGUUAGCUAAAAAAGUUGGUAAAUGAACUGAAGUCCACUACUCUAAAUUACUUUUACAUGACACGGUCACAGGUGACCAGCAAUCAUGCCCGCUGUCAAAGAUGUGUCACAAAUAACUUAUAGAAGGUGACGGGCAAACACCCAUCACCAAUGAUGGAUUAGAGUUGACAGGCAACACUUAACACCGGUCACCAUUCACUAGUGAUCUUUGAAUUUAAACUUUAGCUAGCCUUAGCUUGGACAUGUUCCAUCCUGGUUGAGUUGUUAUUAAUGAUAUAGUAACAUAAGGAUCUUCAUUUGCAGGAAUUUAAUUAGCCCAGCUCAUGAUCGUUGUCACAGGUGGUAAGCUGUGGGAGAAAGGAAAAAAAGCCUUGCUCGAAAAGGAAACGCAACAAACAUUUGGGUGAUUCGGACAGGCUCUCAGCAGGAUAGUCUCGAUUCCUUAAGCCAAAACUUGACUCAAUCUUAGAUAUCGUGAGCAAAUUGUUGACACAUUCUUGUAUUCCAUUAUGUCAAGUACGUUCCAGCAUUUAUAUAAAGGUUGAGCUGAUGACUUACGAGUCCUAUGUAGGGGUGAUAAAAGGGCCCUCUAAUUUAGCCUAGAAAACUUAAGGAUCGGGCUCAAUAAGGGCCGGGUCAUAAUAUUAUAUGAUUUUGAACUAAAAAUAGAUAAAGCUGAGUUGGAUUGUAAAGGAGGCAUGAGGGUCAUGAUCCAUUACCACCCCUAGUCAUAUGCACAAGAGAUUGGUUUAUGGUUACCAAGCAGGUAUUAACUACUCCCGCCGUCCUGGAAAAAACAAGUCGUUUUAGGAUUGUCCUAAGUCAAAUUUUUCUGAGUUUUGCCAAGAUAAUAGAAAAAACUACAAAUAUUUAUGGUAUGAAAUAAGUACCAUUAGAUUUAUCAUGAGAUAUAUUUUUAUAGUGUACGUAUUUAAUGCCGUAAACAUUGAUAUUUUUCUCUAUAAAUUUGAUCAAAGUUGGAAAGUUUGACUUAAGACAAACCGAGAAUGACUUGUAUUUUUGGGACAGAGGGAAUAUGCUCUAUUAAAUACAUAUAGAUCCAUACAUUUCAAUUGCAUACAAUAAACUUCAUUACUAGCGGAACCUACUAACCACAGCCGGUGAGUAUAUAUAUUCCCUCUCUUUCUUCCUCUCUGUUGCUUCGCUCAAGGUACAUCCUGUAGUAGUUCCUCUCUGUUGCCUCUAACCGGUAAAUCUAAAGAGAGACCCAGUGUAAACGAAUUUGGCACCUGUUAAAAUCCGAUUAGUACACAUUUCUUACUCUACAUAAAUACAUAUAUAUAAAUAUAUAUAUACAAAUAAAUAUCUAGCUAUCAGCUUCACUGUAAUCCUGCCCUUGGCUGCUAGCCUGCUAGUCCUGCACCACGUGGAAAGGAAUUUAUGCGUAGAAAACAUAAUCCUGUUCAUAGAUGCUAGCCUGCUACGCGUGCGCCACGCGCAAAGGAAUAGACCUAAACAAAGUGAAGGAUGCCCAGAGGGUGCUUUGUCAUCGUCCAAUGAAUCUGAACGGGAUGCAUUGCUCAGUUCUUCAGCUACUAGUGCCUAAAAUAUGAUAGUGGCAUUGCAUGGGCAUCAAGCUACAAUAAACUUGAGAUAUAUUUAUGGUUUGAAAUAAGUACCAUUAGAUUUAUGAUUUGAAAUAAGCACCAUUAGAUUUAUCUUGAGAUAUAUUUUUAUAAUGUACGUAUUUAAUGCCGUAAACAUUGAUACUUUUCUCUAUAAAUUUGAUCAAAGUUGGAAAGUUUGACUUAAGACAAACCGAGAAUGACUUGUUUUUUGGGACAGAGGGAGUGUGCUGUAUAUUAGCGUUGUAUUUUGUGGCACAUGAUAAAAAUAUAACCACAUAUGGAUCCGUUGGUACAUAUAAACCAUUGGUGCAAUCCAAGGAACAUAACUAUAUAUAGCCAUUGCUGCAUUCCAAUCAUCGUAUAUUAAAUACAUAUAGAUCCAUACAUUUCAAUUGCAUACAAUAAACUUCAUUACUAGCGGAACCUACUAACCACAGCCACACGAGCAACUGUCUCCGGAAUCGCCAACACUGCCGCAUGAUCAGCCACUGCAAUCCCAGAGUUAUGAUGCCUCGCCAAAUAUUAAAGCAAGCCAUCAAGCCUCGAUCAUAUAUACACAAUAUCCACUUCCAUUUAAUGGAACCCGUGAUCCCACCCUGGUUUUCAUGAGGCGACCAUCCCCAUGUGACAUAUACGAUUGCUAGACAAUGCCAUGCGCGGAAUAUGCACACGCCUGGUGCGUUUGAUUCGAUUCUCAGGUCAAGAUUUCUUACAAUUUCACCUACCACAUCGAUGUGAUUUUGGUAAGGAAUAUUUUUCCUUUUAAAUUCACCUGUGGAGGACCCCUUAGUAUCAGCUCGUAACAGCAACCAGUACCAAGUGGCCUGAACCGUCUAUCCACCACAAAUAUACCAGCUUAAUAAGUUAGACCUAUUACUAAUGCUAAUAUUAGUAUCAAGUCUUAUUUUAGCUGGUAUAUUUGUUGGGGAUUUAUAGUGGUUUCUAUAGUAGUGAGUCCUCGCCGGUGAGUAUAUAUAUUCCCUCUCUUUCUUCCUCUCUGUUGCUUCGCUCAAGGUACAUCCUGUAGUAGUUCCUCUCUGUUGCCUCUAACUGGUAAAUCUAAACAGAGACCUAGUGUAAACGAAUUUUGGCACCUGUUAAAAUCCGAUUAGUACACAUUUUUUACUCUAAAUACAUACAUAUAUAUAAAUAUAUAUAUACAAAUAAAUAUAUAUUGACCAGCUUUAACGCCUUGUGGAAUUGGAUCUAGCUAUCAGCUUCACUGUAAUCCUGCCCUUGGCUGCUAGCCUGCUACUCCUGCACCACGUGGAAAGGAAUUUAUGCGUAGAAAACAUAAUCCUGUUCAUAGCUGCUAGCCUGCUACGCGUGCGCCACGCGCAAAGGAAUAGACCUAAACAAAGUGAAGGAUGCCCAGAGGGUGCUUUGUCAUCGUGCAAUGAAUCUGAACGGGAUGCAUUGCUCGGUUCUUCAGCUACUAGUGCCUAAAAUAUGAUAGUGGCAUUGCAUGAGCAUCAAGCUAGUAGGGUGACUGAGCUGAGUGAGCACAGGUACCUUGGUGCCAACGGUGAACAGUAAUGCCAAGGCCAUGCACACUUCAGGUGUCGCGGUAAUAAACAACAACUAUUUGAUCGAAAAGAAACCAAUCGGGAAUCUUGGAGAUUUUGUAGUAGUGUUCGAUGUCUUCUAGCGGCUUAUCUCCUAAGCUGAACAUUCCAUCAUCUUAGCAAGUAGAAGCUGAGAGGGAUUUACACCUACCGCUACACGGAGUGUCUUCCAGGAUUCUCGAGUAUAUUUUUUUUAUUGCCAAUGACCAUAUAGCUUGCCUCCUCUAGGAAUUUCUUUAAUAGGCAAGGGUUUUACCUCUAUGAGAUGUCCCUAUCUGAGUACAAAAACCUCGACCACUUAGAAAAUGAUGAACAAAGACAGCAGUCGUUGGUGUCCGAAGAAAAAUAAAUUAAAGAUGCAUUUUUAGAAAUUUUAAACUUCUUGUACCUUUGGACUGGCUCGAUGGUCAUAUUUUCUAAGUACAAGUUUAUGUGACAACUUAUGAAUUCGUUCAAAAAUACAUGUUCGAAUUUGUCAACCAUAGCACCCACUAUCAGCUUGAUGAGAACCGGUUAUGAUCUUCAGAUAACUUGCUGCAGAUAGCAAUAAUUACUGCAACCUGGCAAAUAAAACUUAAAGAAAACCACAAUCUUUAAUCUGCAACUUGAGAAUCAAGGGUUCAUCUAAUCACACUCCCACAGAACCAACCAACACAACCUUGAAUAAAACGGACCUGGAUCACCAAUUGGAGCUGAUGAAGAGGCCACUUUUGUAAUCGCUCAAGAAAAUUAGAACUGCAAAGGUUGUAAUGGACGAUAAAAAUCUUGUUAACUAGCUUUGAUAAAAGGAUUAUUUAUACUAGUAACAACCUUCCUAGACUGGUGUAAAUGGACCUUGGAGUUUUUUAGUAAUAGUAGCUCAAAAGUCACAGCAAAAACUACUAUACAAUCCUAUAGCACCGCCGGCCCCCGACUCCCCAUCACUGCCGGUUUCGGAUCAAUCAUUUGAAAUUCGGCUGUGACGGGGCGUCGGUGUUUAGACCCAGCAACUUACCAAGGGGAUACCCGAUGUAGUGUUUUAUGUGUGGGCCUUGGCGAUAUCAGGAACUCGAAGCUCAACUCAAACACACGAUUUAGACAGGUUCGUGCUGCUUAUGGCAUGUAAUACCCUACGUCAUGUCUAUUGGUUAGAUUGUAUUGAUUGAAGUUGUUUUAAGGGGGUCCCUGCCUCGCCUUACAUUGCUGGGGGUAGGGUUACAGGUCGGUUGUUUACAAGAAUACUAGUCGGAUUUGACUAGAGAGUCCUACUCUAAUUGCUAUGAGCAGUUUCCUAAUCCUUGACUAGUUCUUGUCCUCCAUGAAAACCACGUCAUCAUGCACCGUAGUCUCCAUGUCUGACACAUCUCGGUGUACAGCUCCGUAUUGUAGGACUUGUCCAACCCUCCCGGUGGGCCCAUAGAUGUAUGGCCGACAAGCCCCCGAGUACUUUUUGGUAAAAUGUAGCAGUACCGAGUACCCGUUCAUCUUCCACACUGUAGCCCUCGCGGUGCUGCUUGCCAUUCUUGAGUUCGAGUACCAUCCUUUCCCACUGCCUAGCCCCCGUGCUUAUGCGCAAGAAGACCCUUGCGACAAUGGGAAACAAAGCAUCCUCCAGCAAGGCGGUGGAGACCAAGAAAAGGAAGGCCAUCAAGAAGGAGAAGGAAAUCCAGCUACCCGCGCUCGAGCCGCUGCCUAGCCACCGCCACUCCCGCGCAUGUUCACACCCGCACCAACUGCUCGUGCUCCCCGUCACCGCCAACCAUUUCUGGCACCGCCACCCGCGCCUCCCGCGCCACGUCAAAGCCUCCCGUGCGCUGCGCCGGCUAUGCCCCUGCCGCCGCUUGUGCGCCGCCACCGCCGAGGCCCAUUUGCCGCCGCCCACGUCCUUGGCCCGGUCGCCUCUACCGCCGGGCCUGGCCGCCGCCGAACGCAUUCCAUCCACCGGCCACGAGAUUGACCGGAUGGAAGGAGGUUGAAGAUGAUAAGGUCGUUUGCAAUUUAGCCCUCGGAGAAAGUUGUAAUCUCACGAUCCAAUCCAGUUCUAUGUUUUACCAUGUUUAAGCCCUCAGUUUUCGCAAAUAGGCCCCUAGAAGCUUAGUUUUCUCUCAGUUAAGCUCUUGCACCUUGUUUAGAUCAUAUCUUUCACGUUUUUGCUCCGUUUUGAGUUAUUCUGUAACACCCAAAAUCUCCAACCUUGCAUUUUACUAAAAUUUGCUAGAAACAAUUUUGCUUGUUUAAGGCAUAUAAGGUCGUUUUGCAUUUUUUAUGCAUUAAAAGCAUUUUCUAAAUGAAUUAAUGAAAUAUAGGAAUUUAAUUGAGCAUUCAUGCUGCUGCAUACUGUUCUUCUUGAUUGCUGAUGUCAAGUUGUGUUUUGGCUUUCAGUUGCUUGCUCCUUUCUCUUUCUGUUAGUUCAGUUGCUUGUCCAGGUUUUCUUCAGUUUCAGUUCAGUGCUGUGUCCGGUUUCAGAAAGUUCAGUUUCAGCUUUUGGUCUUCUUUCUGUCAGUAGGAGCUCCUGUCCAGUUUCAGAGUUGAUCAGGUUCAGUUAGCGUUGCUCUGCUGGGCGCUUCUGUUUUCAGACGUGCAGCAGCUGCUAGCUGCGUUUCGCAGCAAGCACCGGCUCCGGCACUUUGUGGCCCGCUUAAUCCGUCGCAGCGGCCUGCGACUCAUUUCUUUGCUCUGGCCCAGCUCCGUUCCUUUUCCCCGCAGUGGCCCAGCUAGCAAGCAGCAGUGCAGCGCCAGCUUCCUUUUCCAGCCCAGCUAGUGGCCAGGCUGUUUCCGCAUGGCACCGCUUUUUCCCCUGGCGAUCGGCACGCAGCCCAGCUUCGCUUCUCCCUCGCUCGGCCCAGCUGCUCCUCUCCUGCACGCCGCAGCUUCUCUCUGGUCGCUGGGGCCCGCACGUCAUCUUCUCCACUCGCACGCCUGACUUCCUUCCGCGAGCGCCACUUUUGCCAGCCAUCGGAUCGCCAUCCGACGGUCCGCGUCGAGUCGAUCUGGAGCAUACCGGUCAACAGCCGUGCUUUUGCAUUUUAGCCCCUGCGAUUUCUGCGUUUUGCGCCGCUGUCCUCCUGCAGUUCAAAACUAUUUAAAAUCAGAUCCCUGUAAUCUCAGUUUUCUCGAAGUCUGCAUCUUGUUUUAAGCGCAGUUUUUGUAUCUUAGCUCCGUUUUUAAUGUUCUUUAUAUUCGCGUGUUUGUUUUAAUGCGUAGAAUAGUUUUGUAAGCUUGUUUUCUCUGAUUGGUGUACUGUUUUCUUAUGUAUUGCAUUUGUUUUCUUGUAUGUGCUUGUGUGGCGUGUAGACGGUCAACAGUUCGAGGGAUUUGAAGAUCAAACUUUCGAGGAGUAGGAACAACAAGAGCAAGGUCAAGAAGGCAAGUCGUGUCCUUGAUCACUUCUUUGAUUCCUAUUCACCUUUACUUUCAUGUUCUAUACAAUAUUGCCUUGAUCACUUCUUUAAGUCCUAUUCACCUUUACUUUCAUGUUCUAUACAAUAUUGUCGUGCACAGUAUAGUUUAAACUUGAUGGGUCCCAAUUAAGGAUGUCCUAGAUUUAUUUACCUUUGCUUUGACCAACCAGGUUAAAUUUAUGUUGGGUAGCUCAUACUUAGUGCUCAAACAUGGUUAUGGUGGUUUAAUCUGAAACAUUAUUAAUUUGGUAUUAUUUGCUAUACCUCUCAUUAAUUCAAGAUCACAAAUGUUAAAUUGAACAUGGAGAACCACCCAGGAAAAUAGUGCUACCACAAGAUGAUAAGGUCGUUUGCAGUUUAGCCCUCGGAGAAAGUUGUAAUCUCACGAUCCAAUCCAGUUCUAUGUUUUACCAUGUUUAAGCCCUCAAUUUUCGCAGAUAGGCCCCUGGAAGCUUAGUUUUCUCUGAGUUAAGCCCUUGCAUCUUGUUUAGAUCAUAUCUUUCACGUUUUAGCUCCGUUUUGAGUGAUUCUUUCGCUCACGUGUUUGUCUUAACAUUUAGAUAUUCUUUGUACUUUUUUUCAGUACUGUUAGUGAUGUUUGGUGUACUAUUUUUAAUUUAAUUUAUUUAUUUGCUUGUAUGUGCUUGCUUUGGAUGUUUGCUUUGGAUGAUUGUCAUGAGUAGAACGAACACACUUUGAGGACAUUCAAGAGUAAGGAGAUGGAAACAUUCUAAGCAGCAGUUGUACUGUGGAUAAAUGCAAGUUGUGUCCAUGAUCACAUUAUAUCCUAUACAACAUUUAUAUAUGAAACAUAUGCUAUGCACGCUUGAGUCUUAAUUUGAUGGGUCCUGAUUAAGAAUUUACCUAUUUCCAUAUUAUACCACAUCAACCAGGGUUUUACUUUAUUGUUGGGUAGCUACGCUAGUUGCUAUACCUGGGUGGGAAGUAAUGAACAACGAUGAACCUGAUUUAUUUUUUGUUAUGCAGCUUUGUUAAUUGCAACCACUCACAUGCCUUAAUUGGAACAUGGAGUGAUGACCCAAGAAAACCGUACAAUCAUAAGAUCUAUGGGCUUUGAUCUUGGCUAAUUAAUUAGAGACUCUAGUUUGUGAUAGUCUUACCAGAAAGGCAAGAGGGGCUACUAACUCUAGUAGCACUAGUAGAGAAUUGGCCUUUAGUCCCGGUUGGUAGGAUGCAUAUCUCCCGAAAAUCCAUCCGGGAUAAACCAACCGGGAUGAAAGGGGGGGUCUUUAGUCCCGGGUCUUUCAACCGGGAGUAAAGGUCACCCUUUAGUCCCGGUUGGUGUCUGCCAUGCCAGGCGCGGGACAGGCUCUUUACUCCCAGUUGGUAAAAGCAACCGGGAGUAAAGGGUGCCCCUUAGUCCCGGUUGGAUUUCCCAACCGAGACUAAAUGACGCCUUGCAUGACACCCUGCGUGGCGCCUGAAAUUUUCAUGGAUGCAUCACGUACGUAGUACCGCGGCCCUUUUGUUAACCUUUAGUAGUUGAGAUUUUUUUUAGAAUGAAAUCAACUAGUAUUUAAACGAAUGAAAUUUGUAAUUAUACAAUUACUAUAUAUACAUAAUUCAUAUACACAAUUCAACUAGUACAAAUCGAUCAUAAUUAGCGCGUAUUAUAUAUACAAAUAAAUCAAACUAUAUAUCUACAAUCAUUCUGUCGAGGUGUUGCUGCUCGGAGCAUCGAAUUGUCGUCCAUCGUAAUAAAAUUCUCCUUUUAGAUUUACCACCUCGUCCAUUAGGAAUCCAAUGAGACCUUCACAUAUUGCCGCUACUCUUUCUUCCUUCAAGAGUCCUUGUUGAAUAUUUAACAUCUAUAAUUUGGAAAUUUGUGAAUGUUACACGAACAAAUAAAUAUAAGGAGCUAGAAAAUAAUUAACUAGUAAUAGUUUUAUUUUACGUACUUUAAAGUUGUGCGGCGUCAUCUUUAGUCCCUUGGGUCCCAUAAAACUGUGCAUGUGCUCACGGAUGUAGUAGCCACAUAGAUUAUUCCCGGGUUCCUGUCUUAAGCACUUUAGUGCGAAAAAAAAUAAGUUAUGAAAUAUUCGUGUUAUACAAUGUAAAAAAUGUGCAGACUUCAUACGUACCGGGAAGUCUGCGUUCCAUGUAAGUUUUUCUUUGAAUGGACCUUUGUGUGUCCUUAUGAAUUGUUUCCAUGCGCUACGGAUUAGAAUAAUGAAUGAUAUAGUGUAAUAGGGAUAAAAUUUAGGAAACAAACUUUUGCAUAGAGAUAAAAGUCCAGACUUAUUACAAGCCUAGCAUGUCUUGCAUGUCUUGGUACUCCAACGGAUCUUUCCUCAACGAAUCGAAGACAGUGACGUGGCUUCUUUCAGGCUCAAUUAUAAUAAGGAUCCAGUGGAAGCUGCGUACGUAAAAUGUUCAUGCAUAUUAGAGCUAACUAACAUGUAGAGAUAAGGAAAAAGACAACGAAAGUAGACGAUAUACACACACUUACUUGAAGUUGUAUGGAAGUAGUAUGAAAUCCUUGAAUGUUUGUUUGUCUAGGAAAUUGUAUACUUCCACCAAGGUUUUUUCCGGCUCUAAUUGUAUCUAUUUUUGGUUAACUACAGAUGGAUCCAUGAAGCCUAUAUGUAGCAUCCUACAUAAAAUGGAAGACGAAGUUAGCACGGUGACGCACGCCAAAAUUUACAUGUAGAGAUAAACAGACACUUACAGAACCCAAGCGCUGAUCAGAGAGACGUCCAGGGCAUCAUGAUGGUACACUUCGUAUAUAUCCUUGAAGUCUAGCCACAACACUUUCUCGCCUUCGCCGUAAAAAUCUAUCGGUUUUACCUUCAGGCUGAACAUCUCCCUCGAGUCGGCGGAUGCCAUCAUGUAUCAUUGAUGGAAUGUGUACAUCUUUGUUGAUAGCUUCCGUACCAACGAAGGCCUUAUAAGAGGUUUGCCUAGCUCAUAAGGCCAUCUCGGCUCAGGGGGCGGUGCAGUUAGCGUCUCAACUUGUCCUAAGCAUUCAUCAAGUCCCAGACCUGUUUCUUGCAUGAAUUUUAAUACUUCUGCUUGUUGAUCCAAAGGCAUUGCUGCUACCCUUUGAGCGUCUUUUUUUGAUAAAUGGUUGAGGUCGGGGACAACACCACUGGAAGAUGACUUUCCUUUCCUUUUGUCCUUUUCAUCAGCCUUUACUAAAGCCCGUUCAUAGUUUGAUAAGAGUGGUAUCCUUUUCUUGGCUCCUUCUUCCAUCCUGAUAAAAAAGUUUAAAUCUCUUCGAUUUACUGGUGGUGGCUCCAUCUCCCUUGCUUUUUUUCUUCUGCUUGUUUCUUGAACCACUCACUGGCCUCUCAUUGGAUUUCUGCCCACUGUUCCGCAUGAGUCAUUGCCUCCCAGCGUUCCUUACGAGUCACUUCAGGAUCAUUUGUUUUCUUCUUUCUCUGUCUUUGCUUGGGAGGCGGUGCUCGUGACUUCUUUAGUGGUGCUGCAGGUUCCUUCAUGGGGGCUGCUCUUGGUGCCGGUGACGGUGAUCGGGGAGGGGUGUUGUUAUUGUCGUCGUCGCUCCCACCACCAGGAUGUGGUCGAGAUGGAGACCUUGAUAUAGCAGGAAGCGACGGUCCUGGAGUAGGUUGUGCAGGAGAUGACGGUCUUGAGCUAUGAGGAGAAGGUCACUUCUAGGGAUCUACGAGGAGCGGUCUUGAGCUCUGAGGAGAUGGCUCCGUGCCGGGAAUAAUGAUGUAGCGUUUUCGCCAUAGAAUGAUCCCAUGAAGCGCAUCUGCCAGUGUAUUUUCCCCGUCGCCUCCCGGAAGGUCGAGCUCUAGGCCUUCAUAUUGGCUAUCAACAAUUUGCUCUACGCGGACGCUGGUGUAGCCAGGUGGAAUCUCCAUGCCAUGACUGCUCUGCCCCGCCAGGGUUGCUAACGCACUCCCGUACGCUACCUGUACAUAUAGCAGAAAUAAACAAGUUAUUAAAGUCCGAUCACGAGGCGUGGAUCAAUUGACAAGAUUGCAUAAAUAUUAUGUAUAAGUAUACCUUAAUAGUGAGGUUGCCGACCGGUGCAUGCAGCUCACAUGUGGUGCGUUGUGUGAUGGCAUCCACGGGGAACCGUCGCUCCUCCACGGGUAACUUGGGCGUCUGCGCAUCGGGGACCCCUGUAGAAGCACAACUGCUCAAGAGGCUUUGAGAAGGGCUGGCGUAGUUUGGAUUCGGCAAUGCUCCAGAUUGGGCCAACUCCGCAACUACGUGGGCCACUCGACGAUUGAUUUCCUCCAACAUUCUUUGUUCUUGUGCCUGCACUUUGGAUUCUAGCAUCUGCCGCCAGCUCUCCUCGAUCUAUUCCUUUCUUCGCUUGCGGCUUCUGUACGAUGCGCUGUCACCUCGGAAAGCAAACUUCCAUGGAAUGACCCCGAACCCUCAGCAACGUCCUGGGUGCUCGAGAUUACUGAGGGCCAAUGUGAGCUCAUCAUUCUCUCGGUCUUCCUUCAACCUCCCAACCCUAGAAUCUAUAAUGUUCUUCAUAAGACGUUCGGCCUUCUCACGUAUUGUGUCAUUGAAAAUCAACGUCCCAUCCUCUUGGCUUAGGGAGCCUCCAUGAGCGUAAUAUCAAUUUUUUGAUUGUUCGGGCCAUUCAAUAGUUGCAGGUACAAUUCCCCAUUCGAUCAGAUCUUGUUCCAUCUUCCUCCAUUUGGGAAUUGCUGUGCCAUAACCACCUCGCCCAAGAUGAUGAUGGUAGCCCUUCUGACUAGCAUUUGUAGUGUUGGUUAGGAUUUUUUUCACACCGUCUUCACUCCUCUUAUAUUCAACGAAUGCCUCCUAGUGGUCCCUCAACUUUGGCCACGCGUUGAAGUCUGGAGUUCGGCCCUUCUUAAUGUAGUGGGCAUCCAGCAUCUUCUUUAAUGUCUAGAAUUGUGUAGCCAUCUUCUUCAGCGUCCACGCUUUCACAUCCUUUUCAAUAUAUCCUUCAGGGAAUGUGAAAUGUCUCUUGACGCCUUCCCACAGCAUAUUCUUUUCUAUCUCCGGGAGGGCGUACGGAUUAGUGCUUCUGCCCUUCCAUUCUCUGAUGCUGAUAGGCAUGUUGUCCCGGACGAUUGCCCCGAUCUGACUCACGUACUUCUUUGCUACUUUCUCGGGAGGAACCGGUCUGCCCUCUUUUGUCACUUCCGUGAUGACAAGUCUCCCUUCCAUCACCUUUGUACGACCUUGGGUCUUCUGCCCUUGCGUCGAUCCAGAGGGCUAACAGUUCAAGACUCAUUAAUUAGUACGUAGUAGUAACACUGGCGUGAAACAAUACAAGAUUCGUUAUAUAUACCUCGCCGGAACCUUCCGCCACGGCAAGGUGUUGCUAGGGCUGAUGCUCUUCAUUCAUAUCGGUGGACAUGUUGAGGAACAUGUCCUCCUAGGUGCCCUUUUCAUCGGUGUACGAUAGUGGAAGGUUGUCGCCACUACCAUCACCAGCGAUUAUCUGCUCCAUGAGAUACCUUGCGGUCUCGUCGUUUGCCAUUUCAACUAUUGAUUGAAACAUACAUGGAGUCAUACAUGACAGUCAUAGAAAUCGCCUUAGUUAUAUGUACAUAAGGGUAUAUACAUGAAAUCAUAAAAUAACAUGAAUCCCACAAAGUCCGGAAUGUUUAUACAAAUUUCAACAAAUUAGUAGUACUUUGUACGAAUUUCUACCAAAUUUCUACUAAUUUAUACAUAUUUAUUGGAAUUUCUAGCAAAUUACUACUAAUUCCUACUAAUUUUACAAUAACAUGAAUCCCACAAAGUCCGGAAUGUUUAUACAAAUUUCAACAAAUUAGUAGUACUGUGUACGAAUUUCUACCAAAUUUCUACUAAUUUAUACAUAUUUAUUGGAAUUUCUAGAAAAUUACUACUAAUUCCUACUAAUUUGAUUUUCUAACUAAUAUACAAAUAUCUAUUGAUUUUAUAACUAAUUCGUUCCCGGCGCCAGUGCUGGCGGACCACGUGCGGUCGACGGUGCCUAGGUUGGGACGGUGGCGGCCGAGGCAGAAAGAUGGCGGAGGCGGGGACGGAGCAAGGUGGCCGCGAAAACGAUUAAUUUCUAACCUAGGCAGAGGCGAGGACGGACGUCUCUGGAAUUAGCCACCGUCUCCUAUGCGAAGGAAUGAACCACGAUGAAACACGAUUAAUUUCUAACCUAGGCGAAGCGACUAACUAAUUACUACUAAUUACUACUAAUUUCGACUAAUUUGAUUUUCCAACACAUAUACAAAUAUCUAUUGAUUUUGUAACUAAUUACUACUCAUUUCUAUUUAUUUUCUAACUAAAAAAAAGGCCCUUGUUGACGCAAGCCGGUGGGCUUGCGUCAGCAAGAGCGGUACUCCCGACGCCUGUGCUGGCGGACCUCGCGCGGUCGACGGUGGCCGGGGCGACGGGACGGCGGCGGCCAGGGCGGUGGGAUGGCGGAGGCAAGGACGCAGCGAAGCAAAUGCCGGGCGGAGGUGGCCGGCGAUGAGGGGGGACGAGGUGGCGCGCGCGACAGAGGCGGUGACGAGGACGGAGGCGGUGACGAUGCCCCGCGAUGGAGGCGACCGACGGCGACGAGGUCGAGGGGGCGCGACCGAGGAGGAUUGAGGCGGGCCGGGGCGAUGGAGGAGGAGGCUGUCUGGGCGCGGGCGAGGCGGUCGGGCGGCAGGACGACGAUGGCUAGGGCAAUGGGGGAUGACGACGAUGACGGCCGGCGAGGGAGACGGACGGGCGGCGACGGAGCAGAGCACGGGAUUUUGGCAAAAUUUUGGCUAAGUGUAACUGGCGUGGGGGGUAGAAGAGGCUACAGUCCCUUUUAUCCCCCCCUUUUAUCCCGGUUCGUAAUGCCACCCGGGACUAAAGGACCUUUUGCCCCGAGUCCCAUUACCAACCGGGAUAAAAGCCCACCCUCUUUUAUCCCGGUUGGUGAUGGGACCAGGGACAAAAGGGUACGUCCACCAGGCGGGACUCAGAGCCUACUCUUUUAUCCUGGGUGCCACUACCCCCCUUUUAUCCCGGUUGCCAACUGUAACCGGGAUAAAAGGGUACGUCCCGGCGGGAGGCAAAAACUACCCUUUUAUCCCAGUUGCAGCAGUUUGCAACCGGGAUAAAAGGAGGGGCCUUUUGUCCCGGUUGGUGUUGGCACCCGGGACAAAAGGACCUUUUCCCAUUUUUCGUCUCCCGCCUAUUUUUUGGAAAUGGAUUUUAUUAAUGUUUUCAUUGCAUCUCAGGAUGAAAAACAAAAACCUUCACAUAUUUUGUACAUGCAAAAAUAUAUUUAAUUAGCGAGGUUAUUGACAAUAAGUGUGAUUUAGUCAUUAAUUCUAUACGAGUUCAUUUAGCCUCUAAAAUAUUUAUUUUAGAGCAUCGCUGUGAUCAAGAAAUUAUUCAAUUAAAUAAUUUCAACGCGCAAGGUCAUGUAUAUAUGUGGUUAACAUUGUUCAUGUUUAUCUAAUAAAUCUUCACCUAACAAAUUUAAGAACACAUGAAAUCAUACAUAGGGUAAAUUAAAAAUUGUAUCAACUACUACACAAAGGUCAUGUAAAUUUAGCGCAUUACAAUACAACAUUGUAAAAUUUCUUCUUCACGAAAGUUCCUUGAUCAUGAUCGCGGUGUAAGUACGGAGCCUCUUCUUUGGAUAGCAGGAUGCUUGGAUCAACUUCAACUACGAAUGGAGGCAUGCCAUCAAACUGAUCAUAAUCAUCUGAUUGGUCUAUUUUAUACUCGACUCCCACGAUUUUUCUUUUACCUGGAAGAACUAUGUGGCACUUUGGCUCCCAUGUCUCUUCUGGAUUUCUCUUGGGUUUGCUGCACAUGUCCUUCACAUAGAACACCUGAUGCACAUCAUUGGCAAGUACGAAUGGGUCAUCACUGUAUCCAGUCUUGCUCAGAUCUACUAUUGCCAUUCCGUACUGAUCUUUGGUGACGGCAGUUAGAUUCACCCAAUUGCAAAGAAAUAGAGGGAUGUACAGCGGUCCGUAUUCGAGUUCCCAUAUCUCCUGUAUGAAACCAUAAUACGACUCCUUGCUAUUAUUUCUAUCCAUGGCAUCUAUGCAGACACCACUAUUCUGGUUCGUGCUUUUCUAGUCUUGGGCUCUCGUGUAAAAUGUAUAACCAUUUAUCUCAUAGCCUUGGAAUUUCACGAUUGUGCUAGCAGGUCCCCUGGCUAACUAGGCAAACUGUGGGUGAAUCUCAGAGUUACCCAUAAGUUGUUGGCACAACCAGGAGGGAAAACUUUCCAUGUGAUGAUGGGUAAGCCAAGCAUCGGAUUUGGUCGGGUUUUUGAAAACUACCAUCUGCCUGUGCUGCUCGAUAUACGGAGACACAAAGGAUGACUGUUGUAGAACAGGGUAGUGUGCCUUGUCGAACAAAUCAGUAUCAUUGCUGAAACUUAAUUUCCUUCCAAGGGUGCCCAUUCCUCGGAGCCUCCCCUCGUGGCAUGAAGUUGGAACCCUAAUUGAGUCAAUUGAAUCAAUAAAAUCAACACAAAACUCGAUCACCUCCUCUGUUCCACAUCCCUUGGCGAUGCUUCCUUCUGGACUGGCAUGAUUAAGAACAUAGUUUUUUUAGGACUGCCAUGAACCUCUCGAAGGGCCACAUAUUGUGCAGGUAUACAGGUCCGAGAAUACCAAUCUCUUUUACUAGGUGAACCAGUAAGUGCGUCAUAAUAUUGAAGAAGGAUGGUGGAAAUAACAACUCAAAACUGACAAGACAUUGCACCACAUCGUUCUGUAGCUUUGAUAGCUUGGAUGGAUCGAUUGCCUUCUGCGAAAUCGCAUUAAGAAACGCGCAUAGCUUUACGAGCGGCAACCGGACAUUUUCUGGUAGAACACCCCUUAGUGCAACUGGAAGCAACUAGGUCAUCAACAUGUGGCAGUCAUGGGCCUUGAGAUUUGUAAACUUCUUUUGUUUCAUAUUUAUUAUUCCCUUUAUAUUCGAGGAGUACCCAGAUGGGACCUUCAUACUAUUCAAGCAUUCAAACAUGCUAUCCUUCUCUUCCUUGCUGAGAGUGUAACUGGCAGGAUGUAAGUACUGUUGUUCAUUAUCUCGCUUUUUCGGAUGUAGGUCAUCUCGUUGCCCCAUGGCUUUCAGGUCCUGUUGUACUUCCAAUGUAUCUUUCGAGGUCCUAUAAACACCCAUGAAGCCUAGCACGUUCACGCAAAGAUUCUUCGUCAGGUGCAUCACAUCUAUUGCAUUGCGAACCUCUAGGAUUUCUCAAUAAGGUAGCUCCCAAAAUAUUGACUUUUUCUUCCACAUGGGUGCAUGUCCGUUAUCAUCGUUCGGAACAGGUUGGCUACCAAGACCCUUUCCAAAGACUACAUUUACAUCCUUCAUCAUCUCGAAGACACGCUUUCCAUUACAGUGUGCAGGUUUUUUACGAUGGUCUAGCGCCCCUUUGAAAUGCAUCGCGCUCUUUCUCAGCUGGUGGUGAGCAGGGAGAAAUCGAUGAUGACCCAUAUAGACGACCUUCUUACAGUACUUCAAAUACAUGCUGUCUGUGUCGUCUAAACAGUGGGUGCAUGCCCGAUAUCCCUUAUUUGUCUGUCCUGAAAGGUUACUCAGUGCAGGACAAUCAUUGAUGGUUACGAACAACAAUGCUCGUAGAUUAAAGAUCUGUUGUCUAUCCUCAUCUCACACACGUACACCUUCUUCCUUCCAGAGCUGUAAAAGGUCAUCAACCAAUGGUCUUAGGUACAUCAAUGUCGUUGCCGAGUUAUUUUGGGCCUUGGAUAAGCGCUGGCAUCAUAAUGAACUUCCGCUUCAUGCACAGCGAAGGAGGAAGGUUGAACAUACAUAGGGUCACAGGCCAAGUACUAUGGCCACUACUCAACUCACCGAAUGGAUUGAAUCCAUCAGUACUUAAACCAAACCUUAUGUUCCUUGCUUCACUUUCAAAGUCCGGGAAUGCUCUAUCAAUUGAUCUCCACUGGGCCCCAUCUGCGGGGUGUCUCAGCAUCUCAUCUUUCAUACGUUCUUAUUUGUGCCAUCGCAUCAACUUAGCAUUCACCUUGUUCCUGAACAAGCGCUUUAAGCAUGGUAUUAUAGGGAAAUACCACAUCACCUUCGCGGGAACUCUCUUCUUGGGAGACUGCCCCUCGACAUCACCAUGAUCAUCUCGCCUGAUCUUAUACCGCAGCGCUUCGCAGACAGGACAAGCAUCCAAUUUCUCGUAUUCAUCACCACGAUAGAGGAUACAGUCAUUAGGGCAUGCGUGUAUCUUCUGAACAUCCAAUCCGAGAGGGCAAAUAGUCUGUUUAGCUUCAUAUGUUGUGGACGGUAAUUCAUUAUUCUCGGGAAGAAUCUUCUUGAUAAUGUUCAACAUCCCCUAAAAUGCCUUAUCGGACACACCAUUUUUUGCCUUCCAUUGCACAAAUUCUAGUGUCGUAUCUAGUUUUUUAUGGCCCUGCUGGCAACCUGGGUACAACAAUUUUUGGUGAUCAUCUAUCAUGCGCUGCAACAUUGCUGCUUCCUUCUUAGUUUCGUAGCACUUAGCAGAGUCCUGUGUUUUUAAUAAACAGUCGCUACCCCCUGGUAUGUGCCGCUUUCCUAAUCAAAAGAUAGGAGAGCACCCCUUCUCCCGAAGUUACGGGGUCAUUUUGCCGAGUUCCUUCGACAUGGUUCUCUCGACGCGCCCUAGUAUACUCUACUUGUUCACCUGUGUCGGUUUGGGGUACGGUCAGUUCACCGGGAGGAUCGCCCUCCCAAUUCGAAGUUUUUUCCUGGAAGUUUCAACCGUCGUUGACUAUGACAAUAGUCGUGACCGACUAUUAAGAUCCUUGCGACUAUGGCAGGGCGGUACACUCUGCUCUCUCGCGACCUCUACUCUAAUCAAAAGACUAAAGGCUCCUACGGAAGAUGAAAAAGGCGAGGACUGAAAUGAGAAAGGAAGGAGUUCGGCAAGACGACUUCGGUUCACACGUGAAAGUGCUUCGAAAGGUGUCAGCAGGUGCGCAGAGCUGGAGCCGGCAUGUUCGCCCGCUGGGCCGAGUGUUCACCCACUUCAAAGUCUUCUUAGAGAGUCGAUCCGUGUCCGUCCCAGCAAGAAAACGGCUGCGCGUUAUUGUACUAACGCGCGAUGGAGCAAGAAAACGUAUGCGCGUGUACGGAAGCGCAACGGCUUUCGCGCUCAUCCCUUGCUUCAAAACUAAAGGUUUUAGCCCUCCGUUUGCUGGUCGCCAAAGACGAGAGCUUCGCCUUUGGAAGCGCCAGUAGCGUAGGGCGACCGGGCCAGCCGAGCCCCUCUGAAUUAGUUGACGGCUUUGAUGACUCGACGGUGAAUAUUAAGGAAAGGAGAGCGAGGGGAAGAGGGGUUUUAAAAACCCUUGGCCCGAUCAUCCAAUUCGCUCCGACGAUCCAGGCAUGGUUCAGUAGUCAAAGCAACUUCGUCACUUUCAUGUACCCAUCGGACGGCAGCCCUUUCGGGGGUUCCUUAGGGACCGAUUCACUCUGCGUAGAUUGACUGAAUGCAGAAAGCCUUCCACUGGCAGGCGAUCGUGUUUUUCACAGGAUUUCUUGUGUACAAUACAACAACAUGAAGAUCCAAAUACACAUAUUUAAAUUAAAGAUCCAAACAACAUGAUACAAUACAACAAGCCAUCCACUGGUUAUUAUCUAGGAGGACUUUAAGCAUCCUUGGGCGGUGAAGACGAAGGUUCCACUCACCCAGCCUCAUCCUUAGGUUUAUUUGUGUCGUCUGAAACGGUAGUACUAAGUGGACGUGAAACACCCAGGACUGAGGGUGGAGCAUAACGACCACCAAAAGGAGGUUCCUGACCCGCGGCAACAGCUUCUUCAUGACGUUGCUGCAAAUAACGAAGCAUUGCUUUUUCCAGCGCGCUCUUUUUCUUCGGCUUAUGCUGAGGGCCAACUAUGAUUGGAACCUUGCCAUAAUAGGAACCACGAUCGCCCCCACCAUCGCCACUUCCUCUAGUAGCAGAAGCCAUCUAUGUACAAAAAUUAUUAUCUUAACACUGCAUAAGUUGUUCAACUUGAAGACCGUGAUCAUCUCGCGAGGAUGUCCUCAACUGGGCGGCACCGCACUGCGUCAUGAAAGAGGUUAUAUGCUACGGAAAAGGGGACAUGGUCACGAUGUCCGUAUCCACUCUUUCUCGUAGAAUCGAACCUCCUUCUUGACAUACGUUGCUGCUCGGCGGAAAACAUCCUCGGAGAGAUGAACACGGUAUGCAAGUUCAACAAGUAGCAGAAGUCAUCUAUGUACAAAAAUUCUUUCCUUACCACUACAGAAGUUGUUGAACUUGAAGACCGUGAUCAAUUCGCGAGGAUGUCCUCAGCUGGGCGGCACCGUACUUCGUCAUGAAAGAGGUUAGAUGCUACGGAAAAGGGGACACGGUCACGAUGUCCGUAUCCACUCUUUCUCGUAGAAUCGAACCUCCUUCUUGACAUACGUUGUUGCUCGGCGGAGAACAUCCUCGCCGAGAUGAACACGGUAUGCAAGUUUAACAAGUAUGGAUUUGAAAAAUCUUAUUGAAUUUGAUAAGAUAAACCAUCUAGACAAGGUAGCAUCAUUCUUAAACCACUGCAAGAAUACAUACUAUAUAUGACACAUCAAUCUCCCUCACAUUCUAGCUCAAAAUACCUCUCCAUUUCUACUUUAUCACAUUGUAGCAAUUAAUCUUUCCAUCUCCAAAGCAUAAAUCAAAGUAUAACACAAGGAUGAAGUAGCAAACCUUCACAACACUUGUGUUGGCUAAGUGAAAUUCCCACGAAAAUGAGGGAAAAAACUUCGGGCAGCACCUCCCUUGCUUUGACACCACCGGAGAGUAGGUGAAGCUCAACUCUCUGUCUAUGUGCUGGACUGACUCGGGCCUGAGGAAGAAGAAAGGCCUCUGUCUUGGUAUAUAAUUGGGAUGAGUUUUUAUCCUGGUUAAAAACUCCAACCGAGACAAAAAGGAACACCUUUUGUCCCGGUUGAAAGUUUAGUCCCGGUUGGAGGGACUAAAGGGUGUCCCUUUUGUCCCGGUUGGAAGCUGCAACUGGGACUAAACUUGACCUUUUAUCCCGGUUGAAGCCUCCAACUGGGACAAAAGGGUGCCACCACCGACACCCCGGAACUAGCCGUUGCAACCGGGACUAAAGGGGGGCCUUUAGUCCCGGUUGCAAAUACCAACCGGGACUAACUCUACCCUCCAUUUUUGCCUACCGUGGCGCACCCCUUUUGUCCCGGGCCAACUUUAAACCGGGACAAAAUGGGGCGCAUCGAAAGCCAACUUCCCUUCUUAAAAAACAAAACUAAUUGUUGAGAAACUCAAUUUAUGCAGCAUUUAACUUUUAAGCCGAUCUGAGCUAACAUGGUUUUGUUCAAUAAUGCACUUCUCUUUGUAAUGUUAACUGCUCAAUUCAUGACGAGGAGAAUGUACAGUACAUGAAAGACGGCCUGAUGGACCGUACCCGAUAUGCAUCACGACUGGUUUCUACGCCGUUUCUGAGGAUGGAGCCUGGAACUGGAUGCACUACCUGGUUGCAUUGUUCGUUCAUCGUGAGCUACACUCUAUCGCCAGUUCGCCUUACCAUUAGUUAUAAACAUUAAUAUGGAGUGCGUAUAUGUCAUCAGUGUGAACUAUCGCAUGGAUCGUAUCUCAGAGUUUGAGGCAAGGGAGCUUUAUUUCAUACAGAUCGUAUAUCAAUGAAGAUCGACAAGGACUCCAUACUCAGAAACACAACACUCACAUGAUGUAGUGGCUAAAAUACGCUAACUCAGCUCGUGCAUGGUUUGGUUCUGCUUUCUCCUAAAUGCACUAACUCAGCUCUUCAGCUGCCAUCCUUCCCAGUAGUUGAGCUUCACGAAUAACAUGCGCCACAAAGGAGCGGCAAGGAAGAUGAGCUCAAAACAUUUCCAGCAUCAUCAGGCAUUCGGACUCGAGGAUCGCCUGGUCCGACCAAGGGGAGGCAUGCUGGAUUCACUCUUAACUCUGAAGCACAUUGGAAACUCUAUUCGAGAAUCUUAUUUCAUGUUGAAACAAUGUUCAUAAUUCAUAAUAAUACUUUCUUUAUUUAAGAACUCAUGCAAGGUAGAAUUUAUCUUUCAGACUUCGUUGACGCGGGCAAACUCUGUUUCUGUAGUUUUGUGGUAGAGUUCAUUUCGCACAACAUGAUGGCCAUGGUUACAUGCCAAAAGCUCUAAAGGUGGUGGUGGGAGAGAUUUUCCCACUGUCGGCCCAUCCUCUACAAUGAAUAUCGCCGCCAUGCCUAUCGAUAAAUGGAACUCAUAGUGGCAAUGCAUGAACCAUACCCUGUACAAAUACAAGGCAAAGGAUUAUCAUGCUGUGAGUGAGACCUAACCUUCACAUGCAUAAGACCAUGUCACAUGUACUACUAGACAUGGAAAUCCUAUACGCACCUGGAUUCUCUGCCACAAACCGGAUGGCAGCCCAGCCGAUCCUCGGGACGAGCACGGAAUUCCUCACUGGCGGAUCAACCAGGUUGUACUUGGCCACAUCCCUCGCCGCGUCAUAGUUACCGACACCCUGCGCAAGCACAAACAUGUCGUGACCAUGCAGGUGCAUCGGGUUGGAGUCGCUCUGCAUCACCGCCGUGCCCUGGAACACGAUAUCCACCACAGCACCAUGCCGAAAGCGCCGCGCCAAGCUACCCCUAGACGUAGGUUCUAGCUGCCCCUCCUUCGGCCCACAUGGAAUCAAGCCCCGGUUGGUGAAGUUGAACACCAUCGGCGGCCUAUCGGGAAGCUCUUGCAGCACGUCAAUAUCACUGGUGUGGUAGUAGUGCGCUUCUAGCAGUGGCAUGGUCGUGUCAGGGAGCUGAAAUGAGACGUUGUUCAUGGUCACGACAAGGAUGGCCUCGUUACUCCCACUUCUCUUGCAGGUCUCGCCUCGCCGGCAGAUAGAGCCCAGGCCAACGGUAAUGAACAGGGACUCAUCGGCACGCUCCGGCACCAGCGGCCGUUGUGUGUCGUUCAAGCUGGUCAAGUUACCAUGGAAGUAGAAGGAGGCCAUCGUGUCAUGCUGGUCGGGCAUCUCAGGUGCCGCUGGAGGUGCGGCGCCAUUGCUGGAGACGUGCCCGGUGCUGUACCACACAGUGCCUCUUGUGACCAACUUUGGUACCUAGGGGUCGGGCUUUGGCGAUUGGUUGGCGAGGGCUGUGAUGUAGUACCCACCGGGUGGCGCGUCGGCAACCACGAGGGCAUCAAUAGUCUCACCGGGGGCGAUCGCGAUGAUGUCCGUGGUAUAAGGGUUGACGUAGUUUGCGUCGGCGGCAACCACCGUGAACUUGUGCCCGGCGAUCUUGAGGUAGAACUCGGAGAAGAGAGCAGCGUUGAUUAUUCGAAGCAGGUAGGUCUUUCCGGGCUCCACGUUCAGCACAUAGCCGUCUUCCUUUGCCCCUUCAGUUCAGAGUUAAAAAUGAAGGAAUUAGUCGUAUAGAAGAAAGUUUCAUUUUAUUUGUACAUUAACAAGCAUCCUAUUAAUGGUUACCGGAGCAGUUGUAGAGAUCUCCAAACUUGCCGUUCAUUGUGCUACUCCCUCCAACCCAAAUUAUAGGUCGUUUUGUCUUUUAUAUAUAUAUAUAUAUAUAUACACAUAUAUAGCUUUUGUUGUACACGUAUGUCUAGAUACAUAGUAAAAUCUAUGUAUCCAGAACAGACAAAAUGAUUGACCUAUAAUUUGCCAUACAUGUCCGGUGAUGGAGUGGCGGUUUGGGUGUUGUUUCCAAUGUAAGUUGUUAUGAAAGAUGCUAAGAGGUUGUUGCAGCUUUGCAGUUCUCUUUUUUUUUUCCAUUUUUGUAUUCCCCAGUUUCGGUUUUAUUCUUCUUUUUAAUAUAAUCGGUAACUCUCCUUUUUAGCUUGUUUCAAAAAAAAAAGUAAUGGAGAGAGUACGUCUUAAACGAUCCAAAAGUCGAAUAAUUCACAAACCUAUAAUGAUGGGAACAUCCUUAUCAGGAUUGGGGAAUGGAUACGAGCUGGUCCCGUCUCUUGGCCGGAUGAUGAAGGCGCCAUGCAAGGUUGCCCGGAGGCAGGUAACCUGAGCAUGCCACCAGAGGGUUCCUUCUUGCCCGGUGACGUUGAACCGGUAGGUGAAGUUUUGGUUUCGGAGGAUGGGGCUUUGGGUGAUCAUCGGCACCCCAUCCGCCCAACAAUUCAGCUGCUGUUUCACCCCAUGCCUACAUUACAGACAACAGCUUCAAUAUAUAGGAGUUUUCCUGUUUUGGAAGUUGGGACACAGGAAUUUGUUGAAUGAUAUAGGGGCCAGGUACUUAGCGAUUCUAUUACCAAUGGAUCGUUAUGUUGCGGGGUGACUUGUUGACGACAUGAACAACCACCGAGUCUCCUUCGGUAACCCCUCUAUCAUUGGCCCUGGAAAUUGCCCGUUCACCACAGUGACCAGCAUCUCCUUGCACAGAUGUGUCAUAUUCAUCUCGCUCACCUAAACAUAUAUAGAAGUUCGAACAAGUUGAAUCAAGCAUCCACGAUACAUUCUUGUUGCGAUGUGCAUUUCGUCAGACGAUUCUAACACUAGAAUAGAACUGUUUGCUUAGCGAGCGGAGGUUGGGCACGGACGACACCUAGCUGCCGUCACCACCAAGCUCGCCCACCCUCUCCCAGCCACACCGCCGCCGGAAGCCCGUGCGGCGUUGUGGCCCUCCUCCUUCCCCUUCUCUCCCCACUCAGCCCCAACACAGUCGUGUCUCCCUACGCCAGUAGAGGUCACCGCUGGCGUCGGAGGCCGGAUCCGUCCUCCUGGCUGCCGGAUCUGCCACGCCCCUCGCCGGAUCUGCCUACUUCGCUGGGGUUGGCAUCCUGUUCACCGGAGCCACCAUGGUCGCCAUGAAAGGAGCUUCGGCGAGUGAUGUGCGGCGGCCGUAGGCCACUAGCCCCCACCCGCUCCACUCGUCCGACCGCUGCCGUUGCCGCAGAUGCCCACCGGGCCAUGUCGGUGGCAGCCUCCUCUUCUCCUCUAGCAAACCCUAUGUCGCCUCCGUCGGCCUGCCCAUCGCCGACUGCCACCAGUCUCCAUUUGGCCAGCUCGGUCACCGGAUCCGCCGUCUGGGGUCCUGAUCCGCGCGUCCCGGGCCGGGGGGCUUGCUGUCCAGGAGUGGUGGCCGUCCCUGGUCACCGGUUGCCAGAUGCUCUUCCCGGUGGCCGGCAUGGCGCAAGGUCGCUCCCCCUGCUCUUCCUCUGGAUCCACUGGCCACCGCUUCCCUGGGCCCAGGGUGGCUCGUCUCCCUGACUUGUUGUGGCCUCCGGUAUAUAUGAAGUUUGCACAUUUUGUACAUUCUAUAGCACGAAUAUUUCAUAACUUGUUUUUUCCCCACUGAAGUGCUUAAGAGAGGAACUUGGAAAUAAUCGAUGUGGCUACUACGUCUGUGAGCACUUGCACGCUUUUGUGAAAUCCAAGACCGCCAAGAUGAUGCCGCACGAAUUUAAAGUACAUAAAAUAAAACUAUUAAUAGUUAAUUAUUUUCUACCUCCUUAUAUUUAAUUGUUUGUGUAAAAUUCAUAUGUUUCCAAAUUACAGAUAUAUAAUAUUCAACAAGGAUUCAUUGGAUUUCUGAUGGAAGAUGUGGUAAAUUCAUAAUGAGAAUUUUAUUACGAUGGAUGAAAAUAAGAUGCUCCGAGCAACACCUCGAUGGAAAGAUCAUCGUAGAUAUAGUUUGAUUUGUAUAUAAUAGACUAAGAUUUGUAUAUAUAUAUAUAUAUAUAGAGUGCUAUGAAUUGUAUAUAUAUAUACUAAGAAUUGUAUAUAUAGUAAUUGUAUAAAUACUUGUUUGAUUCGUUUAAAUACUAGUUUGAUUUUAUUAUUAAAAAAGAUCAACUACUAAAAGUUAACUAAAGGGUACGUAUGUCAUGCAUGAAAUUACAUGCGCCAUGCAGCUAACCAAAGCGGCGCGCGCCUGAAAUUUCAAGCAGGACUUUAGUCUUGGUUGGAAAAACCAACCAGGACUAAAGGGUUCUAUCCCGCGCCUGGCGUGGUAGCUCCUUUAGUCCCGGUAUCAGUAUAAAAGGGGGUCUUUAGUCCCGGUUGAAUUCCCACGACAAAAGACACCCCUUUUAUCUCGAUUGCUUUAUCCCGGAUGGUUUUUCAGGAGAUUUGCUCCCUACUGAGGACUAAUGGAUGGUCACCCUUGGAUGAUGAGUGAUUGAUAAUGCUGUGUUGGAUUGAUGUGCUCUUGAAUUUGGGAUAGAGACCUAAGAUUUUGAAAGAAAUAUUUGAGGCUCUCAUUCACCCCCCUCUGGUCGCCUUUCCGGUCCUUCACCUACCAACCGGGAUAAUAUUUGAGUUCUCCACCAGUGAUCAUAACUUAUGUGGAGAUGUACAUUAACUUUUUUAUGAUUAUUUUCAUUUGCAAGAUUCCAAAGCUAGAAUUAGAAUCCAGGUCAGUCAACCAACAAACAAUUAACAUUAAAGGAAGAGACCAGUUUUGUGCUGUAGUACAGCGCACAGUAGGUAGAGUACAACCUAACCUAGAAUAGAAUCUUGCAAAUUCUGAAAGGUCCACAUUUUCACACAGGUCGUUCUCCUCGAUCAAAAGCAACCAGUCAAGGCUGGCCCUGCGAUCAAAGCUACUAGUCGAUAGCGGUAGUCAUCUUGCUUGUCUGGCUUGCUUCCAGACAGUUGGACUGAUGACCGAGCGAUGGAUGGAGAGAUUUUCCAUGCCACAACCGAUCGUCUCGGUAGUACGCCUUCGUUGCGCCCGUUCCUCUCGUGUGGCUGGACUGCAUCCUCACGAGCCUGCGGACCAGGAGCGCCCUGCAUCUCCUUGUGCCGCCAGAGAUCGUUAAUCCCCUCUGCUUCUUCCCAAAAUCGCCGGCCUACCCAUUGCCUUCGGUUGCGGCCGGGCUCCCUUGCCCUCCGACGUGAGUUCUUGCGAGCGCCGGCCGCCAUCACAUCGCGAGCUCGACCUGCCGCUGCAAUUUACACUGCUGUUGGCCAAAUUCGCGAGUUCAGUCUGCUGCAAUGAGCUUCAUCGGCCGCAAGCCCUCCUUGCACCCGCAAGGUGGGCCUGCCGCUGAAGCUUCCGCAAGGUCGGGUAAACUUGCUGUGUUUCGCUGUGCACAGCUGCCUUGUGAUUGUGCCGGACUUUCCAAUGCUCCAGCAGACUUUAAUUUUGAUCUUAUCAAUUAUAUAUAAAUUCGCAUAAUUACAAUGAGUUCGGGAUGGAAUAUAAAGUGACACGAUCAAUAUAUGAAAACAUAUCCACUAAGCACAAAAAUCCCAUUGUGGCUUCCAUAUUACAAGAAUGGCCAAUGCCUAUGCUCUGACAGACUUCUGUUUGCCCGGCAAGUCCUUUAUUGAUGUAAAUUGACAACUUUUGUAUAAUGUAUUUUUUUCUAUAGCCAGGGACAGUGCUUUUUUUUCAAGGAAUGCAUGGGACAAUAGCGGCUUUCCAGUUGGCGGGUAUGUAGCCUAAGCAUCACGUCAGUACUUCACCAACCUAUGACGUAUCAAGCUCUGUCAACAUCAUUAAUUUAGCUAGAUUUAAUAAACGAAGUUGCCUCGCAAUAACCAUGUUUUGACUUUUGAGACCAUCAACCUAAAUCGUCCACAAUACUAAAGAAUGACUCGCGCCUAUAAACAGCCACGCCGCCGGAGCGAAUUGCAAAGCAAAUAACUUGUUAGCUGCUUCGUUCUUAAAGAAAAAUAAAGAAUGAUGCGCCUUGCAUCCAUGGCAGUACAAGUGCUGUGGUUUCUCCUUACUCCUUCCGUAGCAUUUUCCUAUCUAAUUCCAGUGCCGCCAUUGGUGGCAGCAGCCUCCGGUUCCAACAUAGCGCCACCACCACCGGAGGUAGCAGCUCCAAGGCCGGGCUGCCCUAGCAUGUGCGGCAAUGUAAGCAUUCCCUACCCAUUCGGCAUCGGGGACGAAUGUGCCUGGGGCUCGGACUUCGCCAUCACUUGCAACCAUAGCUAUAACCUUCCAAGACCGUAUCUAAGCAACAUCGAGGUCAUCAGCAUCUCGUUGGAGGCCGGCGAGAUGCGUGUCUUCUCCCCCGUGGCCUACAUCUGCUACAACUCAUCCAACACCACUGCAUCCAACGGAGUCAUCGGCUGGAGAUUGAACUUCAUCGACACAAUAUUUCUUAUCUCGCCGACGCGCAAUGAAUUUACAGGCAUCGGCUGCUACACGUGGGCGUAUAUAGAUGGCAGAGAGGAUUUGAGCUUCUUCACUGGCUGCAUCACCACAUGCACCAGCUUGCAUGCAGCGGCUCAAGACGACGAGGAGUGCACGGGACUUGGCUGCUGCCAGAGUGCCAUCCCGACCAACCUCUCCAGGAUAGACAUCUACUGGGCGAACAACGACAGCUAUACGCCUACAAAUGUAGCGUGGGAAUACAGCCCCUGCAGCUUCGCUUUCAUCGCGGAGAAAGGCUGGUAUGUAAUACUACUAACUUAAAAAUUCCAAAUUAAAAACUACGACGCUUUCAUCGCGGAGGUAGCUGUUGCUUGUCAAGAUGAUGGCUUAUCUUAUGUUCUUAACUUACUGUGAUGAACUUGGAUAUUUUAUUAUUUAUUAUAAGGUACCACUUCAGUCGGAGUGAUCUCACACGUGAUGCCAACAAGACCUUUACUGACCGUGUUGGAAACAGAACCAUCCCCUUGGUGCUUGAUUGGUCCAUCAGGGAUGGCGUGUCUUGCCAGGCACCACCAAAGGAUGCUGGGGCGUCGGCUACAUCGACAGCUCCCGCUUGCAUCAGUAGAAACAGCUUCUGUGUUAACGCCACACAGGGACCUGGGUACCUCUGCAAUUGUUCCAAGGGCUACAUGGGCAACCCCUACGUCACCGAUGGCUGCAUAAGUUAGUAAAUUUCAUUUACUCUUCGUAUAUAGUUUGUAUUCGUUUUGCAUAUGCAUGGCUUUUUUAACCAUUAAAGUAUAUAUUUGAGGGAUAGGAAAUGGUUUACUAGGAUUGUUGGAUCUCCGUCCAUUAUAUUGAAAGGCUUAGAUGCCUUGUAUAUUGCUCAGUGGCAUGCUUGGCGUGAUGACCUUGAGCCUUGCAGUCCAAGCAUACCGAUUGCUCGUGUCAUGCUCUGAUCGGUUUUAUCUCGGUGUCGUCCCUUGAGAGUACUGCAACCACGAGGUGUCAUGUUGCCAGCCCUUUAGAGUAUCAGUGUCAGGUUCUCCGGCCUUCAGCGUUUCAGUGUCAUGUUGCCAGGUUGUGAGUGCCGACCCUAGAAUCUUCAAGCUAGCUGAGGUAUGUAUAACCUUAUUAGGAUAUCGAUAGUAGGAAUCACGUACAUGGAGCGUGGAAAACGUUAGCAUUUCCUUCGUUACCGUAUAUAUAAAUUUCUUCCAGUUUCCGUUGUUUUCUUCUACACCCGCCCGUGCCAGUUUUCUUACAGCUGUGAAAGGAAUACGUGCUUACAUAGUCUAGUGAACUGGGGAAACAUAAAAUUCUUAGCCCAUAGCUUCUCUCGUUAAGCUUGAUAUCUUCUGAUCAGUACUGUGUCAACUUUGCCAUGCCAACAUGCUCUUUGCACGAUGCUCCAGUCGUUAUAUACUCCAAGGUCUCCAUCUAGCCUUCGAGUCUUAGCCUCUUUCUUCACUCCAAACCGAGCCGAACUCAUUUAUUUCAUCCGUUGCCUUGAUUUCACUACCCGUGGGAUCAUACAAUCACCUGUUCUUCUCACACAGACCAUCUUUCAUAGCUCGGAUCAAUUUCUCUGGUCGGCCAUUCUAUCUUCAAGUCAUAACUUUGAAUCAGGACAAAAGUUUGCAAUUUGCACAUAUUUGUUCGGGCGAACUCCAGUCAAUGCUUCAAUGCACCUUUGAGUGCAAUGCCUUGAGAAAAUUCUAUCUCGUACAGGUGAAAAUAGUAAAUAAAUGCAUACUUGGUUUCUUUAUAUACGCGGGCUAGGGUUUCGUUUAUCAACUAGGUGGAAAAAACAUUUUUUUUAGAUUUUCAUGUAUUAUUACUUGAAGUUUAUGUGAAUGUCUUUUGCAUCUUAUUGUAUACAGAUAUCAACGAAUGUAGCAGUACAACGAAUGGUCCUUGUGGCAUGUAUAGCACAUGCGAGGAUACAGAUGGUGAUUAUAAUUGCAAAUGCAACUUUAACCGGAAAGGAGAUGGUAAAAGUGAAAAUGGAUGUUAUCAGUAUGUAUUUCCACCAUAUGCUAUUGCUGCCGCAGGUGAGGCUCAGCACGCUCCUCUCUACCUCACUACGGGAAACCUUAAAUUUGCCGAGUGUUUUCUUUUUACCGAGUAUUUUUUUUCGGACACUCGGCAAACAAGCUCUUCGCCGAGUGCCGAGCCAAAAACACUCGGCGAAAAAAAAAACACUCGGCAAAUCGGGACUUUGCCGAGUGUCAAAUAAAAAACACUCGGCAAAGCCCCCUCUUUGCCGAGUGUCAAAAAAAACACUCGGCAAAGAGGGGAGUUUGCCGAGUGUCAAAAAAGACACUCGGCAAAGAGGGGGGUUUGCCGAGUGUUUUUUUUAACACUCAGCAAAAAAAUAAAUUUUUUCCCUCUUUUCACCACCAAAUUUUUUCUACUCCCCACAUACAACAUGUGGUACUCCAUGUUAAAAUUUGGUAUAUUUUUGGAUUUAUUUGCUAUAUUUAUUUAAUUAAUUGCAUUUCAAGGAAAUUUUUGGUAUAAGUCAAAUUUGAACUGCAAAUGAUUCAAAUUAUGGAACAAAAUGAGUAGAAAAAUGAUAUUCAUGUUAUUUGGCCCAAUUUGAGACCUGACCCAUGAAAUGAAAAGAAAUUUCGAACAUCUUGUUCAAGAAACACGACCAUGAAUGUGUGGCAGUAGUAUUUUUAAAUUGUAAAAAAACAAGCAAAGUCUGAAAAUCAUGAGAUUUGUCAUGAUGUGAUGAUAUAAUACGUGGAGGCUAUGGAAAAAAAUUGAGAAGGUUUUGCACAUUUCAUCAUGUACAAUGAUUACAAACUAAAGCAUCUCAGAAGAAGAAUAGUAAUUUUGAGAAGAUUCGAUAAGAUUUAGAGUCGAAGUGACGGUCGAGUUUGGUUUGACUACAAAACUUUUUGUAUAGGCAAUAGAGAACAUAUAUUGAUUCGUGUGAAAAUUUGGUAUUUUUUUGAAACUGUUAGAUAUUUUUUAAUUUUUUUCAAAAAAUUUUUGCCGAGUGUCGUAUGGUGGACACUCGGCAAAUAAACCGUUUACCGAGUGUCCACAUAGGACACUCGGCAAACAGACGGCCCACAAAACAAAUUAACCUCCCCCGGCCCCCUCCCCCCACUCUCCUAUCUUCUCCUCCUGCCGCCUCCUGCCGCCCCCUGCCCCCUCCUGGCCCACGCCUCCUGCCGCCGCCGCCGCACGCCAUCUCCCUCCCCCGGCCCCCUCCCCUCCCUCUCCUCCGGCGGACGCCAUCUCCCUCCCCCGGCCCCCUCCCCUCCCACCCCCGGCCCCGCCGCCCGGCGCCCCCCGCCCGACGCCCGACGCCCGACACCCCGCCGCCCGCCGCCCGACGCCCAGCCCCUAGCCCCGCCGCCCGGCGCCCGACCCCGCCCGCCGCCGCCCCCUUCGGAUCUGGUCGCCGCCGCCCCCUUCUUCCCCUUCCCCGGCUCCUUCCCCUCCGGCCGGAUCCGCGCCCCCUUCUUCCCCUCCGACGCGGAUCCGGUGGCCCCCACCUCUCUCCCCUCCGGAUCUGGCGCGUGGUGGUGGGCGGUAGCGGCGUGCGGCAGCGGGCGUGGCGGCGGUAGCGGGCGGCAGCGGCGUGGCGGCAUCGGCGUGGUGGCGGCGGGCGGCAGCGGCGUGGCGGCAGCGGCGUGGCGGCAGCGGGCGGCAGCGGCGUGGUGGCGGGCGGCAGCGGGCGUGGCGGCAGCGGGCGGCGUGGUGGCUGUGGCCGUGGAUGGACUGGGCGUGGCGGCGGCGGCGGCGGCGGCCAGCUGGAGCGGCCCCCGGUGGCCGGGGUAUGUUUUUUUUUAUUUUUUCUGGAAAUAUUGUUUGCCGAGUGUUUUGUGCCACUCGGCACACCCUUUGCCGAGUGCCCGACCAAAGACACUCGGCAAAGUUAACUUUGCCGAGUAAAACUUUGCCGUGUGCUCGUCGCCGAGUGUUACACUCGGCAAACACGUUGCCGAGUGUUUUUAGGGUUUCGCCGAGUGCCUGGGGCACUCGGCAAUUUGUAGCUUUCCCGUAGUGCCUCUUCUGAAUCACACGUUUGCGUCCACUUUCGUAAGGGUUUAGUAAAAAAACAUUAAAGUACAUUUAACCUUUAUUUUUCGGAAUAUAUAAUCAGUUACUCUUAAAUCAGUACAAUAUAUCAAAACCUCUUUGAAAUAUACAUAUAUUAUUAGCAUAAUGAUAGGAUCACUGCUAGCUGAUUAACCAUUUCCGUUUGUUGCAAAUGUCAGUUGUCAUACAACUUAUUACUAUUUUUAUAAUAACAAACUUCUUCUUUUUUAAGCUUAACAAACUUUUACUGAAAGUGUAGGUAUGGAGUUGCCGUAACCUAUAUGUUUCUGAAUCACACAACAUGUAUCCUUAUUGUUUGCAGCAAUAACUCUUGUCGUCAUCAUAGCAUGUUUGUCAAUUAUUUUGCUUAUGAGACGAAAGCAGAAGAAACUUUUCAACAAAAACGGUGGUGACAUUCUAAAGGAUGUGGGUAUCAAAAUCUUCACCAAAGGGGAGGUGAAGACUAUCACAAAGAGCUACAGAAAUCGCAUUGGAGGAGGCUACUUUGGCGAUGUCUAUGAGGGGACCAUCAUCGACGAUCCCGGACAAGCACUACAGGUCGCGGUUAAAUGCACUGUGGCGAAAAAGGUGGCACGCCUUCGGCAGAAGUCGCUGCGACGUGAGGCGCCGCAGCACGAGCAGGAGAAGCUAUGGAAGGAAGGGUUCGUGAGGGAGAUCAGCUUCCAAUUCAAGGUUGAGCACCCAAACAUGGUCCGCCUCAUCGGGUGUUGUCUGGAAACGGAUGUCCCCAUACUAGUCUUUGAGUUUGUCGGUAAAGGAAGCCUCCAUGAAGUGCUUCAUAAUGGUGCCAACAAGCUCACUCUCUCUCUGCCAAAGCGGCUGGACAUUGCCAUUGGUUCAGCAAAAGCUCUCUCCCAUAUGCACUCGCAUAAACACGUCCAUGGCGACGUCAAGUCCGCCAACAUCCUCCUUGACGACGACCUCAAUCCCAAGGUAUCUGACUUUGGGUCUUCCAAGCUCCUUUCGGUCAAGAAUUAUGCUAUGGACGUAGCUGCAGAUGGGAACUACGUAGAUCCAGUGUACCACACCACGGGACAUUUCACGGUGAAGAGUGAUGUCUACAGCUUUGGUGUCGUGCUCCUUGAGCUCAUCACGAGGAAGAAGCCUAGGUAUGGCAGCGGCGAUGCUAACAUUUUGACCAUAGACUUCAAGAAGUCCAUCAAGAACCACAGCAAUGCACGGGAGAUGUAUGACGCAGAGGUCUUAUCCGAUGACAAUGCUCAAUCUCAUCGCUACAUGGAGUGCCUGGACAUGGUCGGUGCGCUCGCGGUCCGAUGCCUGAUCAGUGAAGACGCGGAUGAGAGACCAACCAUGGCAGAGGUGGUGGAUGAGCUUAAUCAAGUAAAGUCGAUAGCCUGCGGGAUCGGAGCUCAUGCUCUGACCUGAGUUGAAAGCACGCAUAUGAAGGAAACAAAUUAAGCACGAAUGGCUUGAGCUUAUUAGCAAUCUCUAUAUCCCGUAUCCACCAUUACUUAUAAUUGUCAAGUUGAAUGUAAUAUAUAGCUAUGCAUCGGACGUACAUACGAUCUGAGUAAUUUUAUUUUCCUGCGUUUGUUUUAAUAAGGCUGCUUAUUAUUAAGCUGCAUGUAAUUGUGUACUGGUUUCAGGGAACUUUGUAUGUCUACUAUGCGGGCUGAUGCUUCCUCAAAGAAAGAUAUAAAUUCUGUUAAAAUAAACAUGAAUAUUACUUGGAGGAUGUGCAGCCAUUCAAAACAUGUACUACCAUCACUACUGGAAACAGUAGCUUUGCCGAGUGGCCUGGGCACUCAGCGAAGCCACAAAAGUAAACACUGGCAAACGUCACUCGGCUUCGAUUUUAUCGGCAAAUAGUUCUUUACUGAGUGGUUUUUCUCGAGCACUCGGUAAAGAUUUUGCCGAGUGCUAAACCAGCUCUCGGCGAAAAAAAGUGGGCACUCGGCAAAGAUGCCUCUUUGCGCUGCAACAUAGAUUGAAAAAAAAUAAAAGGUUCUUCCUCAUUGUAAAUCCUUUUAUUCAAGUUUGUUCAGAACGUGGGCAAACUUUGUUCUGAAACAACCUAGCAAGCAAAUCUGUUUACUACAACUGAACCAUAAGGUUCUGAAGGUCUUUCAUCAAAGGUUGAAAAUACUGUUUGGGCAACUUUGCUCGUAUCAAAUUCAAACUUAACUAAAAAGUCAUUUUUCAGGAAAGCAAGGAAUAUUUCCAAUAUAACAUCAUUCCCAAGAGACCCCGGUAAGAAUGAACCGAACAAAAGCUCCAACAACAUGGCCAGACAUGUGUUCAUCAUUCAUGAUCAGGACGAAUUUUAAAACAACCACAAUUGAGCAUGACAACUUACUGCUUGCUCAGGACUUAUCGGUUCAGACAGGAGCUAAUCCAUACUGAUCAACCACAUACUGAACACAAAAGUGCAUAGCACCACAUACUGAACCAAAAGCUCCAUUGCAAGGGAGAUAAUCUGUACCAGCUAAUAUCCCAAAUAGACUUGGCAGUACAAAAUUACCUCUGAGUGCUAAAUUCAGUUGAAUAGUAAAGGAGCAUAUAUUGUUCAAAACAAGAACCAAGUACAAGUACAUUCUAAUUUCAGUGUAUGCCAACUGUGAUUGACCUAUUACAGUUCAUGAUACACAAUCACUUCCAGAAAUUUAAGUCAGAAACGAAAAGAAAAACAGGGAUCUAUUUUAUAGGCUAUCGGUCAACUUGUCAUCUAUCAUAAAAUAAUAUACCUGAAGAAACAGAAAUAGAAUUGCAGAUCCUUCCACCCACCGCUUCAACUUCUCAUCAUAUCAAAACUUGUUCUGGUACUCUUAUGUUGCCUUCAAAACAGAAAUAAGAUCUUAAGGUUAGUGUUGCAUACAGUAAUAACCUUUGGAGCUCCAACAUUUCUAUAGCUAGUUUGGUAAGGCUAGCAAGUGAAAGAAAGGUGCUACUGAUUUAAAUGCAAGUGUAGAUAUAUCUAUGGUACUAAACUUCAUGCAAGAAGUACUACAUCAAGCCGCGGCAAAAGGGGGGAGACUCAUUGGUACUGGUACCGGUACAUUGUUGCACACCGUGGUACAAGAGGGGCGACUUAAAGCUUAUCACCAUGGAGAAGAUCUGGCAGUGCACAGGGAGGCUGCUGGUCCUUGAGCGGGGCAAGCUGCUCAAGGACUUGUGCCUCUCUAUGGCACUCUCCAAGAUGCUCAACCGAAGGUUUGUUGGCUUCAGGCUAUCAGAGGCGGGGCAUGAGAAAGCCCAUGACUUUGUGUUCAAAGGCCUGCUCGCCGGGGACAAGCCAUAUCAGAGGGCCUUCAGGGUCAUCGAGGAAGAGCUUGUUUUUGUCCAUGGCUCCUAUUACACAAGGUAUUCUUACCUCUACCAAAAGGGUCGAUACAUUGCCCUCUCGCUGCCCAUCGUCAUGCUUGCCUUAUGCUCGUGGCUCACCUAUCUGCUCGUCAAGCACUACGAGAGUCGCUCUGUGCAGGCUGCCACGCCAUAUUUGUAACUGUUUUCGUGGCAUUCUUGGAGGCAUACCAGCUCUACCUGUACAUAUUCUCAGGUUGGUUCAAGGUGGCACUAAUACAGAGCUACAUAAACACACCAUUUUUGCGAAGAAGCACUACCGGAAACCGAGCUAAUGCCGAGUGUUUUUCCAUUUGCCGAGUGUUUUUAAGCCUUCGCCGAGUGCCCCUGGCACUUGGCAUCUCCCCUGUUUCCCGUAGUGAAGCCGUUGCCUUGAGAUGAUCAUAGGCCUUCUUUUGAGGUUGAAGGCGUUUGCACCAUGGAAACGCAAUCUUGGGCAGUACUGUAUCCUCCAGGAGGUUGACCGCAAGCAUAGGGUUAGGAAUUGUCUCCGUUAUGCUACGCUGCGCCUGCUGGACAAGGCUAGCAAGAAUGGACUUAAGAAAUCAGAAAAGGUGUCCGAAAAUGUGAAGAAAGCCAUCGUUGAUUCCCUAUUAGGAAGCAACGGCAACCUGACGAAUGGGGUAACAUCGCUGCAAAACAAUGGCGUCAAUUGUCUCUCAUGGGCAUGUGAUGCUACUGCUACUGACGGAGCGGUGGCUCGCACCAUUGUGGUCUAGCACAUUGCUACAACCCUGUGCGAGCAGAAGCUGGAUAAACAAGCCAAAGAAGAAGACGCUGUCAAAACAGCCUCCACUUUAUCCAAGUACUGCAUGCACCUCCUUGCGUCUGCACCUAACCUCUUGCCCGACCACAGCUCUAUAUCGGAAUCCAUACUUGAUCAGUCAAUCGACGAAGCAGGCAAGUUACUCAAAGAGGCCAAGGAAAACAAGAUCAAGGGAAAGAACAAGAAGAUCGAGGGCAGGUGUGAGAUACUAAUGCAAAUUCGCACUGAUGAUGAUUGUGUUGGUGAUGAAACAAGGCUCGUUGCGCAAGGCGUUCACCUUGCAAAGCAACUGAUUGAUAACAUAGAAGACUUCACAACACGGUGUAAGGUGCUAUCUGAUUUCUGGGCGGAGAUGAUGCUUUAUGUCUCGCCAUCCGAAGAUGCUUGGGAGCACCUGGAAGUUCUUGGAAAAGGAGGGGAGUUCAUCACGCACCUUUGGGCGCUGCUCACGCAUGCCGGUGUGUUGAAGCGAGGACCUACAGAGCCAAAGGAUGUUGUGUGAUCUGUCCAACUAGUGCACAAGUAACUGUCCAUAUAUCAACAUAGUGCUUGUAAGUUGUAACUGUUAGUAAUCCUAGCGCAUGAGUCGGUCGGUUAGUUAGCUUUGCAUGUUUAGCUUUGCAUGUUUCUGUUACUGCUUUGCAUGCGCACGAGCACCAACCUGUGGCUGCCGUGCGUGUCGGACGGGGUGGCGAGAUUAGCUCGCACACGACCCUAGCGUGUGAUCCGCGACGCCGGCGGGUCCGGCAACUGGCCGCAACUCACGAAGGCCAACUACGAUUCAUGGUCGUUGUUGAUGAAGUUGAAGCUACAAGCGCGUUGCUUGUGGGACAUCGUCGAGAUAGGUGACGCUUAGUUCCACAACGAUCGAACCACGGUGGAUGCAAUCUGCUCUGGCGUAUCCCCGGAUAUAGUGCCCACCGUGGCGACCAAGCCGUCAACCAAGGAGGCGUGGGAGGCGAUCUGUUACAUGCGCAUUGGUGACGAGCGUGUGAGGAAGUCGACGGCGCAGAGUCUCCACACUGAGUACGAGCAGGUCACGUUCCGAGUCCGUCAAGGACUUCACCCUGCGCCUCUCUAACAUCGUGCAACGGCUAGCCAUCAUCGGCGACCCGGAGCCGGAAUCGAAGGUGGUGGCCAAGUAUCUCUAUGUCCCUCGACCAAGGUAUAAGCAGCUUGUGAUUUCCAUUGAAACCCUCCUCAACAUCGAUAAGCUCACCGUUGAGGAGGUCACUGGGCGUCUCAAAGCAGCAACUGACGCUGAACCAUCACUGGCCCAGGACGUCGUUGGCAAGCUACUGCUCACGGAGGAGCAGUGGCUGGAAUGCUACAAGAAGUGGGACAAGGACUCCGGCCGCGGCGGAUAUGGCACCGACGGCCGCGUUAAACAUCAGGGAAGAAGCCGCGGUCGUGGCACCAGCAGCGGCAGUGAUUCACGGACCAACACAAACUCGGGCUUCUCCAACCCCGACGACAUGUGCAAAGCCUGCAGGAAGAAAGGCCAUUGGGACAAGGAUUGCCGAAGCAUGAAAAAGCUGGAACAGGCCCAUUUGGCCCUGGAUGACGAGCCCACUCUACUCCUUGUGGUGGGGAAAGAGCAGGAGGAGGGGAUUUAUCCCCAAAUCGAGCCGCCGCCACUGGAGAUGAAGACGGCAAACCUGCUGCCGAUUUUCCGCAACCGGCAGCUCCACUUCACCGAGAGCAAGGUGUUCGCCGCCUUCGACGAAUCCGGUGACCGGGGACCGAAGCGAUGGGUCCUGGACACGGGCGCGUCGAAUCACAUGUCUGGGACGCGGGCGACAUUCUCCAACCUUGACGCCGGCGUCACCGGCUCCGUUCGGUUCGGGGACGACUCCAUCACCUGCAUCAAGGCGAUCGACACCGUCAUGCUGUCCUGCAAGAAUGGCGAGCACCGCGCCAGCGCCAACGUCUACUACCUACCCCACCUCACCGCCAACAUCAUCUUGGCUAGCUUGACGAGCUUGGGUACCAAGUACUAGUAGAAGAUGGAGUGAUACGGGUUCAUGAGGAGGAGCGGCAUCUCCUUGCCAAGAUUCACCGCAACCCAGGCCGGCUCUACGUGCUCGACGUCGACAUCGCACGGCCGGUUUGCCUGGCGGCGCUAGGCAACGGGGAAGCCUGGGUAUGGCAUGCCCGCUUCGGCCACCUUCACUUUGCCGUGCUGCGCAAGAUGGGCAGGAAUGGCCUUGUCCGUGGCCUACCCCUGCUCACCCAGGUGGACAGGCGUGCGAAGCCUGCCUAGCCGGCAAGAACCGGCGGUCUCCAUUCCUGCAGCGUGCCCUUGGGCACUGAUCGGAGGCGUUGCAGCUGCUCCACGGCAACCUCUGCGGACCUAUCAUGCUGUCGACACUGAGCGGAAACCAAUACUUCCUUCUACUCGUGCAUGACUACUCCCGGUAUAUGUGGUUGUCUUUGCUCCCCAGCAAGGAUGCUGCACCCGCAAUGAUCAAGCGCAUCCAGGCAGCCGUGGAAUGCAAGUCAGGGAAGCUGGUUCAUGCACUCCACACGGAUAGAGGAGGAGACGGAAAGACUUUGAGCAGUACUGCACCGAGUUGGGACUCCACCAUGAACUGACGAUGCCGUACUCCCCUCAACAAAAUGGCAUCAUCAAGCGCUGCAACCAAUCCGUGGUCAGUACCGCUCGAAGCAUCCUGAAGGCAAAGGGGCUUCCGGGCAAGUUCUGGGGCGAGGUGGUCACCACGGCCGUCUAUCUGCUCAACCGAUCCUCGUCCAAGAGCGUGGGUGGCAAGACCGCCUAUGAGCUCUGGACCGGCAGCGUCCUUGGAGUUCAACACCUGCGCACAUUCGGCUGCAUCGCACACAUGAAGGUAACAAAGCCAAACUUGAAGAAGCUCGAUGACAGGAGUAGGCGCACCAUCUUCGUUGGCUAUGAACCUAGCUCCAAGGCAUAUCGGGUGUAUGACCUGGUGACCCGGCGCAUGCACAUCAGCCACGACCUGGUGUUCGAGGAGGCAGCGCAGUGGCUCUGGACUCAGGGGCAGCGCAGCGAGGUGGAAGACUUUGCUGUUGGACAUUUGCCACUGCCUGGAUCGACCAGCACGACAACGACAGCAAGCAUGACUUCAUCAGCCGGAGCUGCUGAUACACCUUCAGCCUCGCCGGCGUCAUCAGCCCACACUUCGCCGGCGUCAUCAGCCCACAUUUCACCGGCGCAUGACGUCUGGAGCAUCAUCAACUCACACCUCACUGGUGCAAGUGUCACACCCGAUUUUAAGGACAAAACCGAGUGCUUUCAAUACAUGUGCGCCAGGAUCAAGUUACACACAUGUAUGACAAUAGUGAAUAACAAAGACAGUGCUAAAGCAAAUAGAGGGGGUAUUAAACAUAUUUACAUGAUCGAAAGUCUCAAUAAAACACAAGCCUAAAUUAUUACGCAGCGAAACUCCAAAGACGACAACGACACCACAGGCAGCUGACUGAAGAACCGUACGCCUAGAACUCCUCAAAGUCGUGCAAGUACUCCUCCAGAUUAGCCUUGUCUGAACAAUGGUUUUGGAAGGAUGAGUACACUUAUGGUUGGUACUCAACAAGUCCUGGGGAAUAGUGUAGUGUAAGGCAAAUCAAAGUAUGGCUAAAGCUUAAUUAGCAUCAGGUUUUAAUUAAGUUGGUCAAGUUUUAUUAGCAAUUAACUAAGUAUAAGUUUAUACCACUCAAAAUUAAACAUGAGCAUAAAUAAAGUAAAUAACAUAUGCAUGAAAUGACAACAAUUUAAGUCCAUCUUUCAAUAGUGUUAUCAUGUGAGGGUCCAGGCUGCUCUUCACCAUGAGCACGGCUGAUCGAUUAGUUUUAAACUUUGCAGAGGUGGCACAUCUUUACCCACGAGUCGCGUAAAAGUUCAAAAGAAAUUUGGACCCAACCAUGCGGUGUUUGCAAGGCACCAUACCACACUUCCGAGGUGUGAUUGCAUAGGGACGCUACGAGGCCUUUACAAAGAUCCACUAGCAAUGUGGUAACCGCUAAGGUUUCAAGUCGAAGCAGAACAUAGCAGUCCCAUAGUGGCUAUAGUGUCUUAGCAAAGCCCACUUCCCCCGAGAGCGAAUGCUAUAUCCCAUCAAUGCCUCCCCUCUUGCCCUUUUGGUAAGAUUACCCUAGUCUAGAGUUUCUAAUUAUUCAGCCAAGAUCAGAGCCAUUUAGUCUUGUGGUAGUACUGUUUUCCUGGGUGGUCGCUCCAUGUUUCGAUUAAACAUUGGUGAUCUUGUAUUAAUGAAAGGUAUACCAGAAGUAAAGCAAGAUUAAACAUUGAGUUUAGUUAAACCACCCUAUACCAAGUAAGCACUAAGCAUGAGCUACCCAAGAUAAAAGUAAACCUGGUUGGUCAAGGCAAAGGUAGUUUCAAUCUAGGCGAACCUUAAUUGGGACCCAUCAAUUUAAUCUUAACAUGUGCAUAGCAUAAUAGUUGAGUACAAGAAAGUAGAGGUGUAUAGGACUGAAAAGUAGUGAUUAAGGACACAACUUGCCUUCUUGGCUUUGCUCCUGCUGUUCGUACUCCUCGAAGGCUUGGUCUUCAAAUCCCUCGAACUGUUGAACGUCUAAACGCAUCACACGAGCACAUACAAGCAAACAUGGGAAAAAAGUAAGAAACAGUACACCAAUCAUAAUUAAACAGAGAAAACAAGCUUGUAAAAUUGAUCUACGCUUUAAAACAAACACGUGGAUAUAAAGAACGCGAAAAACGGAGUUAAGAUGCAAAAGAUAUGAUUAAAAUGAAAUCCAGGGGCUUUUCUGCGAGAAAAACAAAACUUCUAGGGUCAAACUGCGAAAAACCGAGGACCUAUAUGUAAUUACGCGUAUAAACUGAAGGUUUAACACACAAAAACUCCAAAAUGGAUGGCGGGUUGAUUUUUAGAAAACUCAGGGCUUAAACCAAAAAUGCGAGGGCAGAUCUGUAAAUAUUUUCAAUGCGAUCUGGACCGUGGGUUGAUUUGCGGAAAAGGUGAGGGCUUAAGUGAAAAAGAAUAGCGGCGCGGCGCGGUUGACUAGUACGCGAUCCGGUUGUCUUGCUGCCAGCCGUCGGAUCUGGAUCCGACGGUCACGGUCGCCGACGGUAGCGGGGCGGUGGCAGAAAAAGCGGCACGCGGCAGCGAGCGGUGGCGGGGUCGUCGGAGUUGGCCGAAACGGCGCGUCCGUGGGCGGUUUGGCCCGCGGAGACCCCCAAAAGCAAGAGGAAAACGCCACGAACUCGUUUGAGUUGAUGGGGAGGUUCGGGGGCGCGGCAGAGCUCACCUUUGGUGGGUAUUUGUGGCGGCGCAGGGGGAGAGCUUGGGCGGCUUGCGCUAGCUAUGGUUUGGUGGGUGAGGGCUGGGUGCUUGAGGCCAGGGAAGGGCGGCGGCUUAAAUAGGGGCGGAUGGCAGCGGGAUAAGGGUAGGGGCGGAUCCCGCGUGGAGAAAGGACGCGGCGGUUGUGGGAGGUGGGCGGAGUCUGGCGCGGUCGGGGGAGGAAGUCCCGGCCGGAUACGGCCGGAGGACAGGGAUGACGGGUGGGCCCCACCCGUCAGACCGGCGAAAGGGAGCGGGCCGGCGCUGCUUUGCAGGCCGCGGAGGAAAGGAGAGGUGGGCCGAGCGGGGAGGGAGGCUGGGCCGGAGGGAAAAGCGGAGCGGGCCGGAGGAGCUGGUGGCGCUGGGCUGCCGGAAGAGAAGGAGGCGCUGGGCCAAAAGAAAGGAGGAGGAGAAGAAUGCGACCGAGGAGGAAAAAGAGAAAAGGGAAAAAAGGAAUGGUUUUGAAAAUUGAAAUUGAAUUUGAAAUUCAAGUUUGAUUCAAACACAAGCAAUCAAAACAAAUGCACCAGCAUGUAAUGCACAAAUAAACUCCUAGGGUGAAUUAAUUUUAUUUGGAGAAAAUGAAAAUUAAUAUGCCUAAGAAUUUAAAGGACAUCCUAAUUGAGCAAAUUUUAGUGAAUUUGAAUUCUUUUAAAAAUUUGGGUGUUACAGCAAGGCACUGGGAGCGCGACGCUGGGCACACCCCCACUGCAGGAUGCAGACUCAGUGGAGUUCGUGUCAACACUAGGUGCCGGCGUGUCGCAGCUGCUGGAUGCGGAACACAAUGACGACGCCCCACUCCGGUACCGCGACAUUGACAAUGUGCUCUGGCCAGCCACGCCGCUAGGUUUCGCUGCGUGGGAACUGGAGGAGCAGCUGUUGUUGGCAUGCAAGGCCGAACCGGCAUGGUUCAAGGAGGCGAUGGAACAUGAGAACUGGCACCAUGCCAUGCUCGAUGAGUUCACCUCUAUUGAGGUGAAUGACACUUGGAGGCUUGUUGAUCUACCACCAGGGGUGCGUCCGAGUCAAGUGGGUUUACAAGACGAAGCAGGAUGAAGCUGGGCUCAUCACAAAGUUCAAAGCCCGGCUCGUCACCAAGAGGUACGUGCAGCGCCAGGGGAUCUACUUCGAUGAAGUAUUCGUCCCGGUGGCACGCCUGGAGUCCGUGAGGCUGCUUCUAGCGCUCGCUGCAAGCGAAGGGUGGGCUGUCCACCAUAUGGACGUCAAGUCCACUUUUCUGAAUGGUGCACUCCUGGAGGAUGUGUACGUCAAGCAGCUGCCGGGGUUCAUGCUGAAGGGCCAAGAAACGAAGGUGCUCCACCUGAUCAAGGCUCUUUACGGACUCCGUCAAGCCCCACGACCAUGGUACUCCAAGCUCGACUAGUCCCUGAUCAAGCUCGGGUUCCGGCACAGCACGUUGGAGCAUGCUAUCUAACUCCGCGAGGUGGGUGCAUGCCGCCUCAUUGUAGGCGUCUAUGUGGACAAUCUGGUUAUCACCGAAGGGAAUCCACGGACAUCAGCACCUUCGAGGAGGUGAUGAAGGCAACAUUCAAGAUGAGCGAUCUUGGGCUUCUGCGCUACUAUCUCGGGCUGGAAGUGACGCAGAUGGGGAACGGCAUCUCAGUUUGUCAGAGUGCCUAUGAAACAAUGUUCAUAAUUCAUAAUAAUGCUUUCUUUAUUUAAGAACUCAUAUGCAUGGUAGAAUUUAUCUUUCAGACUUCGUUGACGCGGGCAAACUCUGUUUCUGUAGUUUUGUGGUAGAGUUCAUUUGGCACAACAUGAUGGCCAUGGUUACAUGCCAAAAGCUCUAAUGGUGGUGGUGGGAGAGAUGUUUCCACUGUCGGCCCAUCCUCUACGAUGAAUAUCGCCGCCAUGCCCAUCGAUAAAUGGAACUCAUAGUGGCAAUGCAUGAACCAUACCCCUGUACAAAUACAAGGAAAAUUUAUCAUGCUGUGAGUGAGACCUAACCUUCACAUGCAUAAGACCAUGUCACAUGUACUACUAGACAUGGAAAUCCUAUACGCACCUGGAUUGUCCGCCACAAACCGGAUGGCAGCCCAGCCGAUCCUCGGGACGACCACGGAAUUCCUCACUGGCGGAUCAACCAGGUUGUACUUGGCCACAUCCCUCGCCGCGUCAUAGUUACCAACACCCUGCGCAAGCACAAACAUGUUGUGACCAUGCAGGUGCAUCGGGUUGGAGGCGCUCUGCAUCACCGCCGUGCCCUGGAACACGAUAUCCACCACAGCACCAUGCCGAAAGUGCCGCACCAAGCUACCCCUUGACGUAGGUUCUAGCUGCCCCUCCUUUGGCCCCCAUGGAAUCAAGCCCCGGUCGGUGAAGUUGAACACCAUCGGCGGCCUAUCGGGAAGCUCUUGCAGCACGUCCAUGCCGCCGGUGUGGUAGUAGUGCGCUUCUAGCAGUGGCAUGUUCGUGUCAGGGAGCUGAAAUGAGACGUUGUUCAUGGUCGCGACAAUGAUGGCCUCGUUACUCCCACUUCUCUUGCAGGUCUCGCCUCGCCGGCAGAUAGAGCCCAGGCCAACGGUAAUGAACAGGGACUCAUCGGCACGCUCCGGCACCAGCGGCUGUUGUGUGUCGUUCAAGCUGGUCAAGUUACCAUGGAAGUAGAAGGUGGCCAUCGUGUCAUGCUGGUCGGGCAUCUCAGGUGCCACUGGAGGUGCGGUGCCAUUGCUGGAGACGUGCCUGGUGCUGUACCACACAGUGCCUCUUGUGACGAACUUUGGCAUCUGGUGGUCGGGCUUUGGCGAUUGGUUGGCGAGGGCUAUGAUGUAGUACCCACCGGGUGGCGCGUCGGCAACAACGAGGGCAUCAAUAGUCUCACCGGGGGCGAUCGUGAUGAUGUCCGUGGUGUAAGGGUUGACGUAGUUUGCGUCGGUGGCAACCACCGUGAACUUGUGCCCGGCGAUCUUGAUGUAGUACUCGGAGUAGAGAGCAGCGUUGAUAAUUCGAAGGAGGUAGGUCUUUCCGGGCUCCACGUUCAGCACAUAGCCGUCUUCCUUUGCCCCUUCAUUUCAGAGUUAAAAAUGAAGGAAUUAGUCGUGUAGAAGAAAGUUUCAUUUUAUUUGUACAUCAACAAGUAUCCUAUGAAUGGUUACCGGAGCAGUUGUAGACAUCUCCUAACUUGCCGUUCAUUGUGGCUCCACUAGGGUUAUCAUUAAAGAAACUGUCCCUCAUUCUUCUGUCCAACUCAUCAAGAUCCAUCUCCCACCACUCCCCUGCCACAACAGGACAUCAACUCAGAAAUAAGCUCAACAUAACUUUGCUACGUGCUACUCCCAAAUUAUAGGUCGUUUUCUCUUUUCUAUCUAUCUAUCUAUAUAUAUAUAGCAUUUGUUGUACACGUAUGUCUAGAUACAUAGUAAAAACUAUGUAUCCAGAACAGACAAAAUGAUUGACCUGUAAUUUGCCAUACACAUAUGUAUUGCUCAGCCUGGGUUUAAUUCUUCUUUUUAAUAUAAUCGGUAGCUCUCUUUUUGGCUCAUUUAAAAAAAAAGGAACGGAGAGAGUAUGUCUUAAACGAUCCAAAAGUCAAAUAAUUCACAAACCUAUAAUGAUGGGAACUUCCUUAUCAGGAUUGGGGAAUGGAUACGAGCUGGCCCCGUGUCUUGGCCGGAUGAUGAAGGCACCGUGAAGGGUUGCCCGGAGGCAGGUAACGUGAGCAUGCCACCAGAGGGUGCCUUCUUGCCCGGUGACACUGAACCGGUAGGUGAAGUUUUGGUUCGGCAGGAUGGGGCUUUGGGUGAUCAUCGGCACCCCAUCCGCCCAACAAUUCAGCAGCUGUUUCACCCCAUGCCUACAGUACAAACAACAGCUUGAAUAUAUAGGAGUUUGCCUGUUUUGGAAGUUGGAACAGAGGAAUUUGUUGAAUGAUAUAGGGGCCAGGUACUUAGCGAUUCUAUUACCAAUGGAUCGUUAUGUUGUGCGGUGACUUGUUGACGACAUGAACAACCACAGAGUCUCCUUCCGUAACCUCUAUCAUUGGCCCUGGAAAUUGCCCGUUCACCACGGUGACAAGCAUCUCCUUGCACAGAUGUGUCAUAUUCAUCUCGCUCACCUAAACAUAUAUAGAAGUUCGAAAAAGUUGAAUCAAACAUCCACGUAUACAUUCUUGUAGCGAUAUGCAUUUCAUAAGGAAGCUGAUUAAUAGUACAAAGAAAUGGGAAACGAUGGAGAUCAGAGACAAGGAAGGGAAUCAUGCUUACAACGAAUGUGUGCUCAACGACGGCAGUGGCCGCUCCUAGUAGGGCCAUCGCAGAGAGCACAACAAUGACAGCGGAGGCAACAGCUGUGGCUGCAAUUGGGAGGCUGAGGCACUGGAUCUUCAUUGUUUGCAACUGUCUUCUUCUACAAUGUCUGUAUAAUAGCGUAUAUGUUACAGGGAAGGUAGCCUCGAUGAGUGACAAAUAAUGGUCUGAAUGCCACGGGUCUGAUCUAUUGGAGAGGCAGGAAGGGGUGGUCAAUAGGUCGGGUCGGCGGAGUGGUGGUGUUAUUGUUCACGGUGGCAUAUAUGGGGAGGCCCGAGGGCUGGAAAGCUGUUUUAGAAGACUGUAGCAAAUGGUAGGAGAGGGACUAAGCUCUUUUUCCUACUUGAUUGAAUCCCCUCGUAUUUAUAGGGAGGAGCCGCUGCUUGCCUUACAAGCAAAUCUUACUCGACUUAACUUACAAGCAAUCCUUGACUUACUAUGUUGAUCACAUAUUCAUAUUAUGAAUUUUGGACCUCGAUCAUCUAUCAUUGUGCAAAUAAUAUUGUUUCCUUUUGAAGCCAGUUCUGAAUCUAUUGUUUCACUUAAUAGGAGAGUCCCAAUGCAGGUUUCAUUUCUAUGAAAUUUGAUGACAUGUCCACAUUUUUUUUUGACAUGACAAAGAAGUAAUGAGGAUGCUAGAGAAAAGACGAGUUUUAUCUUAGAUGAAACUACCUGGACAUUGUUUGAAACUUAAAACUAUUGGUCCCCUUUUCUCUACCUGUCCUCCCCGUUGUCCCGUUCCCUUUGGCCGUUGCAUUUUGCCCUCAAUCGUGUGGGAUUUGGGUUUGUCGUUAAGGGCAAUAUCUGAGACCCUGCUGGCACAUCAGCCUAUGCCGAUACGCAUGCACAUGCACCAUGUGAAAGUGAAGUGGAUCGAGGCAAGGAUGCAAUAACGUGCAGUGGAGUUGGUAUUUCCUUGGAUCUUGUCGGAUCAUCAGCAUUCAGCAACCGGUGCUUGACAAUGACUAUUCUUAUUAUAAUGCAACACGUGGACAAGCAGCACAAUAAUCAAAGGCCGAUUAUCAACACAACCUGCUCACGUUUCCUACCUCCUUUUCUGCCCCGUUCAUAACCUCGGUAGGGCCAGACUGCCUCCGAUAGCAACCCCAGGCCUCACCAGUGCUGAUCACAAACAAAAUUCAUGUUUUGUGUGUGGCCUGUACUAGGAAAAGAGUAAAAAUAUAUAAAUAAGCACAAGCAGAAGUUAGCAAUCCAAAACUGAUAUAAACUACUUUUUUAUGAACUCAGUUACGAUCCAGCUCUUCAACAGUAGUAGCAAUGCUAUUCCAAACCACAACGCAUUAUCUCUUCUUACAGAUUUAACAAAUCGUUAAGAUUUUUUUCUGAAUGAUGAUCCACGCGUUUUUUGUUUUUUGAUAUCUUUUGUCUUGUCUCCAGCUGAGCUAGUAAUUUGCAGUAGCCACUGCCACUAAAGCCCGGAUGAGAGAAAGAGCACUGUUCAUCAGGAUACUGCUCUUCAUUGUUCAAUAAUAUAGCAUCAAAUCUGGACAGAUGGCUCGUAAAUUGGACAGCUGGGAUUGCUAUAGUACUUAAGUUGCAGUUGUAGUUGCCACUUCACCGGAUGGCCAAAGGAUGGUCUGGGAAGUUAGGGUUCAUGUGGAACUCGGAAUAAGACAAGAUCUUUCCCACCCUAUAAAUACGAGGGGCCAAUGUCAGAUGAAGUAUCAGUCGACACAAAUCAACUUACUAUUUACUUUUUAUAUACUCUUUCCCUAAUUUCUCCUCUAACCUCGAUAUGAUGUUCUUCCUUGAUCUUAAUCACAAGAGAUGGUGCGCUACGCUUGCUGGCCAUCCUAGAGCAACCCACCAAUGCUCUCGCCCUAACGAUCCAUCUCAGUAAAGAGUUUGGACAAUCAUUGCUAGUCUGUCUGGAAACUAGUGGCUCGUCACCAUGUAAACAUGAUAUUAUCCUUUUCUAGUUUGAUCGUAGACCUAAUCACCCUACACCAUGAAAGUGUGAUGCUUACCACCAUGUUACGUCAACAGGUUCAUUGUCACACCCGGUUUUAAAAUAAAACCAAGUGCUACCGGCCUAUAUGUAUGUCAGGAUCUAGUUUCAUACGUAUAGAGCCAUCAUUAGUGAAUAACAGUAACAAUAUCAUGUAAAGAAGAAGAGAGUAUAUCAAAGAUUUAUAGCUUAAUCCUGAAAACGGAGGCAUCAAACUUCAUAGGCAAUCGACUGGGGAUCGCGUACGCCUAGAACUCAGCAUCAUCUUCAGCAAACUUCAUAGCAACUUCUUCUUCUGAGCAGCAUUAGCAAGGUACUCAGCAAGGCUACAAGAAAUAACGAGAAUAACGAUUUAAUAUCAACUUCAAGUAAAUUAAUCAUGUGAGGAUCCAGGCCGCUCUUAACCGUGAGCACGACUGAUAUAUUAGUUUUAAACACUCUGCAGAGGUUGCACAUCUUUACCCACAAGUCGUGUAAAAAUUCAAGAGAAUUUUAGACCCAACCAUGAUGUGCUGAUCGGUCACUAAUCACACUACCGAGAUGUGACUGCAUAGGAACGCUACGAGGCCUUUACAAAGAUUCCCUAAUAAGUGGUAACCCGCUAAGUUUUUAGGUUGAAGCAAAGCAUAAACCUCUCUCAAGACUGCGAAGCUACCAUAGAGAAAAUCAGCCUGAGGGUCGGGUAAUACCGCAUCAACGUCUCCCCUCUUGCCCUUUCCGUAAUUAUCCCAAACUAGAGUCUCUAAUUAAUUAUCCAAGAGCAGAGCCCAUUAGUUCUUGUGGUUGCACCGUUUUUCUAGUGGUCACUCCAUGUUCCAAUUAAUGUAUGGUAUUCUUGCAAAUAAACAUAGAUAGAAGGAUGGUUAGGAACACCUGCCUUUCUCCAAAGAGAAGUUGCUCUUACUGCUGUUCAGCUCUUGCUAUCUUGAAACUCUUAAUCUUCAAAGCUUUCGAACCACAAUCCUUCUACUCGAAGCAAUCAUUAGGCACAAGCAUACAAACAAACAAACAUGCACAAUUCAGAACAACACACCAAUCAAAAGAAAAGCUUUAAAAGAAUGCACUAAAAGAUAGGACUCAAUUUUAAGAUAGCGAGGGCACAUGAAACACUUAAAACAAAACUAUGGUUGAAAAGGCACAGCAAUCGAGAGAUUUGAAUUAUUAUCAAACAACAAAAGAUCAUAUGCUAGAUAUAUUUUAACUCAAUAAAAUCAUGUGCAAAGUUUUAGGUUAACUCAAAUUAUAUUAGUAUAUGAAAAGUCGCAAUAAAAUUUAAUCAAAUUUUUAUUUAUAAAUGUGUAUGUAUACAUUAUACAAAUUAAACAUUUAUUUGGAAAAAACAAAAAUUAGGUGAGAAUAUCUAAGCGCAUAGCUUUAUGCAUGGUUCGUGUUGAACUAACCAAGUUAUAAUUCAACAACAUAUUUAUAUUUACAUUAGUCAAAUUAAUAUUUAAAUAUGAAAACCCAAGAUAUAACCUACAUAGCUUUAAUUUAUAAAAAAAUAAAUAAAGAUUAAUCAAAUUAAGUUUAAUUUAUGAAAAGCUAAGGUAUAUCUCUGAUUAGCUUUUAAUUGGAAGAGUUGUUUAAAUAAGCGUUAACCAAAUUUACAUUAUUUACGAAAACAGGAGGUUGAACUCUAAUUAGAUUUUAAUUAGAAAAGAAAAUAUACAAGUACUUAAUCAUAUUAAUAUUUUAAAUAAAUUUGAAAACAAAGAAUAUGAUCAACAUUGCUUCUAAUGUGUAAUUUAAGUUGAUAUGAAUCUAACACAACAAGAACAAGGUUAAACGGAGCCGAAAUGCUAAGUCUAUGAGCUAAACAGGGUUGCAAGGACCUAAUCGUGAUGAUCUAUAGACACGAAGGGCUAGCGAAGGAUAUUUCCGAGACACAUUAAACAAUGCUCGUGAAUAAGGUAAAGGGCAGGCUUUGAUCUAUAAUAAAAAGAUCAUGGCUUGGGUUAGGUUGAAAGGAUCUAAGGUUUUAGAGGGUUCAUCUAAAAAAGAUUCACGACCCAAAAGAAGUCUACAAAAUUACAGAUUUCUCAGAGGACUAAACUGCAAGAGCUCAGGCGUCUAAUGCCAUGGCGGGAGGAGGCUCUAAACGGCAAAAUCGUCGGUGGUCCGGUGACCUAGGGGUUCAGGCGGGUGGCACAAUUGGGAGAGGAGGUCGAGGGGAUCAUGGAGGUGCGCUCACCGGUGGUGACGGACGACGGCAGCGGCCGGAAUUUUGUUGGUGGCGAAGCUGGUGUCGGUGGCUCAUGUCUUCACGCAGCCAGCGGGCUUCCGGCAUCGGAGGGGCUCCAAGACUAGGCGGUGGACCUCCGUAUCGACAAGGGGAAGCUUGUGGUUGUGGUGGAUUCAUCCGGCGGUCGUCGUACGCGGCGAAUUAGGUUGUCCAAGGCACGGUGGCCCUCAUCUUCUUUGGCUCUGAUCUUCAAGCGGACCAGCUCUUCUGGCAACGAAUUGAGGAUGACGAGCAGAGGCGGGUGUGCGGGUGUGCCUCGUAGAGCUCCUAGCGGGGAUGGCUUGCUCCGGUAGCCAACGGACGUAGCGAAUCGGCCGAGCGAGCUCCGGCGGCUGCUCCAUGUUCCGAUGCCUUCAAGCGAUAGCCCCGGCUCUGCGGCGGGGCAUUGCAAGGCGAGGGCACGGGUCGAGACUGCAUCAGGGGCGCACAAGGCCAGGGGCUCUCCUUAAGUAGGAGCGACGGCCAAGGAUGCUUGGCACGUACGCCAAGGCACAUCCUGGCGACAACGCUCUCGUGAUCCACCAACUACACCUCGAUGGGCCUAGAGGACCGGCAGCUGGAUCGGGCCAGAGCAGGUCGGGCCCAUGUGCUUGGCCCAAAAAGGAUAGGAUAUAUUUUAUUUUUAUUUCCAGAAUUAUUCCUGUGUAAUGAAAAUCCAGAUAAUUCUAGAUAAAUCAUAUAAACCAUGAAAAAUACUUCAAAAAUCCCAAAAAUUCCAAAAAAAAUCUAGAGAUAGAAUGGGACACGAGGAAUCUAAAUAAAAUAUUUGGAGUCCAUUAAAAAUAAUCUAGAACCUUCUAAUAAAUAGAUUUUGUUGUAGGAAAAAUGAUAAUAAAUUCCAGAAAAAUCUAGAAAAUUCUUAGAAAGGCUAAUCGAUAUCUAAACGUAUUAAACCUUUGCACUCAUGAAAUACCAGAAAUACAUAAGCAUGAAUGCAACACACACAUAACUACUUUAUUUAAUUUAGAAAAAACAACCAAAUGUUUUCCUUUACUAAAUUUCUUGUCAAGAAAAUAAAUGUUGGAAAAGAUUUAGAAUUAUGAUAAAAUUAUUGUUUAAUUAUUCUUUCGGAUCACAUUCUGAAAUCCAAAAAUUUCAGGGUGUGACAUCCAUUCAUGGAAAUUAUUUCCCUAAGGAUCCAUUUGCAAAAAUUGUUUCCUAGAAGGGCUAUGAACUAGACCAGGUCUAGCUAUGACCCUUGCAAAACACCUAUGAUCCCCAAGCAAGGCCCUUAUUAUGGUAACCAAUGUUGGAGGUAGAAAGUGGAUUCUGCGAACCCCAGUAGUAGCCCGGCCCCUCGUGGCCGAGGGCCGACUCUGAUGGACUGAACCCUCAAUAACAUGGACCACAUCCUUAGCGCGCCAUAAAAUGUCAUCUUUGAACAUUGGAGUUGGUACGAUCCGAAGGUUCAAUGUUACAUGCAUUGGUGUUUGGUUGAUUGCUGCUUCAUGUUCUUCAUGCCUUACGAAAGCACUAACUGCUCACCACUUUUACCCGCAAACGGGGUUAGGGGGGGGGUCGUUGAUCCCACCUACACUUUCGCAAGCAAACUCUGGUUUCUCCUACGCUGUUGCAAGCAAACUCUUUUUUCUCCUUCUCUCUUGCUUUAAAAUUCAUGCGAUAGCAUUGGUUGUUAUUUGCUUUACUUUCUCACUGCUGAAAAAGGUUUAGCAUCUUUGUUUGUUUUUUGCUUUUUAAACCUUUACUCCUUAAUAUUAAAUUUUUAUUCAUUUUCUUCUUAGGGAUGGCUCGCUUCAUGACCCCGCUAGACUUAUAGAUUAGGGAGAUGGCUCCUCCGGAGAUGAGAAACGCGAAGGUUCUCAUGAGAGGAAUCCCGAUGGGAUUGCCCAUGGCCCAGUCUCAGCAGAUCAAAGCGAAGUGAAGACUUUGGGGCUGUCGAUGCUGAUGCUGGAUAUCAAGUGAGCUAAAAGGUCACUCUAGAGCUUACUUUGAGGUUUGGGCAAAACUCUUGGUUCUCUUUUCAGUACCCCCCUCCCCGUUGUCCCGUUUUCGUUGUAUUUUGCGCUCAGUUGCGUGGGAUUUAGGUUUGUCACAUUAAGGCCCCCAUCUGAGACCCUGCUGGCACAUCAGCCUGUGCCGAUACACAUGCACCGCGUGAAAGUGAAAUGAAUCAAUGAAAGGAUGCAACAUGCAGUGGAGUUGGUAUUUACUUGGAUCAUGUCGGAUCAUCAGCAAGCUGUGCUUGUCAAUGACAGUAUUCUUAGUAUAAUGCAACACGUGGUCAAGCAACAGUGGAGUUUGGGAUUGUCGUUAAGGGCACUAUCUGAGACCCUGCUUUCACAUCAGCAUAUGCCGAUACGCAUGCACACAUGGACCAUGUGAAAGUGAAGUGGAUCGAAUUGAAGUAAGGAUGCAAUAACGUGCAGUGGAGUUGGUAUUUCCUUGGAUCUUAUCGGAUCAUCAGCAUUCAGCAACCGGUGCUUGACAAUGACUAUUCUUAGUAUAAUGCAACACGUGGACAAGCAACACAAUAAUCAAAGGCCCUGAGGUGGUAAUGAUCAGCUGAUUAUCAACACAACCUGCUGACGUUUCCUGCCUCCUUUUCUGCCCCGGUCAUAACCUCGGUAGGGCCAGACUGCCUCCCAUAGCAACCCCAGGCCUCACCAGUGCUGAUCACAAACAAAAUUCAUGUUAUGCAUGGCCUGUACUAGGAAAAGAGUGAAAACAUAUAGAAUAGCAGUGGGUCACUACGCUGCCUCCUUGAGUUGCAAAGGUUUACUAAAAAUGCAUGAAAAGCAAUGCCGGUCCCAUUUUACCGCAUUUGGAAAGAGGGAUUACAAAUACCCUCCUUUCAUGGAGCUGGGAGGUUGUUCAAAAGACGUUGAUGUUGUUAAAAAAACUCUUCCUUCGGGAAUACUGGAAGGUUAGUGGUAACGAAGCUGCAAGGAAUGCAACUGCGGAUCAUCAAGCGAAGGUACAUAGUUUUAACUGAUUCAUUUAAAUGUCCCACACUAGUAUCUCUGAAUUCUAAUUUUGCCUAUUGUUUCCUACUGCUAGGGAAAGCGCCUUCGGUACCGGGUCCUAACCCCCCUUUAGUACCAGUUGUGCAACCGGUAUUACUACUUCGGUACUAAAGGUGGGGCCUUUAGUACCGGGUCAAAUAACCGGUACUAAAGGGGGGCAAAGGUCUUUUUUCUUUUUCUGUUUCUUUUCUCAUUUUCUUUUCUGUUUCUUUAUUCUAUAUUAGUAUUUCGUAUUUAUUCCUUGACAUAUACUAGUUCUAAUACGCUAAUAUAUAUAAAGUUGUAUUUGAUCUAUAAUACUACAUUUGAGAUAAUAUUAUAUAUAUAUAUAUACAUCUUCUGCAUACACAUUUAUGAAUAAUAUUACAUUGCAUCAACCCUUGAAGUUCAACAUUUGCAUCAACUAUUCUAAACCCGAGUCCUGAUGGUGAUGCAGAUUUGAUCCAUCAUUAUGGAACUCCCUCGCUGGAUUUACUACCUUGUCCAGAAGACAUCCAUUGAGUUGUUCGUGAAUUGCCCUGAUUUUUUCUGUCUCAAGGAGUGCUUCAUUCAUGUCUCUCAUUUAUGUCAUUGGCAAAGGUUAUUAUACAUUAGAUCAAUGGGUCUACACAAUUAGAACUAAUUUAUUGAUAAGAAAUUUGUAUACGUACUCUGAAUUCGUGGUCGGUUAUACGCUUGGAACAUACAAAGCCAUGGAUGAACUCACAUAGUAUCCGCAGAAAUUAUUCCCUGGAUUCUAUCUCAAACACUAUAUAUAAGGCAAAAGAAAUUAUGAAAUAUUUGUUGUGUACAAGGAAGUGUCACAAGACGUGGAAAUUCAACACAUACCAGGAAUUCAGGCUUGAAAUCAAGUUCCUCCUUAAAUUCACCUGUGUAAUGUCGACGAAAGGGAGCCUAUGCUUUGUUAAGAAUGUCUAUGAGGUUUUGUAUUGAUCUAUUGAUUUCCUCAAAGAGUCCAUGAUAUACAUCGCGCUUCGAUCAACCACGAUAACAAGGAGUAUCCAGUGGAAGCUGUACAUAUAUGCAUAUCCAAAGCUAGUUAGUUUUAUAUUUAACUGCUAGUUCGGAAAAGAGAUAGGAAACCCACUCACUCGAAGUUGUACGGUAGAAGUAUGUACUUCUUGUAAUGUUGGCUGUCUAGGAACUUAUAUAUGUUCUUCAAGGUCUGAUUUGGUCUAUCUCUUACAGUUGACUCGUUUGUAAUAUCCGGGUCCAUGAAGCUAAUGUCAUAUUAUCCUUUCCUCCAGCAAGUUUGAAUCUCCAUCCUGCAUGAUACAAAAUUGAAUAGGAGUUAAGAUAUCACACAAUGACUAGAGCGGGGAUUUUGAGGUUAGAGCAAAUUAAAGACUAAUAGAACCCAUGAACUAAUGAGUGACUUGUCAAGUGUGUCUUGAUUGUAAAGGAAAUAGAGUUCCUCUAGCGGCACAUUUAUAAUGUCUUUCCCACGGAAAUAAUGUUGAUCUCCAAUCCGAACUUCGGGCAUGCGUAAACCGUUGGCUGAAACCUCCAUGUACCAUUGGUGCAAUUUGUACAUCUUCGUUGGAAGACGCUCCACCAACUGCGGCCACACAAGCGGUUUCUCUAACUCAAAUUUCCAUUUAGCAGCCCUAGGGUGAUUUGGGACGUGAUCCUUUCCUCGAAGUUGAGCUGUGGUGAGAUUUGUAUCUUUGGCAAAUAAAAGUAGGUUCUUAUCAAACUCCAAAAGCACCUGAAGCGGGGCAAUCGAUUGGUUGGAUUGGGUUCCGAGCUGUGAAAUACUUGACCCACUUUUCUUCUUUUUCUGAAAAGCCUUUGUUAUUGAGCGGUUGUAGUCAGAUAGACGUGGUUUCUCUGGCUUGCUUCUAAUGAAAGUCCGAAAUUUAACCUUAUGAAGUGGUGGAUCUUUCUUCACGGGAGGCUUUGGUGCGAAGUUAUCUUUAACCUCAGCAUCCACUACUAUGUCGAUUUCUGCAUCAGUCAUCUCAUUAGCUUUCUUGGGCUCUGGUUGCUUCACCUUCGGCUUCUUCUACUUCUUCUUUGUAGCUGCAGUAGGCGGAACUGAAGGCGUCUUUCACCAUGUAGCCUUGCUAAUAAUAGGGGGAGGUGGACACAUGCUAGGAUCCCUGUCAGCUAGUGGAGAGCGUGGACUCAUGCUAAGAUCCAUGUUAGCUAGUGGACUCAUGCAAGGAUCCCUAUCUGGUAGUGGAGAGGGUGCCCUAGCAGAUGGCGUAGGUGAUCUUGCCCUUGAGCCUUAAGGAGAUGAUCCCAAGGUUGAGGGAUUGGGCUGCGUAAUCCUUAUGUAGCGCUUGGGCUAUAGAAUCCAACCCUCGAUAGCUUCUCCUAGAUUCUUUUCCCCGUCACCUCUAGGGAUCUCCAGUUCUAGAGCCAUCCCAACCGUUGACCACUUAGUCCACCAGAACUUUGGCAUAACCGCGAGCUGGAAUCUCCACACCAUGAUUUUUUUGGCCUUGUGUCGGUUGUUCAGCCACACCACAAGCCACCACGAUGAGCUUGUUUUCACAGGAGUAACAAGCUCACAAGGGGCUCUCCCAGUGAUGUCGUCCAUGGGGUGGCGUUGGUUGUCCUCAAACAUGUCAGAAGAUCCUCAAACUGGGGCUUCCUUGGAAGCGACGCUGAGAGGGGCUUACAUCAACAUUAGUCCUUGAUGAUGCAACUGCUUGUUCACUGGCUUGUUUGCGAAGAGUUAGAGCCACAUGCUGGUUGAUUGCUUCCUCCAUUCUUGCCUCUGUCAAAGCUACGUAUUGUUGCAACUGCACCCUUCUGAAAGACCCAAUCUUUCACUUUUUCUACAUCUACACCUUCGAACCUGAAGUUUUCUUUUAUCUGCUCCCAUAACAUGUCCUUGUCUCCAUCAAGGACCACUCUUAUGGGGACCUCAGGUAUGGGGACCACGCUCUCAUCGAUUUUAGGGCUUUUCCAAUUCUGAAAGCUUAUUGGGAUGUUAUCCCUAACAAGAAAUCCAAUUUGAUUCACCAAUUUGAUCUUAGCAUUAUCUAGAGCAGUUGGUUCAACCUCUUCAUUAAUUUUCGUGAUGUGAUACAUCCCUCUAGCUUCUUCUUCGGACCUCUUUUCCAUUUACACCUGCUCGAUCCAGAUGGCUGAGCACAAAAGAACUAUUAAUUCCCAAUAAUCUUGAUAAGUAUAGAAUUCAAAUCAUGUUUACAUCUACUAAUUGCUAUACCUCGCAUUGUUGUCCAUCAUUGCCUCCCUCAGCAAUUGGUUCCUCCUUAUUGACAUCACCAGACAUGUUGAGGUAGAUGUCAGUCUGGCUAUGAUCGACCUCUUCAUUUAGUUGAUCAUUUGUGCGAUCUUGAGCAAUCAAGUCUAUUAAGUAUUCCUCGUCCAAUCGGGCCUGCUUGUCCUCUGGUCAUGCCAUUAUAAGUAAUAUAAUAUAAAAAGUAUUAUUUUAAGAAAUAGUAGGCAUCAACAAUAAAAAGAAUGACUAAAAAAAGAAUCAAACACUUGGUACAAUUUGUUACAAUAAAUGACUAAAAAUUUAUUUACAGUCAAUUGCAUGUCAUUUACAACCAUCGUCAAAUAUUUUCUAACAAAAUUAUUAAAAAAUGACUACAAAAAUGAAUGACUAAUAGUUAUACAUUUUGUAACAAUAAAUGACUAAAAAAGAAUGAAACACUUAUACACUUUGUUAUAUUUCUAAUAUUUUAUACACAUUUAUAUAAUUUAUUGAACUAUUUGAUGAGUUUCUAGUAUAAAUGACAACAAAAAUAUUUACAACGAAACUUAGUCGUUCACCAUCAUCAAAUUUCUUGGAAAUUUCUAGAAGUAUCAAAGUAAUUUCUAGUUUAUUUAGUCAUUUCUAACAAUUAACAGGAUACAAUAAACAUGGCAUAAUCAAUGUUGUACAAUUUACAAUUAAUAGGCUUUUCCAAGAAUCCUCGUCGGGAAGAAGCGGAGGGCCAGCGCUGCGGGGGGAGCGCGUGGGGUGCGUGGCACCGGUCGGGGGCGGCGCAAUGGUGGCGGGGCUCAUGGGGGCGGCGCUGGUCAGUGGCGGGCACGCGCGAAGUGGGUUGGGGAGGAUGCUGGCGGGGAAGAGGAGGAGGGCCGUCGACGGACAGUAGUGGGGCCGGUAGGUGGCCGGGUGGCGGCGACGGAGCGCGUCGGGGCACCAGUCAGGGGUGGCACAGCAUCGCCGGGGAGCGGCGCGUCGGUAGAGGCGCGCGAUGAUGGUGCGGGGGCAGUGACACGGAGGAUCCGAGGGGGGCCAGCGGCGGCGUCAAUCGCAAAAUUUAGCUAAGUUUUGGGGGAGUAAAACGGUGGAGUUUUUAUCCCCCAAACCUUUAGUACUGGUGCUAGCCAGCACCCGGUAAUAAAGGCCACCCCUUUAGUACUAGGCCUAGCCACCACCCGGUACUAAAGGGGGCAGAGCACGCGAAAGAAAAAAUGCCCCUCUUUAGUAUCGGGUGUUGUUAUCACCCGGUACUAAAGGGAUUUGUAGCCCAUUGUUUUGGCUUCCUACUUAAACAUCUUUUAUUUUUCUUUCUUUUACAAUUGCUAUUGUAUUAAUUUAUUACGUAGUAAAUCAAAUAACAUUCAUAAAAUUACAAAAAUAAUUUGUUAGCUUGAUGUUGAUUAGGUAUACACUAUAAAAAUAUUAGCUGCAUUUAAAUAUCUAACAUGUGAAAUUAUUAAUUUUAACUUAGUAAUAGGUUGUAAUGGUCAUAAUACUUAUGUUAACUUUAAACUUUGAAAAAAUAAAUAUUUUGACCAUGCAAAAAUUUAGAAGAAUAGUGCCUUUAGUGUUAUUAACAUGUUUACCGUGACUUAAUCAUUUACUUGAUUAAUUGUACAUAAAUUUAUUGUUUAAUAUUUAAUGGUGCUAAAAAAUCAAAAUAUUUAAUAUUUUAACCAUGCAAAAUCAGUUCUUGUUUCAUAGGGUGAGAUUUUUUUGCAAAUAGUACUGUUAAUGAACCCAUAGGACACAUGACAUAUCAUUACAAUGCAUUAUUACAUUAAUUUGUUCCUUUGUUGAUAACCACAAAACACAACAUAAUCAUCAUCUAGCGGAACGUUAAUAACCUUCAUCUUGACGAACGUCCCUUAGUUGUGAUCGCGGUGUAAGUAUGGAGCAUCCUCUUUGGCUAACAGGAUGGUUGGAUCAACAUCAACUGAAAAUGGAGGAAGAUGAUCGAACUGAUCAUAAUCUUCUGAAAUGUCAGUCUUGUCCUCAACUCCAACGAUUUUUCUUUUCCUUGGAAGAACUAUGUGGUGCUUUGGCUAGUCAUCUGAUUUAUUAGCAUCCUUCUUUGCUGGUUUGCUUGACAUGUCCUUCACAUAGAAAACUUCAGUCACAUCAUUGGCUAGGAUGAAUGGUUCGUCUCUGUAUCCAAUCUUGUUUAGGUCCACUAUUGUCAUCCCAUAGUUGUCUGUCGUUAUGCCUCCUCUAGUAAGUUUCACCCAUUGACACCGAAAUAGAGGGAUUUUUAAAGGUCCAUAGUUGAGUUCCCAUAUCUCCUCAAUGACACCAUAGUAUUUGCCUUUUUUUCCAUUGUUGUCUAUUACAUCUAUACGGACACCACUAUUUUGGUUUGUGAUCUUUUAGUCUUGGGCUCUAGUAUAAAAUGUGUAUCCAUUUAUCUCGUAUCCUUGGAAUGUCGAUACUAAGAUAAAUGGACCCCUAGCCAACCAUGCUAUUUGUUUUUCAAUUGUGUCAUCACCCAUCAGUCGUCGCUGCAACCAAGAGGCGAAAGUGUUAAUGUGAUGAUGUGUAAUCUAGGCAUCAAUCUUUCCUUGGUUUGAGAACUGUACAAUAGCCUGUACUCCUCCAUAUAUGGAGCGACCAGGGAUGAUUGUUGCAGGACCGUUAAGUGUGCUUUGCGAAAUGUAUCCUCAUCGAUGUCCAUCCGAGCUUUCCUCCCUAGUCUGCCCUUUUCCUUUAGUCUCCCCUCAUGGCGUGAUACAUGGACUCCAAUCAAACUCAAGUUGUCAAUAAAGUCAAAACAAAACUCAAUGGUCUCCUCUGUUCCAUAUCCCUUUGUGAUGCUUCCUUUCGGAUGGGCACGAAAACGAACAUACUUCUUCAGAAUUGCCAACAACCUCUCGAAAGGGAACAUAUUGUGUAGAAAUACAGGUCCGAGAAUAAAAAUCUCUUCAACAAGGUGGACUAGAAGGUGGAUUGAUAUUUAAGAAGGAAGGUGGAAAGACCAUCUCAAAGCUGACCAGGCAUUGCACCAUGUACUUCUACAGCUUUAGUAGAUUGUUUGGAUGGAUUGCCUUCUGAGAAAUCAUGUUGAGGAAUGCACAUAGCUUCACGAUUGUCAUUCUCAUAUUCUCUGGUAGAAUACCUCUUAGUGCAACAGGCAACAAUUGUGUCAUCAGAACAUGGCAGUCACGGGCCUUUAGAUUUGUGAAUUUCUUCUGUUUAAAAUUUAUUAUUGCCUAUAUAUUCGAGGAGUAGCCCGAUGGGACCUUGAUACUAUUCAAGCACGCAAACAUGCUUCAUUCUCUUCCUUGCUGAGAGUGUAACUGGCAGGAUGCAAGUAAUGUCCAUUAUCUCUCUUUUCCGUAUGUAGGCCAUCUCAUUGUUUCAUAUGUUUCAGGUCCUGACGUGCUUCAAUUGUAUCCUUUGCCUUUCCAUAUGUACCUAGGAAGCCAAGCACAUUCACACAAAGAUUUUUCGUCAGGUGCGUCACAUCGAUUGAAUUACGUACCUCAAGAACUUCAAAAUAAGAUAGCUCCCAAAAUAUAGACUUCUUCUUCCACAUGGGUACAUGUUCGUCCUCGUUGUUUGGAAGAGGUUGGCUACCAGAGCCCUUGCCAAAGACUACCCUCACACCAUUUAUCAUAGAAAAUACACGUUUACCAUUAUGGUGAACAGGCUUAGUAUAUUUUUCUUUCUCCCUUUCAAAAUGCUUCCCUUUCUUUCUGAAUGGGUGCUUAGAAGAAAGAAAUUGACGAUUGCCCGUAUACACGACCUUCUGACAGUGUUUCAAAUACAUGCUACAAGUAUCAUCUAAACAGUGCAUGCAGGCUCCAUAUCCCUUUUUUGUUCCAAGCAUGGGUCACUCAUUUUUUGCCUUCCAUUGCAACAUUUCCAGUGUGGUACCCAACUUUUUGUGCCCCUGUUUGCAAUCUGGGUACUACAAUUUCUUAUGAUCAUCUAACAUACACUCAAACUUAUUUGACUCCUUUACAUUCUCGCAGUCUUCCUUUGCAUCUCGCAAAACCUGACCUAGAUCAUCGGUAGGACUUUCUUCUGCAACUAUCUCUUCUUCAGCCUCGCCCAUUGCAACAUUUGCAAAGGCAUCUCCUUGAGUCCAGUCAGGAAUGUAGUUAUCAUCUUCUUCAUUAUCAUCAUCUUUCAUCAUAACUCCUAUUUCCCCAUGCUUGGUCCAAACGAAAUAGUUAGGCAUGAAUCCCGAACUGUAUAUGUGGGUGUGAAUAAUAUUUCUAAAUGAGUAAUCCUUCUCAUUUUUAUAAAUUUGGCAUGGACAACAAAUGAAACAAGAUGGUGGCUUGUUGGACUCUGCUAGAUCAGGAAAACCACGCAAGCUAUUAAUGUACUCCAUGAAGCGUUUGUCCGCAUUGUACAUCCAUAGUCGAUCCAUCUACAAAGUAUUACCGAGCCAAAGAUAUUUUAAUCAUUCAUAGAAUUAUACAUGAAACAUAACAAACAUGAUACAAAAUUCAUUGAGCCAAAGAUAUUCUAAUCAUUCAUAGAAUUAUACAUGAAACAUAACAAACAUGAUACAAAUUUCAUUAAACUCAAAUGUUGCUGAAAGUUUAUUAGAAAUACACAAAUUUAAUUUUCAGACCCAAACAAUAUGAUACACUACGACAAACCAUCCACUAAAUAAUAUCUAGGAGGACUUUAAGAGCGGCGAAGAUGAAGGUUUUGCUGAUCCAGCCUCAUCCCGGGACUGGCGGCGGAGCAUAACGACUACCAAAAGGAGGUUCCUGACCUGCCGCAACAGCAUCUUCAUGACAUCUUUCCAAAUAAUGAAGCAUUGCUCUCUCCCACGUGCUCAUUUUCUUCGGCUUAUCAUGAGGGCCAACUAUGGUUUUCCCUUUGCCGCGAGAGGAACAACGAUCGCCCCCACCAUCGCCACUACCUCCAGCAGCAGCAGUAGCCAUCUCUAUGUACCAUAAUUUAUUCAGCUCAUAUUUGGAAAUGACUAAACUAUGAACAAAUUAUAUUUUUUCCCCAUAAUUUAUUUAGCUCAAACAUAACAUAUAUAUGAAAAAUUUCUCCAUUGUAAAAAAAUGACUAAUUACGUACCUCUAUUUCAUCUUAUUAUCUCUAUGUACCACAAUUUAUCUCACUCAUAUUUGCAAAUGACUAAAAUAUGAACAAAUUAUAUUUUUCCCAUAAUUUAUUUAGCUCAUAUUUGUAAAGGUCUAAACUAUGAAAUUAUUCCUCUAACCUCAUAUCAAUUUCUUUGACUAAUACGAAACAUAGCAUCCAAAAAAUUGUAGCUUAUUCUAAAAAUCACAAAUAUGAGCUCUAAAUAACACAUGCAUAUAAAUGAAAAUUUUCUUCAUUGUACCUUAUUUUAAAAAUCACAAAUUACUCUAGCUCUAAAGCAUAAAACUUAGUAUACUAACCAUGUAUCGAGGGAGGAUGAGGUUUCUAACCUUUGGAACACUUGAAUGAGUGAAAUCCCCACGAAAUUGUAAAAAAUCCGGCAGGACCUCCCCUAUUUUGCUAUGAAUGGAUGAAGCCCAAGCUGGAGGAAAUGACUCGGGCAGGAGGAAGAAGAUGCCUGAUUUAUAGGAGGGAAGUUAGUACUAGUUGGGGGCUCCAACCGGUACUAAAGGUCACCCAUUAGUAUACUGGAGCUACUGGGGACUAACCGUUAGACCCGGUACUAAUACUCAUAUUAGUAUCGGGUCAAAAACCAACCGGUACUAAGGGCUAGAAUCAAUACUCAGUUUUUGAGUAGUGUCCUAAGGCCAAAGAAGCACUUGAGAUGUCCAGGAGCAAAUGUGACGGAACUUCGCAAGAUCCAAGUCAGGCGUAGGAGCUGACUUAAUUAGAUGUUUUGACCUUUUGGCCUGUAACAAGUUGUUCUAUGACGGACGUCCUCUUAAGCUAAAACAAUUGCUUUUAAUUUGUGGACCUGUGCAGGAUAUUGUACCCUUGCGAUUUCAUCGUGAAAAACCCUGUUGUAGUGGUUAUGCUUGGGUUAAAUACCAGGAACUACAUCCCAGAGCCAGCUUUCAAGACUUUUGGUAUCGCUGCUAUUGUUAUUUUUCCGACCGCAGCUUUGCUUUGUACCAUUUCUUCAACUUUCGCGGUGGUUAUGCACUUUGCCCUUUAAACGCUGGCAUCCCACGAUUUCGUAGAGAUCAAGCAGGAGCCUCUUAAAGGGUUAUACUAGUUUUUAUUUGGGAAAAACAUCACCCACUCAAGCCUUUUAGAGAAGGGGAUUUACAAUGCUUAAUAUUAUUGUAGCUAUGGUUUGCUGUCUGCAAUAAAUUGCCUGUACUACCCUUUUGCACACUUUUCUAUUGCCUCACCUUUUGUUUUUGUGGAGGUAACGGUGAUUUCGAUCGCUUACUUGAGGGCAAACUCAUAACAACAAAGCUUUCAUGUUCCCUUUGCCCUGUGCUCGCCUUCGACAUUAAAGUUCUUAUUUAGGAAUGACAUUUGUUCCCAUUGCACCUUGUUGAUCUUGUACGAUCGAAGGUGCUAUGAUUAUGCUUUUCACUUUUCUCAAGUUGCGUGCUCACUGUUGGAGAUAAGAAGCCUUCAUUUCUACUUUUGAGGAAUGAAGUCUCGAUGAGGUUACAGAUAAGUUGGUACGUAAAAAGCUUGCUAAUGCUAAGUUUUUGCGUUGUUGACCGGAGGUGACAAUGACAUGCCUCCUUGUCAUCGAUCAAGCUGCCAAUUCCUCCAUCAGCUUCGACCACGUACCUUCACUUGGACGCACCUGCGUCUAUGCGAGAUAGACGCAAUUUCUAUCCUGAGGGUCCAUAUGAUAUUCCAGAUCGAAAGUGGUGAAUUGGGCCAGGUCUAGCUAUGACCCUCGCAAAACACCUCCGAUUCCCCUGGUGAGGCCCUGAGUAUGGUAGCCAACGUUCGGAGAUAGUAAGUGGAUUCCACAAUCCCCAAUAGUCCUGACCGGCCCAAUGAUCUUUUAGGUUUGCGUAAAUAUUUAGCGUUGUGCCAAGCUAGUUUGUCCGUCUCUUUUCCCGCAUCACUGUUAACCCAUCAUCUGAUCUCACUUGCGCCGACCAGAUGGGAUCUUGGGAGUCCACAAGCAGGGUGAUCUCACUUACGGUGGCCUUCGACACAACACAAGCACUUGCACUUGCACAAGUUGCAGGGUGGUCUCUCACCAACAGAAGAGCGGUUCAUUGCCACACAAAGGGGUGCAAGGAACCCAUCGUCACCGCCCGUGGUACCGUGCCGGGUAGAUCAAACGGGGAUAUGAGCAAGCUUACAAGAAUUCAGUAUAUUUUGGUAGCGUGGAGGAUGAAGAAGAACCCUUCCUUUGUUCCUCUUUCAGUUUUACUGAAUUAUGUUCAGCAAAUGGACUAAAAUGAUGGAAAUAAUACGAAUUUGCUAUAUAUAAUUUUCAAGUCCUUGAGACUUGAAAUAUUUCAGACGACUUGUUUGAUCUGUAUGAUCGCUUGGUUUCGAUUGUAAGUCAAUAUUUGUCAUAGCAGUCCGAGUGACUUCACCUGCUUUGCAAUUUUAUAGUGUAGCACGUACGCCUCAUUAUUAUUAACCCUUUCAUGAUUUUUUUCAAGCUAGGCUCGCUUCUAUGUUGCCCCAAAACUGCAAACAGUAUCAAUACAUGCCCAUCCUUCUUAGAGGUUCAUUGUAGGAGACAGUAGGGCCUGGCUGAGGCCAUCAUCAGCCGACGAAGCCACAGCGGGUCCACUUGCUUCACCGCCGCCGCCGUUCCUCUCGUCACCCACUGAUGGCUCCUCCUGCUGGGAGGCAUCCAUCAUCCGCGCACGCCGCCUGUCCACAGGGUAAGUCCAGUACAGCGCCGAGCACGUGAGGCAGCAGGCAGUCGCCGUGACGGCGAUCACCGCGAAGACAGCCUUACCCAGAGCGACUGCGUUCUCCCGAUCGGCGUGGUCGGAAGCUGCUGUCCGCCCAUGGUACCCGAAGACAUGCUCUGCCAGGACGCCGACAGCGGGUGCCCCGAACGACGCCACAACGUUCUCGAAGCACAGGUCCAGCGCGUACACGGUCGUUCUCGCCUUCUCCGGCGCGAUCUCGGCGAAGAUAGGGCUGCCAAUCAAGAAAGACGGGGAAUGAAUGAAUUGAAUGCACGGAAGAACAACAAUGGCUAGCUGAUGUUGCUGUCAUCUUGUGAUGAUCUCACUAGCUGGUGGAGACCGUGCUCCAGGCCAUGGCGACGCCAAGGAGAAAGAACCCGCCGGCGUACACGGCGCCGGCCAGCGGCCAUCCCGGCCGCGCGAGCAGCAGCAGCAGGGCGGCGAGCGGGACGGUGGACGCAUUGGAGAUCUGCGCCAGCGCGAUCCGCCCCGUGUCCGGGAACCGCCGUGCGGCGAGGUCCCCGGCGAAGCCGGCGACCAGCGCGCCGAGCCCGUUGGAGAGGCCGUUCAGGCCCGUGACCACGGUGGUCUCCCAGCGCGAGAACCCCACGAGCUCCAGCCACAUGGCCAUGAACGUGAGUGCAGACCAUGGCACCUGGGCGGCUACCCCCUGCGCAACGACGGUCCAGAACGUGGGCACGCUCGCCACGGCCUUUGCUCCCCGGGCGACGGUGGAGGCCAAGGACGUGAUGCUCGUGCUUCCACUUCCGUCUGCUGCUCUGGAGUCAUCAUCGUCGCCGGCGACCAGCCAUGUCGGGAGGGCAAGCGAGAUGCUGACGAGAGCGAUGGCAAGGAACGCCAGCCGCCAACCUGGAACACCGCCGAAGAAGCUGGUAGGGGCCAGCAGGAUGCCCAGCGAGUUCCCCAUGGCGCCGCCCAUGCCUUGCGCCAUGUACAACCACCCGAACGUCGCGCCACGCGUCUCGUCGUCGCUGUAGUCGGCGACCAGUGAGUAGACCCCCGGCAGCACCAGCGCCAGGCCGACGCCAUUGAAGCCCCUAGCGAUCGCCAUCUACAUCAGAUUAUAUUAGGAAGUUGUCUUUAAAUUUUAGGAGGACGAUGGAGAUCGCUUUAAAUGUUAGGGGGUGACCUGAAGGAAGGUUGUCGAGGCGGCGACGAGGAUGGCGGCCACGGCACAGAGAAAGGUCCCCGCAGCAACAAUGCGGGUGCGGUAGAAGCGCGCCUCGGCACACAUGGCGAGAGGGUAGCACAGCGCCUGCACGAGCCCACGGCACAGCGUUAUGGUGCCCAGCUCGGCGGGCGAAGCUCCCAGAGCGGCGCCCACCUCCCUGUACAUCGCCGGCAGCAGGGACUCGUUUGCAUUCUCCAGCAUCGCCGCCGCGGUCACCAGCAACAGCGUCCACAGUCGCUGCCGCCGCCGCAGCCCGAACGCCCCCAUUCCUUAUUCGCCCCACACUCACUGCAGCGUCGCACUAAUAAAUAUUGCUACUAGGUUGCAGCCGGAGCGAAGUGGCAGGACAGCGCGGUGGCCGGUGGGGGCUUCAGGUGCAGAAUUUGGACCAUGGGUAUUCAAAAUUGUAGAUGGCAAGAAAAAAAUUUGACAGUCUAAAUUAUAGUUUUAUAACACAGAAUUAAGUGGUAGUAUCAUUGAUUAAUAAAAUUGAUCACAACUUGAAAUUGUCCAGCUACUAAUGAUCAACAUAUCAGAGUGCAUUUUGCAAGUUGCUGUGCUAAUUGCUAUCCCAAUUUCAGAAACAAUUGGAAAUGGCGAAAUGCUCACCUCAAUUUGACAAUUUCACAAACAAUCAGAGGAAUCAGGACCAAUGGAGAAUGAACCAGAGCAGGACGUGCCGACGCGGUCAGGGACGGGGAGUCGAGCAGUCCCCUGGAGUCGGGGACGGAGGUACAGUAGCGUCGGCCUGGUGCCGGCCGCCCGGCUGUCCACUCGUCCAGGUCCAGUAGGUGGCGGCGUGGCGCGGCUGUCGCGGUGCCGCUGCGCGGCAGCGCAGGCCUGCGAGCAACGGCGCAGCGGCGCUCCGCCCUCCCCCUCCCCGCCGCCGAGCUCCGCCCUUGGCCCGCCCCACCGGGCACCGGGUGCCGUCGGUGGCGGCAGCGUCUAGGGCUAGGGUUGAAGGCUUGAAGCAGCACCUGGCCUGGAUGUGGCGUGCGCGUGCUGUGCCUGUGUGCCUGUGUGGCCUACUGGCCUGGCCUGUGCGUGCAAUGGGAGGAUGGGAGUCCGAGUGGUGAGUGGGCCGAGUGGUGAGUUGGGCUAGGAAAGGGAACGUGGCUCUCGGUGGGGUUUUUUGUUUUGUUUCAAUGUGUUAGCUUCUUUAUUUUUGUUUUUUCAUACAUAUACCUAGAAUACACUAUAUAUAUAUGAAUUUUUUUGCAAAAAUAAUAGGUAUUCAACUGAAUACCAUGGAAUACAAGUGGGCCCGCCCCUGGGGGGCUUCAGCUUCACGUGACGCUGGAGGAGCAUAUCGGUGAGGAAGAAGCGUGCUGGCCUAGGUUUGCGGGUAAGGACGGGAGGAGACAGAUAGGGAGAGCAGCGGAUAUAUAGAAACUAGAAAGGAAAAGGAACGGUCCGGAAGGAAAAAAAAAAAGAAAAUUGUGAUAAAAAUAAAAUGAAAGGGAAGUUAGAAAGGAAAAGGAACGGUCCGGAAGGAAAAAAAGAAAAUUAUGAUAAAAAUAAAAUGAAAGGGAUGUUUGGUUAAGGUAUAAAAUUUAUUGAUUUUUUAUAUGAAAUCACGUUUUAAAUGGAUGGAAAAUAUAACACUCAUAUGCACAUCCGAAUUAAAUAGCUAUGUGCAUAUUGGACAUUUAACCUCCUAGUCGAUUUAGAAAAGCCGUUUUGCCAAACAUCCUCCAAAACGGCUUCGACUUCAACAGAGAAGCUACUUUAUCAGAGGAGCCGUAGCUGAAGCUGUUUUAGCCACGUCCGGAGCCCUGCCAAACGAGCUCUAACAUAUACGAGCACGAAACUUCAUACCUAUUGGGUGUUGGUUUUAGCUACUCCCAGGAAUAUAUAUAGGCCAUGGAAGCUGGAGGCCAAGAUGCGCCCUCACUCAGUACACACAUCAACACUACUACACAUAUAGUCCAAGACAAUGAGUCUAGUGGUGAGGAAGUCCUCACCCGUGGUAAUCAGGCCAUCGCCGGAGCCGGCAACCACGAGGGCGGUCACCAUAAAGCUCUCGUCUUUGGACAAGAGUCUGUACAAGGAGCCAACCACGUCUCUGCUCGUGUUCGAGGCUCCUCUCCACAACGCUGCCGAGACCAUCCGGGCUGCACUGUCCCGAGCAUUGGUCCACUAUUACCCUAUCGCCGGUCGCAUCGUCGCCGGAGCCGGCGACGAUGACGACGAUGUCCACAUCGAGUGCAACGAUGAGGGUGUGGUAUUCGUCGCCGCGUCCGCAAGCUACGCCCUGAAGGAAGUCCUGUGCUUCGACCGGUCACCGGGCGCGAGGAAGCUCCUCGACGAGCUUGCCGUCUACUACCCAGCCAUGACCUGUGGCCAUGGUGACCCUUUGCUGCAGAUGCAGGUGACCGAGUUCCCGUGCGGUGCCUUCGUCCUCGGCGUGCGCGGCGGGCUUUCUGUGCAAUGGGAAGGGUGGGGUCAGUGUGUGCUCGGCCUUGGUCAGGGAGGAGCAUGCUAACGCUUUCCUUGCCGAGUUAGCCCAGUUUUUGUGAGAUGUAACUUUCUGCCGUGUCUUUUAAGCUUCUAGUGUUUGUUUGGAUGCUUAUAUGUUUUCCUUAUCUUUUAAUUUAUUUACCGGAGCUGCGCUUUACUGAGAUGUUUGGAUUUUGAAAAAAAUGUGGAUUUCAACAUUUUUGUGUUGUGAGGUGAAAUUUGCCAAACCAUAAGAGUGUCUUCAGUGAAUCUCUCCCAAGACUCUUAGAAUUAACUUAUAGACUAAAAUGAAAUGCUAAGGUGUUAUAUGUGCAAGUGUGAAUAUUAAGAGUGUCUUGGAUUGUUGCGUGGGAUUUGUAUUUGAAUUGGAAUUACAAACCAUUAACUUUUACACCCCAACGGUUGCAACAUACCAAAUCAUCCGUACAACAUUCCAUCCUAGUUUCCAGUAAAAAAAAUCCGGGAUUGAAAUUACCUGGACAGAGGAAGCGGCCUCAAGCUCACUGCUUUCUGACUGAUUUCUGCUCCAUGAGCUCUCAGGGCCCUAUAUUCGUGCACCGCCGACGCAGCUCACUGCUUUCUGCGAUCCGUGAGCUGCUGGGGUGCGAGCAGCUAGAGUCACGGAUCUGCGCUCCGCAAGCCGUUGGGAGUCCUCGCUCGGGAAGAACAGAUUAGAGAUGCAAUCGAGAUGAGACGCACGUGAGAGAGGAAUAUAUAAGCAGGGAAGCAAGGGAGCAGUGGAGUGGAUACAAACAAUACGGUUCGGACGGUGGGCUAGAAGCAUUUCCGUUUAUUUAUAUAUAUAUAUAUAUAUGCCUCGUUAUUUGAAUUUUAUGCAAGCUUGUUGUGGUGAAUUACUGUAGCCCCAUCUCCAUGUGACCUCCAAUUUAAUAUUUUUAUUUCACGAAUUUUAUGAUAUUUGGUGAACUAUUUCCGUUGGUUAAGUUCUUUUUUGGGGGAACCUAUCCAUUUGGAUUGGAGACAUCUAAGCUACUCAGCACAACACGCAUGCUCGCAUUUUUCUAGGAAUUAAGGAUACUAUUUUUUUCAUAAUUAGACGACGUGCACAUAAAAAAUGAAUAAGGCGCCUGUGGUGACUGUCAAUCACAACAUUAUUUGCUGGUCCAGUCUCCUAGUGGUGUUUGCCUAGUAGGGUGUGCGCAUAUAUUGAUACGGUGAUCAGUAUCGUGCGUCUAUGUGGCCUCCUAUGCUCGUGUUUAAAUUUUUGAGGUAUUUUGAUGUAGAUCGAAGCAUUCAUAUUAUCUUCCUCAUUCAUCCAAUCUUCCUUCCCUUCUCAUAUAUAGGAUUAACUCUGAUUCAGAACAGAUUGAUUGAAUAUCAUUUGGGGUGAAAUUCCCUUUUAGGGCUAGUUUUGUCACACUCCAAAAUUUCAAUUUUGGAUUGCGAAUAGAAAACAUAAAUAAACUAAAUGAUUUUGUGUUUUCCUCAAAUUUUCCAACCUUUAAGUGGUUUGUUGUUCAUUUAAAUAGAGAAUAUGAUUUUUUAAAAAAAACAGUUAAUCAAAUUGAUAUGGGAUGUUGCAUCCAUGCUGACUGCAUAAUAUUUUUGAUGAAAAAUGAAUUAUAAAUUAUUUUAAAUACGAUUAGGUUUUCAGUCCGUCAAAAUAUUAGUUGUAAGUCCUAAAUCAUUUCUUUAACCUCUUGUAGCGCCACUCCUUUGAGUUCUUGUUUAAUCCAUCUAUUUAUUUAUUUAUUUAUUCCCUGCCUUUAUCCCUCAUUUAAUUUCUUUAGUUUUUCUGUACCUUUCUAUCUCCUUUGUUUUCUGGUUGAGCUCACCUUUUAUUCUCUUUUUUCCUGGCCGAUCCAAGUUUAAUUUUGUACCCUUUUUCCUAUAGUAUCACGCAAUGUUGAUUCUGCGCGCGACGCGAUAGCCCAGCGAUCGACGCAUCCUCGUUUCGUUUUCACGUGUGCGGGCCCACGGAAAGUUGACUCUCUCCCACGUUCUCUCUCCUUUCCUUUUCACGUGUGCGGGCCCACGGAAAGUUGACUCUCUCCCACGUUCUCUCACCGCGGUGCAUGCAACUCUGACUCUACAUGCACAUUAUUUUUUUUAUUAUUUUUUUUGUGAAGAAAACAGGCCAUCAUUGGAUGCGCAUGGUGAUGAAUGGUGAUUUUGUUUUUGGCCAUCCCGGAAAGCGACAGGGUCAGGGUCAGCACGCGGUGCGCGUGCAUGAUGCGUUCCCGUCUCCUCGUGACAAUCAUGAUUACACUGAGUGAAGCGCAGUACAGAGUAGGUGGGAUGCUGCAACCGUUGGCCUAUAAAAUAUGCUGUCGCCGACAAAGAAGUGAACCAAGGAUUCAUGGAUCUCAGCGCCGUUUGCCUCGAUACCCAGCACCGUUUCCUCGUUCCCACGAACGUCGCGUUAAUUUUGCAUCAAGGCAUGCAGGAGAGGGUCCUCGCCGCGCACAAAUUUGCAACCGCCAAACUUGCUAAACUUGCUGAUCUGGAUCCACCCAACUAAAUUUAGUUGGCUAAAAUAAUUAAAAUUUGAUGCCUCUUUUCUAGCUAGCUAAAGAUCAUCUAGCUAAAUUUUAGCCGGAGGUGUUUGGAUCCACCAGCUAAAGGAGUUAUUUAUCUAUCUUACUCCUCCCACCACCUCUCACCUAUCUUCUCUCUCCCUUGUCCUCUCCUCUUCCACGCCUCCACCAGCAUCUCUUCCAGCUCGCUGGUGGAUGGGAGGCACAGGGAGGGGCGGCGUAGCUCGUCGGCGGAGGAAGGAAGGAAGGGGGGCAGCACAGCUCGUCGACGGAGGAAGGAAGGGAGGGGGCGGCGUAGCUCGUCAGCGGAUGGGAGGCACAGGGAGGGGCGACGUAGCUUGUCAGGAAGGGGGAGGAAGGGGAGGAGCAGUGCAGCUCGCUGACGGAGGAAGGAAGGGGAGGGCGGCGACAGACCGUCGGUGGGGGCGACGGACUGGCGCCCGAGGACCGGCGGUGGUGGUGACGGACCGGCGUGCAGGGAACGAGGGGUGUAGGGGCGUGGGAGGGGAUCGAUGGAGGAUUUAACGAGAGGGGAAUUUUGGUCUUUACUGCUUUAGCUGGGUUCAACCAGCUAAAGCAAUCUUUAGCCAGCUAAAGUUUAGCUGGUGAGUUAGAUGGCUUAAAUCAGUCUCAAUAGAAGGUUUCAUACGAGUUUCAUGAGCAUUAAAUUCUAUGCCACAACAACAAUUUUAUUGACUUGACAAGGUCACCAUGAAGAGAGAGGAGACGGUGUUUCAUAAGAUGAGAGAGGAGUUUCAUGCUCAUAACGGUCACCGGGUACAAUUAUCAAGUUCCCAAUCUUAAUAACUGUGCAAUGAAAUUGCGCAACAAAACUGGCCUUAAAUUCCUCCAUAAAACCCUUGUGACUCGUUAAUGUGCGUUAUUAUAUAAAUGUAAGGACUUAUGAGUUUCAAAAUUGAUCAGCACAAAUGUGUAAUGACUCCUGGCCUAGUCCAGCAGCAUAGAUGGGAUUUAAUGUUGUCAUUUCUGGCAACGGUUCCAUGGAUAGGCAGGAUAUCUGGCUAAAGGAGUACUACAUUCAGCUCAUUCCAUCCUAAAAUUAUAUAAGUUCUCACAUGGGACUAUAUAGGAGUCGUAUGUUUUAAAUAUAUGACUAUUCGUUUGACUAUUCAUUGUUUCUAUAAAUAUUUAUGCAAAUAGUUAAGUCUAAAGUACUUCUGAUAACUAAUAGACGUAGUGAUACUUAUUUUACUUUAUUGAAAUUAUUAAUAACUAGAUAUUGUUUGUUAAAGUAGGAGGGAAAAAUUAAAUGUGCCGUAUAUUAGGAACGAAGCAAAUGAAAUUAGUUUUCCUAGUAGUUGGCUUGUUGUAAUAUGUAGUGACAAAAUAAACUUAAUUUAGAGUUGCCAGCAAGUAGGUAGGGCCUGUCCCUCUCUCUAUCUAUAUAUAUUCUCACGCACUCGGAGCUAUGGAACGCAAGCCUACACUAAAGCAAGUUACAUUCUAGAAGCUGGGUAUGCCAAUGGUGCUUAGGGCUAACUGUUAUUAGCCAUGGGCAGCACUGGGUAUGCCAAUGGUGCCGGCGUCGUCGUCGACGACGACGACGCGACUUGCCUGCACGCACAAACGCUGGUGUACGCCUACAACGUCACCAUGGCCGUCCACGCGGCAGUGAAGCUCGGCCUCAUCGACGCGCUCGGCGCGGCCGACGGCCGUGCCCUGACCGCCGACGAGCUCGCCGCGAAGGUUGUCAAGGCGGAGGACAAGGCCGAGUCGGCCGCCUUGAUCGGCCGCAUCCUCAGGUUCCUCGCGUCCUUCGACGUCGUGAGGUGCUCUGCCGAGAAAGGUCCCGACGGUGCCGUCCUCUGGCGGUACUCGCCGGCGCCGGCGUGCCGGUGGCUCACCAUGAACAACGGCGAGGGCUCGCUUGGCCCCAUGGCCGUGUUCGACGUCGACGAGGACAUCUUCUCGUCCUGGUAUGAAUGUUCUAAUUUUAUACUAUUACAUGACUACAAACUACAAAGUAUGCCUUUGUCAAUAAAACUUAUAUAUUAUUGGUACAUAUAACAUGCAUGAAGGCAUCACAUAGCGGACGCAGUGGCCGGCGGCGGCAAGAAGACGCCGUUCCAGAUAGCCCACGGGGGGACGCCGUUGUACGACUACUUCGGGAAGAACCCGCGUCUGAGCACGCUCUUCGACCAGGCCAUGGCUCAUCACUCAUUGCUGGUGAUCAGGAAGCUGCUCGAGCACCCGAAGGUGUUCGACGGCGUUGGGGUGAUCGUGGACGUUGGUGGGGGCACCGGAGCAACCCUAGCGUUGAUCAGGGGCCGGUACAAGCACAUCAAGGGCAUCAACAUGGAUCUUGCUCAUGUCAUCUCUGAGGCUCCGUCUCUUGAAGGUAUAGCUCCAGUUCAGAAAUUGUGGCAAGAGUACGUGGGGUUGUGUGUAUGUGCUUAGUGUUUCUUUUUUCUUUUUUCUUAUCUGACAGGAGUGGAGCAUGUGGCUGGGGAUAUGUUUGAAAGCGUACCCUCUGGAGACGCAGUUUUGAUGAAGGUAUGUUGAACACUGUUAGAUUUCAUGAAGUUUCCCCAGGGUUUUUAGACUACAGUAUGGAAUGUUUUUUAGACUACAAGCUAAACAGAUCACCAGGAUUUAUUACACCUGAUUAGUGCAUGCGAUUGUGCAGUGGAUGCUCAACAUGCAGAGCGACGAGGAGUGCAUGAUGAUCUUGAAGAACUGCUACAAAGCUCUCCCGGAUAACGGGAAGGUGAUCGUCAUUCAGAGCGUCCUGCCGGAGACCCCGGAGUCGACUCCGGCUUCCCGGGACUCGUUCACCAUGGAUAUGAUCAUUCUUGUAAACUUUAAGGGAGGGAAGGAGAGGACGGAGCAGGCGUACGCCAAGCUUGGCAGGGAUGCUGGAUUUACUGGUGGCUUCCAGUCGACCUACAUCUUCUGCAACAUUUACGCUCUUGAGUUUACCAAGUAGGGACAUGCACUACGUUUUUACCAGUUGUUGUGUUGAACAAGAGCUCGUGAGCUUUCCAAUAAACCAUGCGUCUUCUUGGUGAUAAUGCCAUUGAGGGCUUCAUGAGUACGAUUUGUACCUCCUUUAAUUUCUGUAUUCGCACUGUUGAAUAACCUGUUGAAUAAAGUAAAGAGAGUCCUCCCUGAAGAUCCGACUGUACAUUUUGGUUGAUCCUUUUUAUUACAUUGCAUGCCAUGUAUAUCUCACUAUCAUGGCUUAUGAACUCAAAGUAAAUUUACUCACACUCUACAAAUUCCACUAAUAUCUGUAAUACAAAUUUGUGAUCAUCAUUUCUAGAAUGUCGUACAAAGAUAACAAAAAUAACAACACAAUUCAGGCAAUCAAAGAUAGCAUCGAGAAAAGAAGAAAGAAAAGAAUAUGAUGAAUCCAUUGUAUACUCCAACGGGUCACUAGACCAAAAAUGGGUCCGUACUCCGUACAACUGGUUAGAAAAAGAAGUUUACGAACGGGUUUCAUGGAGUCUGUACAAAAUCUGUAUCUGUAUGUGUGUGUAUGUACUUUAAAAAACUACAAAUAGGUAUAAGAGACACAAACUCUAUAUACUCCGCAUAAACAUUACCCAUGGAAACUCUGCAUAGACACAUUAGCAUACGCGCUACUCCGAUGCCUUCAUUUCAAAUUUUAGGUCGUUUUAGGUUUUCUAAGUUUAUAAAAUUUGCUAUGAAUUUAGCAUGGGUACAUCUAAAUACUUAGCAAGUACUAUAAAUUUUAAAAUAUUAAAAUAAUCUAUAAUUUGGGAUGGAGAAAAUAGCUGCGAAAUUUGGUCAAGCCCACCUUGCUAGGUAGAAUAAAUAAGCUGUACCCCAUCCAUUUGGUAUUAUUUGAUGUUUCCAACAGCUCAAGGUAGCUAAUCUCAAAUUGACAAGUCCAGUUUGCAACAAGGACGCGACCCUUCGCCUAUAGCUUCCUUACCAUCUCACCUACAUAGCACAUCUGACUAAGUAGAGGAUACAAUCAUUUUAUAGUAACUCGUAGGGGAUCCUUUAGUCCCGGUUGGUAACACAUCUGACUAAGUAGGGUUGCGUGUGUGUUCAUUUGGGCGAGUGUGCGUGUGUGUUUGUGAGCGUUUGCGUCUGUACUGUGUGAUUCGAAAAGAAAAUACCAAAAGGAAUAAAGUCUACAUCACCAAAUAUAAACAAAGUCGCCAAUAAAGUCGCAAAUUAGGGGGUUAUUUUAAAUAUUAUUUAUAAUGGCAUAAGUGGGUAAUUUUGAUGAAGAUUAGGGGGUUACUUUAGUUUAUUUUAUAUAAUGGCAGAGGUGGGUAAUUUAUAUAUAGAUUUAGGGGGUUACUUUAGGCUAUUUUCAUAAUGGUAUAGGUUGGUAAUUUUUUAGAAAAUAUAAUAGAUCCAAUGACUAUGAUGAUUUGAAUCUAUCGAUUGAUGGUCGGAUGUUUUGCUUUUCAGUGAGAAUUUCUGGGAUUUCUCUUUUUUACUACAUUGUUCACUUAGGAAUCCUAGGUGGCUUCAUCUGGAGGCUUCAAAAAGAGCCUUCAAUUAGUAAUAGUAAGAUUGCAAUAUCAAACCACAUAGUUACAAACCAUUAAUUUUGACACCCCAACGGUUGCAACAUACCAAAUCAUUCGUACAACAUUCCAUCCUAGUUUCCAGUAAAAAAAUCUUUGCUAUAGAUUGAAAUACCUGGACAGAAGGUCUCAAGCCGAUGGCAUUGCCUCUUGAUUUCUCUUACCUCCACACGCAGGCGUCAUUGCAGCUCCUUGCCUUUGUUCGCCAUCGGCGAGGCGUCUUAUCCCCUUCACUAGCUCUCAGGGCCCUAUAUUCGUGCACCGCCGACGCAGCUCACUGCUUUCUGCUCCGUGAGCUGCUGGGGUGCGAGCUGCUAGAGUCACGGAUCCUUCUAUUCUCUUUUUCCUGGCCGAUCCAAGUUUAAUUUUCUACCCUUUUUCCUAUAAGUACCACGCAAUGUUGAUUCUGCGCGCGACGCGAUAGCCCAGCGAUCGACGCAUCCUCCUUUCCUUUUCACGUGUGCGCGCCGGCACUACGGGAAAGCUAAAAAUUGCCGAGUGUAUUUUUUUUGCCGAGUGUUUUUUUCGAGCACUCGGCAAACAAGCUCUUUGCCGAUCGCAAAGAAUUUUUUUUUAUUUUUAAAAAAAUCUUUGCCGAGUGUCCAGAUCAGGACACUCGGCAAAUCCCGCAAAAAAUAUCUACCAGCCCGUCCCGGCCCCCUACCCCAGCACCCUACUCCCCACCCGCCCGACGCGCCCCUGGCCUCCUUCAUUCUUCCGCACAACACUACCGGCGCGCCCCCGCCCGAGUGCCCGACGCCCCCCCCCUCCCCCACCUUCCUCUCCCGCCGCCGGCUAGCCACCGCCGCCGCCGCCGCCACCCCUUCCCUCCCUCCCUCCCUCUCCCUCUCCCUCUCCUACCGGCGCCCCUUCCCCUCCUCUCCCCUCCUCCCUCCCUCGCGUGGCCGCCCCGCCCCUCUCCCCAGAUCCGGCCGGAUCCGGCGGGGAAUCCGCCCCUCCUCCCCGGAUUCGGCGGGGACUCGCGUCGGGGACCCCAUAUCCGGCGGGCGUGGAUGGUGGUGGUGGCGGGCGUGGAUGGUGGUGGCGGCGGGCGUGGAUGGUGGCCGCCGCCGGCGGCGUGCUGGUGGUGCGGCCGACGGUGUCGGCGUGCCUUUUUUUUUACUUUUUUUCCAAAAAAUGGUUUGCCGAGUGUUUUCUGGGCACUCGGCGAAAACUGUGCCGAGUGCCCAACCGAAAACACUCGGCGAAUGUUACUUUGCCGACUAAAAGUUUGCCGAGUGCCAGAUGCCGAGUGUAACACUUGGCGAAUUUGUUGCCGAGAGUAUUUCAGGUUUCGCCGAGUGCCCCUGGCACUCGGCAUAAAACUUGUGUCCGGUACUGAGGCUCACGGAAAGUUGACUCUCUCCCACUUUCUCUCACCGCGGUGCGUGCAAUUCUGACUCUCACCACGUCGUCUCAAUGAGGUCGUUACAUGUACAUUAUUUUCAUUAUUAUUUUUUUUUGUGAAAGAAAACAGGCCAUCAUUGCAUGCGCAUGGUGAUGAAUGGUGAUUUUGUUUUUGGCCAUCCCGGAAAGCGACAGGAUCAGCACUCGGUGCGCGUGCAUGAUGCGUUCCCGUCUCCUCGUGACAAUCGUGACUACGAGUCUACGACACGGCCGGCCUGCCGGAGUUAUAGGGCACCUAAUUUUUCUGUACUUUUUUUUCUCUUAAAAUCUUCAGUUGUUGCAGAAGAACUGAACAGACGAUGAAUGAUUACACUGUGAAGCGCAGUACAUUAGGUAGGAUGGUGUCACUGUUGGCCUAUAAAAUAUGCUGUCGCUGAAAAAGAAGUGAACCAAGGAUUCAUGGAUCUCAGCGCCGUUUGCCUCGAUACCCAGCGCCGUUUCCUCGUUCCCACGAAUUUUGCAUGAAGGCACAUAGGAGAGGGAUGCAUGGUUUCCUCGUUGGUAACAGAACCGCGUCAAGUCUUUUCCUCCCAACCGACGUACUAAUUCCAUCCAACUAAACUUUAGUUGGGUAAAAUUUGAUGUCUCUUUUUUAAGCUAGCUAAAGAUAAUCUAGCUAAAGUUUAGUUGGAGGUGUUUGGAUCCACCAGCUAAAUGAGUUAUUUAUCUAUCUUGCCCCUCCCACCACCUCUCACCAGCAUCUCUUCCAACUCGCUGGCAGAUGGGAGGCACAGGGAGGGGUGGCGUAGCUUGCUAGCGGGGGAGGAUCAGUGCAGCUCACCGGUGGAGGAAGAAAGGGAGAGGGCGGCACAGCUCGCCAGUGGAGGAAGGAAGGGAGGGGGCAGCGUAGCUCGCCAGUAGAUGGGAGGCACAACGAGGGGCAACGUAGCUCGUCGGCAGGGGGAGGAAGGGGAGGAGCAGUGCGGACCGUCGACGGGAGCGACGGACUGGCGCGCGAGGAUCGGUAGUGGUGGCAACGGACCAGCGUGCGGGGAACGAGGAGCGCGGGGGCGUGGGAGGGGAUCGAGGGGGGGAUUUAACGAGGAGGGGUAUUUUGGUGUUUACUGCUUUAGCUGGUUUUAGCUAGGUUCAACCAACUAAAGAAAUCUUUAGCCAGCUAAAGUUUAGCUAGGCCCUGUUGGAUCCAAACAGGGUCUUAGUUAGAUGGCUUAGAUCAUUCUCAAUAGGAGGUUUUAUACGAGUUUCAUGAGCAUUAAAUUCUAUACCACAUCAACAAUUUUGUUGACUUGAUAAGGUCACCAUGAAGAGAGAAAGGAGGCAGUGUUUCAUUAGAUGAGAGAGGAGUUUCAUGCCCAUAACGGUCACCGGGUACAAUUACCAAGUUUCCAAUCUUGAUAACUGUGCAAUAAAACUGCGCACUGAGACUGGCCUUAAAUUCCUCCCUAAAACUCUCGUGACUCAAAACCCUCGUCACUCGUUAAUGUGCGUUAUUAUAUAAAUGUAAAGGACUUAUGAGUUUCAAAAUUGAUCAGCACAAAUGUGUAACGACUCCUGGCCUAGUCCAGCAGUAUAGAUGGGAUUUAAUGCUGUCAUUUCUGGCAACGGUUCCAUGGAUAGGCAGGAUAUCUGGCUAAAGGAGUAUUACAUUCAGCUCAUUCCAUCCUUAAAUUAUAUAUGUUGUUCUCACACAGGACUCUAUAGGAGUCGUAUGUUUUAAAUAUAUGACUAUUCAUUAUUUCUAUAAAUAUUUAUGCAAAUAGAUAAAUGUACAAGUUAAGUCUAAAUUACUUCUUAUAACUACUUAUUUUACUUUAUUAAAAUUAUUAAUAACUAGAUAUUGUUUGUUAAAGUAGGAGGGAAAAAUUAAAUGUGCCGUAUAUUAGGAACGAAGCAAAUGAAAUUAGUUUUCCUUGUAGUUGGCUUGUUGUAAUGUGUAGUGACAAAAUAAACAUAAUUUAGAGUUGCCAGCAAGUAGGUAGGGCCUGUCCCUCUCUCUAUCUCUAUAUAUUCACGCACUCGGAGCUAUGGAACGCAAGCCUACACUAAAGCAAGUUACAUUCUAGAAGAAGAGGCAAGCUUAGGGCUAACUGUUAUCAGCCAUGGGCAGCACUGGGUAUGCCAAUGGUGCCGGCGGCGUCGUCGACGACGACGACGCGACUUGCCUGCACGCACAAACGCUGGUGUACGCCUACAACGUCACCAUGGCCGUCCACGCGGCAGUCAAGCUCGGCCUCAUCGACGCGCUCGGCGCGGCCGACGGCCGUGCCCUGACCGCCGACGAGCUCGCCGCGAAGGUUGUCAAGGCGGAGGACAAGGCCGAGUCGGCCGCCUUGAUCGGCCGCAUCCUCAGGUUCCUCGCGUCCUUCGACGUCGUGAGGUGCUCUGCCGAGAAAGGUCCCGACGGUGCCGUCCUCUGGCGGUACUCGCCGGCGCCGGCGUGCCGGUGGCUCACCAUGAACAACGGCGAGGGCUCGCUUGGCCCCAUGGCCGUGUUCGACGUCGACGAGGACAACUUCUCGUCCUGGUAUGAAUGUUCUAAUUUUAUACUAUUACAUGACUACAAAGUAUAUAUGCCCUUGUCAAUAAAACUUAUAUAUUGUUACAUAUACUAUGCAUGAAGGCAUCACAUAGCGGACGCAGUGGCCGGCGGCGGCAAGCAGACGCCGUUCCAGAUAGCCCACGGGGGGACGCCGGCGUACGACUACUUCGGGAAGAACCCUCGUCUGAGCACGCUCUUCGACCAGGCCAUGGCUCAUCAGUCAUUGCUGGUGAUCAGGAAGCUGCUCGAGCACCCGAAGGUGUUCGACGGCGUUGGGGUGAUCGUGGACGUUGGAGGGGGCACCGGAGCAACCCUAGCGUUGAUCAGGGGCCGGUACAAGCACAUCAAGGGCAUCAACAUGGAUCUCGCUCAUGUCAUCUCUGAGGCUCCGUCUCUUGAAGGUAUAGCUCCAGUUCAGAAAUUGUGGCAAGAGUACGUGGGGUUGUGUAUGUGCUUAGUGUUUCUUUUUUCUUUUUUUUUCCUUGUCUGACAGGAGUCGAGCAUGUGGCUGGCGAUAUGUUUGAAAGCGUACCCUCUGGAGACGCAGUUUUGAUGAAGGUAUGUUGAACACUGUUAGAUUUCAUAAAGUUUCUCCAGGUUUUUUAGACUACAGUAUGGAAUGUUUUUUAGACUACAAGCUAAACAGAUCACCAGGAUUGUAUUACACCUGAUUAGUGCAUGCGAUUGUGCAGUGGAUGCUCCACAUGCAGAGCGACGAGGAGUGCAUGAUGAUCUUGAAGAACUGCCACAAAGCUCUCCCGGCUAACGGGAAGGUGAUCGUCAUUCAGAGCGUCCUGCCGGAGACCCCGGAGUCGACUCCGGCUUCCCGGGACUCGUUCACCAUGGAUAUGAUCAUUCUUGUAAACUUUAAGGGAGGGAAGGAGAGGACGGAGCAGGAGUACGCCAAGCUUGGCAGGGAUGCUGGAUUUACUGGUGGCUUCCAGUCGACCUACAUCUUCUGCAACAUUUACGCUCUUGAGUUUACCAAGUAGUAGGGACAUGCACUACGUUUUUACCAGUUGUUGUGUUGAACAAGAGCUCGUGAGCUUUCCAAUAAACCAUGCGUCUUCUUGGUGAUAAUGCCAUUGAGGGCUUCAUGAGUACGAUUUCUGUAUUCGCACUGUCGAAUAACAUGUCAUUCCACCUGUUGAAUAAAGUUAAGAGAGUCCUCCCUGAAGAUCCGACCGUACAUUUUGGUUGAUCUUUUUUAUUACAUUACAUGCCAUGUAUAUCUCACUAUCAUGGCUUAUGAACUGCAAGUAAAUUUACUCACACUCUACAAAUGCCACUAAUAUCUGUAAUACAAAUUUGUGAUCAUCAUUUCUGGAAUGUCGUACAAGGAUAACCAAAAAUAACAACACAAUUCAGGCAAUCAAAGAUAGCAUCGAGAAAAGAAGAAAGAAAAGAAUAUGAUGAAUCCAUUGCAUCAUCCAACGGGUCACUACACCAAAAAUGGGUCCGUACUCCGUACAACUGGUUAGAAAACGAAGUUUGCGAACGGCUUUCAUGGAGUCUGUACAAAACCUGUAUCUGUAUGUGUGUAUAUGUUCUUUAAAAAACUACAAAUAGGUAUGAGAGACACAAACUCUAUAUACUUCGCAUAAACAUUACCCAUGGAAACUCUGUGUAGACACAUUAGCAUACGCACUACUCUAAUACCUUCAUUUCAAAUUUUAGAUCGUUUUAGGUUUUUCUAAGUUUAUAAAAUUUGCUAUGAACCUAGCGUAGGAUACAUAUAAAUACAUAGCAAAUACUAUAAAUCUAAAAAUGUUAAAAUAAUCUAUAAUGUGGAAUGGAGGAAGUAGCUUCGAAAUUUGAUCAAGCCCACCUUACUAGGUAGAAUAAAUAAGCUGUACCCCAUCCAUUUGGUAUUAUUUGAUGUUUCCAACAGCUCAACGUAGCUAAUCUCAAAUUGACAAGUCCAGUUUGCAACAAGGAGCGGAGGUAGUACUACUACGGAUGGAAAAAAUAAAGAAAAAGGCCCUGGGAUUCCACACCAGCUCCAUAACGUGAGUUCUCGAUAAUAUUUGCAGCAGUAGUUGCAGUGCAGUUCGUUGCGCUGUGAACUGAGUGGUCGGUGUACGUUCAGUCCCAUCCGGCGACACCUGCACCCCGGUGCAGUGCUCGGCGCAGCGUAUGGGAGCAGGAGCUGCCCAUGUGCACGGCUCAACACCGUUUAAUACUUAAAAAGGAAAGAAAGGGUGUAUUCUGCUUGACAUUGGCACCGGUCAAAGCCCAUUGCAACUGCCGACACGCGAUUAAAUUCAGAUCCAGAUCCAGCCAUUCACUAAUAAUUAAACUAAACCCACGCGGUCCGCGAGGUGCAGCGUCCACAGCACUUCCCGCCAACAGCUCAACGUAGUUAAUCUCAAAUUGACAAGUCCAGUUUACAGCGAGGACACGAACUCAAACUUCUAGUUUUUCUUACCAUCUCACCUACCAGCACAUAUAAUUAAGAGAGUGUUUGGAUACUAGGUGCUAAACUUUAGCAAUGUCACAUCGGAUGUUCGGAUGCUAAUUAAGAGAACUAAACGUGAGCUAAUUAUAAAACUAAUUGCAGAAUCAUGUGCUAAUUCACGAGACGAAUCUAUUCAGCUUAAUUAAUCCAUCAUUAGCAAAUGAUUAAUGUAGCAUCACAUUGUCAAAUCAUGAACUAAUUAGGCUUAAUAGAUUCAUCUCGCGAAUUAGACUCCAUCUGUGCAAUUAGUUUUGUAAUUAGCCUAUGUUUAAUACUCCUAUUUAGCAUCCAAACAUCCGAUGUGACAGAUGCUAAACUUUAGUGGGGUGUAUCCAAACACCCCCUAAGUAGAUGAUACAAUCCUUUUAUGGUAACUCGUGAGGAUCCUUUAGUUUCGGUUGGUAACACAUCUGACUAAGUAGGGUUGCAUGCGUGUGUUCGUAGGAGCGAGUGUGCAUGCGUGUUUGUGAGCGUUUGCGUCUGUGUGAUUUGAAAAAAAUACCAAAAAAAUAAAGUCUACAUCACCAAAUAUAAACAAAGUCGCCAAUUUUAUGACGAAGGCCAUAUAUGGUACAAUACAGGGAGAAUAAAAAGGCUGCAUCAUGUUAUCCUUCAACACAGAGUCCUUCAACACAGUCUCAAUGCACUUUAAUUGUUUCGGUACAAUAUAAGAAAUAUGGUCCACCGUCACUUUUGAUUUUGGAAUUAUUCAUUAAAAUCGGCGACUUUUUCAACAGCUCAUUAACAUAGCUAAUCGCAAGUCCAUUUUAGGGUUGUUUGGAUACACCUCGCUAAACUUUAGCACCUGUCACAUCGGAUGUUUGGAUGCUAAUUAGGAGUAUUAAACAUAGACUAAUUACAAAACUAAUUACACAUAUGGAGGCUAAUUCGCAAGACAAAUCUAUAAAGCCUAAUUAGUUCAUGAUUUGACAAUGUGAUGCUACAUUAACCAUUUGCUAAUGAUGGAUUAAUUAAGCUGAAUGGAUUCGUCUCGUGAACUUUUAGUUCCAGUUGGUAACACAUCUGACUAAGUAGGGUUGCGUGCGUGUGUUCAUAGGGGCGAGUAUGCGUGCGUGUUUGUGAACGUUUGCGUCUGUAAUGUGUGAUUCGAAAAAAAUACCAAAAGAAUAAAGUCUACAUCACCAAAUAUAAACAAAGUCGCCAAUUUUAUGACGAAGGCCAUAUAUGGUACAAUACAGGGAGAAUAAAAAGGCUGCGUCAUGUUAUCCUUCGACACAGAGUCUCAAUGCACUUUAAUUCUUACGGUACAAUAUAAGAAAUAUUGUCCACCGUCACUUUUGAUUUUGGAAUUAUUCAUUAAAAUCGGCGACUUUUUCAACAGCUCAUUACCAUAGUGUAAACAGCUCAUUAACAUAGCUAACACUAGUAGAGAAUUGGCCUUUAGUCCCGGUUGGUAGGGUGCAUAUCUCUCGGAUAUCCAUCCGGGAUAAACCAACCGGGACAAAAGGGGGGGUCUUUAGUCCCGGAUCUUUUAACCGGGAGUAAAGGUCCCCCUUUAGUCCCGGUUGGUGACACCAACCGGGACUAAAGGGCCUGCCACGUCAGGCGCGGGACAGGCCCUUUAGUCCCGGUUGGUGACACCAACCGGGACUAAAGGGGGACCCUUUAGUCCCGAUUGGAUUUCCCAACCGGGACUAAAUGGCACCUGCAUGGCACUACCGUGGCGCCUGAAUUUUUCAUGCAUGCAUCACGUAUACGUAGUACCGCGGCCCUUUUAAUUUGUUAACCUUUAGUAGUUGAGAUUUUUUUAGAACGAAAUCAACUAGUAUUUAAACGAAUGGGAUUUGUUAUUAUACAAUUACUAUAUAUAUAUACACAAUCCUUAUACACAAUUCAUAUACACAAUUCAACUAGCUUAGUACAAAUCGAUCAUAAUUAGCACGUAUUAUAUAUACAAAUAAAUCAAAGUAUUUGUCUACAAUCUUCCCGUCGUGGUGUUGCUGAUCGGAGUGUCUAAUUGUCGUCCAUCGUAAUAAAAUUCUCCUUUUGGAUCUACCACCUCGUCCAUUAUGAAUCCAAUGAGACCUUCACAUAUUGCCGCUACUCUUUCUUCCUUCAAGAGUCCUUGUUGAAUAUUUAACAUCUAUAAUUUGGAAAUUUGUGAAUGUUACACGAACAAAUACAUAUAAGGAGCUAGAAAAUAAUUAACUAGUAAUAGUUUUAUUUUACGUACUUUAAAGUUGUGCGGCCUCAUCUUCGGUCCCUUGGGUCCCAUAAAACUGUGCAUGUGCUCACAGAUGUAGUAGCCACAUAGAUUAUUCCCAGGUUCCUGUCUUAAGCACUUCAGUGCGGAAAAAAUAAGUUAUGAAAUAUUCGUGUUAUACAAUGUAAUAAAUGUGCAGACUUCAUACGUACCGGGAAGUUUGUGUUCCAUGUAAGUUUUUCUUUGAAUGGACCUUUGUGUGUCCUUAUGAAUUGUUUCCAUGCGCUGCGGAUUAGAAUAAUGAAUGAUAUAGUGUAACAGGGAUAAAAUUUAGGAAAUAAACUUUUGCAUAGAGAUAAAGGUCCAGAAUUAUUACAAGCCUAGCAUGUCUUGCAAUUCUUGGUAGUCCACCGGAUCUUUCCUUAACGAAUCGAAGACAGUGACGUGGCUUCUUUCAGGCUCAAUUAUAAUAAGGAUCCAGUGGAAGCUGCGUGCGUAAAAUGUUUAUGCAUAUUAGAGCUAACUAACAUGUAGAGAUAAGGAAAAAGACAUCGAAAGUAGACGGUAUACACACACAUACUUGAAGUUGUAUGGAAGUAGUAUGAAAUCCUUGAAUGUUUGUUUAUCUAGGAAAUUGUAUAUUUCCGCAAAGGUUUUUUCCGGCGCUAAUUGUAUCUGUUGUUGGUUAACUACAGAUGGAUCCAUGAAGCCUACAUGUAGGUACGCCUCUCGGCGGCAUGUCUGAAUUAGCAUCCUACAUGAAAUGGAAGAUGAAGUUAGUACGGUGACGCACGCCAAAAUUUACAUGUAGAGAUAAACGGACACUUACAUAAUCCAAGCGCUGAUCAGAGAGACGUCCAGGGCAUCAUGAUGGUACACUUCGUAUAUAUCCUUGAAGUCUAGCCACAGCACUUUCUCCCCUUCACCGUGAAAAUCUAUCGGUUUUACCUUCAUGCCGAUCAUCUCCCUCGAGUCGGCGGAUGCCAUCAUGUACCAUUGAUGGAAUGCGUACAUCUUUGUUGAUAGCUUCCGUACCAAUGAAGGCUUUACUAGAGGUUUGCCUAGCUCAAAAGGCCACUUCGGCUCAGGGAGCGGUGCAGUUGGCGUCUCAACUUGCCCUAUGCAUUCAUCAAGUCCCAGACCUGUUUCUUCCAUGAACUUCAAUACAUUUGCUUGUUGAUCCAAGGGCAUUGCUUUUACCCGUUGAGCAUCUUUUUUUGAUAAAUGGCUGAGGUCGGGGACUGGACCGCUAGAAGAUGACUUUCCUUUCCUUUUAUCCUUUUCAUCAGCCUUUACUAGAGCCCGUUCAUAGUUUGACAAGAGUGGUAUCCUUUUUUUGGCUCCUUCUUCCAUCCUGAUAAAAAAGUUUAAAUCUCGCCGACUUACUGGCGGUGGCUCCAUCUCCCUUGCUUUUUUUUUCUUCGGCUUGUUUCUUGAACCACUCACUGGCCUCUCGUUGGAUUUCUGCCCACUGUUCUGCAUGAGACAUUGCCUCAAAGCGUUCCUUACGAGUCACUUCAGGCUCCUUUGUUUUCUUCUUUCUCUGUCUUUGCUUGGGAGGCGGUGCUCGUGACUUCUUUAGUGGUGGUGCAGGUUCCUUCAAGGGGGCCGCUCUUGGUGCCAGCGACGGUGAUCGGGGAGGGGUGUUGUUAUUGUCGUCGUCGCUCCCAGCACCAGGAUGUGGUGGAGAUGGAGACCUUGAUAUAGAUGGAAGGGACGGUCCUGGAGCAGGAGAUGACGGUCUCGAGGUAUGAGGAGAAGGUCACUGCUGGGGAUCUACGGGGAGCGGUCUUGAGGUCUGAGGAGAUGGCUCCGUGCCGGGAAUAAUGAUGUAGCAUUUUCCCCAUAGAAUGAUCCCAUGAAGCGCAUCUGCCAAUGUCUUUUCCCCGUCGCCUCCCGGGAAGUCGAGCUCUAGACCUUCAUACUGAGGAUCAACUAUUUGCUCCACGCAGACGCUGGCGUAGCCUGUUGGAAUUUCCAUGCCAUGACUGCUCUGCCCCGCCAGGGUUGCUAACGCACUCCCGUACGCUACCUGUACAUAUAGCAGAAGUAAACAAGUUGAACUCCGAUCUCGAGGCCUGGAUCAAUUGACAAGAUUGCAUAAAUAUUAUGUAUAAGUAUACCUUAAUAGUGAGGUUGCCGACCGGUGCAUGCAGCUCACAUGAGGUCCAUUGUGUAAUGGCAUCCACGGGGAACCGUUGCUCCUGCACGGGUAACCUGGGCAUCUGCGCAUCGGGGACCCCUGUAGAAGCACAACUGCUCAAGAGGCGUUGAGAAGGGCUGGCGGUGUUAGGAAUCGGCAAUGCUCCAGAUUGGGCCAACUACGCAACUGCGUGGGCCACCCGCCGAUUGAUUUCAUCCAUCAUUCUUUGUUCUAGCAUCUGCCGCUAGCUCUCCUCGAUCUGUUCCUUUCUUCGCUUCCGGCUUCUGUACGAGGUGCUGUCGCCUCGGAAAGCAAACUUCCACGAAACCACCCCGAAACCUCGGCAACGUCCUGGGUGCUCUGGAUUACCGAAGGCCAAUGUGAGCUCAUCAUUUUCUCGGUCCACCUUCAACCUCCCAGCCUUAGAAUCUUCAAUGUUCUUCAUAAGAUGUUCGGCCUUCUCACGUAUUGUGUCAUUAAAAAUCAACGUCCCAUCCUCUUGGCUUAGGGAGCCUCCAUGAGCGUAGUACCAAUUUUUUGAUCGUUCGGGCCAUUCAAUAGUUUCAGGUACGAUUCCCCGUUCGAUCAGAUCUUGUUCCAUCUUCCUCCACUUGGGAAUUGCUGAGCCAUACCCACCUCGCCCCAAAUGAUGGUGGUAGCCCUUAUGACUAGCAUUUGCUGUGUUGGUCAUGAUCUUUUUCACACCUUCUUCACUCCUCUUAUAUUCAACAAAUGCAUCCCAGUGGUCCCUCAACUUUGGCCACGCGUUGAAGUCUGGAGUUCAGCCCUUCUUGAUGUAGUGGGUAUCCAGCAUCUUCUUGAAUGUCUGGAAUUGAGUAGCCAUCUUCUUAAGCGUCCACGCUUUGACAUCCUUCUCACUGUAUCCUUCGGGGAAUGUGAAAUGUCUCUUCACGUCUUCCCACAGCAUAUUCUUUUCUGUCUCCGAAAGGACGUACGGAUUAGUGCUUCUGCCCUUCCAUUCUCUGAUGCUGAUAGGCACGUUGUCCCGGACGAUUGCCCCGAUCUGACUCACGUACUUCUUUGUUACUUUCUCGGGAGCAACCGGCCUGCCCUCUUCUGUCACUUCCGUGAUGACAAACCUCCCUUCUAUCACCUUUGUACGACCUCGGGUCUUCUGCCCUUGUGUCGAUCCGGAGGGCUAACAGUUCAAGAUUCGUUAAUUAGUAUGUAGUAGUAACGGUGGCGUGAAACAAUACAAGAAUGGUUAUAUAUACCUCGCCGGAACCUUCCACCACGGCAAGUUGUUGCUGUGGCUGUUGCUCUUCAUUCCCAUCGGCGGACAUGUUGAGGAACAUGUCCGCCCGGGUGCCCUCUUCAUCCGUGUAUGAUAGUGGAACGUUGUCGCCACUACCAUCACCAGCGAUUAUCUGCUCCAUGAUAUACCUUGCGAUCUCAUCGUCUGCCAUUUCAACUAUUGAUGGAAACAUACAUGGAAUCAUACAUGAUAGUCAUAGAAAUCAUCUUACUACAAAUUUCUACAAAGUCCUACAAAGUCCGGAAUCAUACAUGUAUAUAAUGAAAUCAUAAAAUAACAUGAAUCCUACAAAGUCCGGAAUAUUUAUACAAAUUUCUACGAAUUUCUACGAAUUUCUACGAAUUUCGACGAAUUUCUACGAAUUUCUAGCAAUAUCCACAUGCGGUGCCUAGGUUGUGACGGCGGCGAUCAGGGCGGCGGAGGCGGGGACGGUUCCCUGGAACCACGGCGGUGCCUAGGUUGUGACGGCGGCGGUCAGGGUGGUGGUACGGCGGAGGCGGGGACGGUUCCCCGGAACCACAGGCGGUGCCUACUCGGUUGUGACGGGCGGUGCCUACUAGGUUGUGACGGGUGGCGGGACGGCGGCGGUCACGGCGGCGGGACGGCGGAGGGACGGCGGUGCCUACUACAAAUUUCUAACUUUAUUUUCUAACUUAAAAAUCUAACUUAACAAUCUAACUAAAAAAUCUAACUUAAAAAUAUAACUUAAUUUUCUAACUUAACAAUCAAAAUUAAAAAUCUAUCAUAAAAAUAUAACUUAAUUUUCUAACUUAAAAAAAAGGCCCACCUGGCGCUGCCGGCCGGCGCGGCGGCGGACCUCUCACGCGCGGUCGUCGACGGUGGCCGGGGCGACAAGGUGGUCGGGUCGGCGGGACGGCGGCGGCCGGACGGCGGCGGCCGGUGCGGAAAGGACGGCGGCCGAGGCGACGACGACAGCGGCGGCGUAGGCGGGACGGCAACAAGGGGUGACGAGGAUGGAGCCGGUGGCCGGAGGCGACGAGGUGGGGGCCGGGCGCGUUGACAGACGAGGAGGAUCGAGGCGGGCCGGCCGGGGGGAUGGAGGACGAUGAUGUCUGGGCGCGGUCGGCGGCGGGACGACGACAGCCGGCGCAAUGGGGGACAACGACGGCGGCGGCCGGCGAGGGAGGCGGACGGGCGGCGAUGGCGGAGCAGAACGCGCGGGACUUGGCGAAAAUUUGGCUAAGUGUAACUGGCGUGGGGGUAGAAGGGAGUACAGUGCCUUUUAACCCCCCCCUUUUAUCCCGGUUUGUAAUGGCACCCGGGACAAAAGGGCCUUUUGUCCCGGGUCCCAUCACCAACCGGGAUAAAAGGCCCCCCCUUUUAUCCCGGUUGGUGACGGGACCCGGGACAAAAGGGUGCCCCCGCCAGGUGGGGCUGGGAGCGGACCCUUUUAUCCCGGGUGGCACCACCAACCGGGAUAAAAGGGUAUGUCGGGGCGGGAGACGAAAAGUACCCUUUUAUCCCGGUUGCCGUUUGCAACCGGGAUAAAAGGGGGCCUUUUGUCCCGGUUGCUGUUAGCACCCGAGACAAAAGGUCUUUUUUCCUAGUUUUCUUCUCCCGCCUGUUUUUUUGAAAUGCAUUUUAUUUUAUCUUUUCACUGCAUUUCAGGAUGAAAAACAAAACCUUCACAGAUUUUGUACAUGCAAAAAUAUAUUUAAUUAACGAGUAAAUUGACAAUAAGUAUGAAUUAAUCAUUAAUUCUAUACCAGUUCAUUUAGCCUCUAAAAUAUUUAUUUUACUACAUUGCUAUGAUCAAGAAAUUAUUCAAUUAAAUAAUUUCAGUGCGCAGAAAAAUCCAUGUUUGUUUGUGGUUAACAUUGUUCAUGUUUAUCUAUAAAAUCUUCACCUAACAAAUUUAAGAACACAUGAAAUCAUACAUAGGGUAAAUUACAAAUUGUAUCAAUUAAUACACAAAGGUCAUGUACAUUUAAUGCAUUACAAUACAACGUUGUAAAAUUUCUUCUUCACGAAAGUUCCUUGAUCAUGAUCGCGGCGUAAGUACGGAGCCUCUUCUUUGGAUAGCAGGAUGCUUGGAUCAACUUCAACGGCGAAUGGAGGCAUGCCAUCAAACUGAUCAUAAUCAUCUGAUUGGUCUGUUUUAUCCUCGACUCCCACGAUUUUUCUUUUACCUGGAAGAACUAUGUGGCACUUUGGCUCCCAUGUCUCUUCUGAAUUCCUCUUGGGUUUGCUACACAUGUCUUUCACAUAGAACACCUGAUGCACAUCAUUGGCAAGUACGAAUGGGUCAUCACUGUAUCCAGUCUUGCUCAGAUCUACUAUUGUCAUUCCGUACUGAUCUUUGGUGACGGCAGUUAGCUUCACCCAAUUGCAAAGAAAUAGAGGGAUGUACAGCGGUCCGUAUUCGAGUUCCCAUAUCUCCUGUAUGAAACCAUAAUACGACUCCUUGCUAUUAUUUCUGUCCAUGGCAUCUAUGCGGACACCACUAUUCUGGUUCGUGCUUUUCUGGUCCUGGGCUCUCGUGUAAAAUGUGUAACCAUUUAUCUCAUAGCCUUGUUAUUUGACGAUUGUGCUAGCUGGUUCCCUGGCUAACCAGGCAAGCUCUGGGUGAAUCUCAGAGUUACCCAUAAGUUGUUGGCGCAACCAGGAGGGAAAAGUUUCCAUGUGAUGACGGGUAAGCCAAGCAUCGGAUUUGGUCGGGUUUUUGGAAGCUACCAUCUGCCUGUGCUGCUCGAUAUACGGAGACACAAAGGAUGACUGUUGUAGAAUAGUGUAGUGUGUCUUGUCGAACAAAUCAGUAUCAUUGCUCAAACUUGAUUUCCUUCCAAGGGUGCCCAUUCCUCGGAGCCUCCCCUCAAGGCGUGAAGUUGGAACCCCAAUCGAGUCAAUUGAAUCAAUAAAAUCAACACAAAACUCGAUCACCUCCUCUGUUCCGUAUCCCUUGGCAAUGCUUCCUUCUGGACGGGCACGAUUAAGAACAUAGUUUCUUAGGACUGCCAUGAACCUCUCGAAAGGCCACAUAUUGUGCAGGUAUACAAGUCCGAGAAUACCAAUCUCUUUUACUAGGUGAACCAGUAAGUGCGUCAUAAUAUUGAAGAAGGAUGGUGGAAAUAACAACUCAAAACUGACAAGACAUUGCACCACAUCGUUCUGUAGCUUUGAUAGCUUGGACGGAUCGAUUGCCUUCUGCGAAAUCGCAUUGAGAAACGUGCAUAGCUUUACGAGCGGCAACCGGACAUUUUCUUGUAGAACACCCCUCAGUGCAACCGGAAGCAACUGGGUCAUCAACAUGUGGCAGUCAUGAGCCUUGAGAUUUGUAAACUUCUUUUGUUUCAUAUUUAUUAUUCCCUUUAUAUUCGAGGAGUACCCAGACGGGACCUUCAUACUAUUCAAGCAUUCAAACAUGCUAUCCUUCUCUUCCUUGCUGAGAGUGUAACUGGCAGGACGUAAGUAGUGCUGUCCAUUAUCUCUCUUUUCCGGAUGUAGGUCAUCUCGUUGCCCCAUGGCUUUCAGGUCCUGUCGUGCUUCCAAUGUAUCUUUUGAGGUUCCAUAAACACCCAUGAAGCCUAGCACGUUCACGCAAAGAUUCUUCGUCAGGUGCAUCACGUCUAUUGCGUUGCGAACCUCUAGGAUUUCCCAAUAAGGUAGCUCCUAAAAUAUUGACUUUUUCUUCCACAUGGGUGCAUGUCCGUUAUCGUCGUUCGGAAUAGGUUGGCUACCAAGUCCCUUUCCAAAGACUACAUUUACAUCCUUCAUCAUCUCGAACAUACGCUUUCCAUUACGGUGUGCAGGUUUUUUACGAUGGUCUGGCGCCCCUUUGAAAUGCAUCCCACUCUUUCUCAGCUGGUGGUGAGCAGGGAGAAAUUGACGAUGACCCAUAUAGAUGAUCUUCUUACAGUGCUUCAAGUACAUGCUGUCUGUGUCGUCUAAACAGUGGGUGCAUGCCCGAUAUCCCUUAUUUGUCUGUCCUGAAAGGUUACUCAAUGCAGGCCAAUUGUUGAUGGUUACGAACAACAGUGCUCGUAGAUUAAAGAUCUCUUGUCUAUCCUCAUCACACACACGUACACCUUCUUCCUUCCAGAGCUGUAAAAGGUCAUCAACCAACGGCCUUAGGUACACGUCAAUGUCGUUGCCGGGUUGUUUUGGGCCUUGGAUAAGCGCCGGCAUCAUAAUGAACUUCCGCUUCAUGCACAGCCAAGGAGGAAGGUUGAACAUACAAAGGGUCACAGGCCAAGUACUAUGGCCACUACUCAACUCACCGAAUGGAUUGAAUCCAUCAUUGCUUAAACCAAACGUUAUGUUCCUUGCUUCACUUUCAAAGUCUGGUAAUGUUCUAUCAAUUGAUCUCCACUGUGCCCCAUCUGCGGGGUGUCUCAGCAUCUCAUCUUCCUUACGGUCUUCUUUGUGCCAUCGUAUCAACUUAGCAUUCGCCUUGUUCCUGAACAAGCGCUUCAAGCGUGGUAUUAUAGGGAAAUACCACAUCACCUUCGCGGGAACUCUCUUCUUGGGAGACUGCCCCUCGACAUCACCAGGAUCAUCUCGCCUGAUCUUAUACCGCAGGGCUUCGCAGACGGGACAAGCAUCCAAUUUCUCGUAUUCAUCACCACGAUAGAGGAUACAGUCAUUAGGGCAUGUGUGUAUCUUCUGAACACCCAAUCCAAGAGGGCAAAUAAUCUGUUUAGCUUCAUAUGUUGUGGACGGUAAUUCAUUAUUCUCGGGGAGAAUCUUCUUGACAAUGUUCAACAUCCCCUGAAAUGCCUUAUCGGACACACCAUUUUUUGCCUUCCAUUGCACAAAUUCUAGUGUCGUACCUAGUUUUUUAUGGCCCUGCUGGCAACCUGGGUACAACAAUUUUUGGUGAUCAUCUACCAUGCGCUGCAACUUUGCUGCUUCCUUCUCAGUUUCGCAAUCUCUGUAUGCAUCUCGUAUCACCUGACCAAGGUCAUCAGUAGGGCCAUUUUCUGCAAACUCAUCUUCAUCAGCCUCGCCCAUUGUAGUACCUGCAAAAGCUUGGCCUGCAACCCAGUCCGGAAUGGUGUCAUCUUCCUCCUCCUCGCCAUCUUCCAUUACUACCCCUAGUUCACCGUGCUUGGUCCAAACCAAAUAGUUAGGCAUAAAACCGUAUUUAAACAAGUGGCUGUGAAUAGUCCCCCAGGAAUCCUUUGAAUACUCCUUCCUGUUAUUGCAUUGGAAGCAUGGACAACAUACGAACCCAUUCUCUGGCUUGUUCGCUUUUGCCACUUCGAGAAAAUAAUGCAAGCCAUCAAUAAACGCCUUGCUCCGCCUGUCUGCAUGAUACAUCCAUUGCCGGUCCAUCUGCAUCGUAUUACGCAUGAAAAUGGAUUACACUUGACAAUGGAUUACGUGUGAAAAUCGAUUAAAGAUCCAAACAACAUGGUACAAUACAACAACAUGAAGAUCCAAAUACACAUAUUUAAAUUAAAGUCCCAAACAACAUGAUACAAUACAACAAGCCAUCCACUGGUUAUUAUCAAGGAGGACUUUAAGCAUCCUUGGACGGUGAAGAUGAAGGUUCCGCUGACCCAACCUCAUCCUUAGAUUUAUUUGUGCCGCCUGAAACAGUAGUACUAAGUGGACGUGAAACACUCGGGACUGAGGGUGGAGCAUAACGACCACCAAAAGGAGGUUCCUGACCCGCGGCAACAGCUUCUUCAUGACAUUGCUGCAAAUAACGAAGCAUUGCUUUUUCCAGCGCGCUCUUUUUCUUCGGCUUAUGCUGGGGGCCAACUAUGAUUGGAACCUUGCCAUAAUAGGAACCACGAUCGCCCCCACCAUCGCCACUUCCUCCAGUAGCAGAAGCCAUCUAUGUACAAAAAUUAUUAUCUUAACACUGCAUAAGUUGUUGAACUUGAAGACCGUGAUCAUCUCGCGAGGAUGUCCUCAACUGGGCGGCACCGCACUUCGUCAUGAAAGAGGUUAGAUGCUACGGAAAAGGGGACACGAUCACGAUGUCCGUAUCCACUCUUUCUCGUAGAAUCGAACCUCCUUCUUGACAUACGUUGCUGCUCGGCGGAGAACAUCAUCGGAGAGAUGAACACGGUAUGCAAGUUCAACAAGUAUGGAUUUAAAAAACCAUAUUGAAUUUGAUAAGAUAAACCGUCUAGACAAGGUAGCAUCAUUUUUAAACCACUGCAAUAAUGCAUACCAUAUAUGACACAUCAAUCUUCCUCACAUUCUAGCUCAAAAUACCUCUCCAUUUUUCUACUUCAUCAUCACAUUUUAGCAAAUAAUCUUUCCAUCUCCAAAGCAUAAAUCAAAGCAUAACACGAGGAUGAAGUAGCAAACCUUCGCAACACUUGUGUUGGCCGAGUGAAAUUCCCACGAAAAUGAGGGAAAAAACUUCG
rnacentral:lncRNA from 1 species